GAAAAAUGAGAUGGCGCCGGUCCAGGGGGUGCUGCCCAUGCGGGGAAGCAUCGCGGCUUCAAGCUCGGUUGGUAAGUACUCCAUACUGGUUUUUCUGUCAGUAUCACGGCUGUUUUUUGUCAUCAUUAGUAUAAUGAUAUUGGACUGAAGCUCGUCAACUCUUUCGAUGCUGUAUUUUUGGCAUCAUUAGUAUACUGAUAUUGGACUAAAGUUGGUUAGCUCUUUCCAUGCUGGACUUUUGGCAUCAUUAGUAUACUGAUAUUGGACUGAAGCUUGUUAGCUCUGUCCAUGCUCGGUUUUUUGUCAUCAUUAGUAUAGUGAUAUAUUGGACUGAAGCUGCACAUGUUUUGUUUCCAUUAACGUUGGUCUAGCAGUGCUACGCGUCAGUCGGCCGAUCGUAGCCGCCAUACAAGCCUUAUUUUAAUCAAGUUCCACCCGUCACUGCAUAUAUUAACGUUGGUUUUGGCACCAGCUGCGUAUACAAACGCGAGCACCGGCACUGUGUGGCAGCAUGGAAGACAUAUGAACUGUGAUAAGAAACAUAAGAAACAUGCAAUGGCUAGAAACAUCUCCGUACAAAAAAAAUUGGCAUGUUAUAGGUGUCAACAAAAUUAGUCGGCUUGCCAGCCGUCGGAUCUGACACGUGAAGCAUUGGAUCACACCACGCGGCAGCUGAGAGAGUGGAACCCGUCUUCCUCCAUAGCCUCCACAAAACUUGUUUAUCCCCCACCCCUCCCCCAUCGUUGCAAUAGACUAUUAUGUUGUUGCCGCGGCCUUCCUCUUCUCUCGCUCAGCAGCACCUCCCUCUCGUCCUUUCUAACACAGCAAAGAAGAAGGAGGAAGAAGAAGGAUGCAAGGACACAAGUGGUUUUGCCGGAGCACGAACUCCGCCCGCCGCACGAACGGCGUCCUUUUCUUUCCCUGAGCCCGAACUCAGUACAAUCCGCAAGCUACAACAGAGGAGAGAGCUGGCCUUAUACCCGCGCGACGCACGCGCUACGCCACGCUCUGCACGCAUGCACACCCCACGUCCCGCGCUUCCAGACCCACUCACCCGACGCGCACGUAUGCAGUCGCCGUAGGCCGAUUCCAGCGCCCCGACGUGGUCGCCACUCCGUUUCUGUCGCCUACACACAACGGCCCACGCGCUCGAACGCGAGGACACACACACACACGCACAGAAACACACACACAUGCACGGCCAGGGACCCGGCGCGUCCUAGCUCACACCCGACGCGUCCUGUGGUGGCUUAUGCCCAACACUCACUCCCCUAAGCCACGAACUACAGCAGGUGAGUCCAUCGUCGUCGAUGUCGCCAUGGCCGUCGCACCGCACCGCUGCGGCCUCCGCCGUGCCGUCGACGUCGUUGUAGCCGCCGCCGCCCUAACGUCGCUGCCACGCCUGCCACCGUGCCGCUGUGCCCUUCGCGUGCACUCCCCACGUCCCCGCGCUCCCGGCCCGCGCUCCCGCCGCGCACGUACGCGGUCUGCGCAACCAGGUCCAGUGCCUCGACGCGGUUCACUCCCGCGGUCCCGACGCGCCCAACACGUCCGGUGCGCACCCAUAACACGCACCGGUCACGCCCGGCUCGCCACCGCGCUUAUUGCCCUGCACCGCUGCGCCGUCAAACGCAGCGCAGCGCCUCCACGGUCGUCGCGCCGAGCCGCCGCGGCCUCUGCGACACCACGCAGGUCCUCCGCGACCUCCUCGUCUCCGCGACCGCCGCUGCUCGCCGCGCGCACGGCAUCACGCCACCCCGCCGUGGACUCGCCGCGCGUUGCCGACGCGCCCCGGCAUCGCGCCACACCGCCGUGGACUCGCCGCGCGUUUCCGAGACCUUCAUGUCUGCCACGCGCCACGCGCGUCGCGAACGCCGCCGCGCGCCAUGGCCGCCCCCCGAACCUGUGGCUCUGAAUACCAAUUUUUGUUGCCGCGGCCUUCCUCUUCCUCUCGCUCAGCAGCACCUCCCUCUCGUCCUUUCUAACACAGCAAAGAAGAAGAAGGAGGAAGAAGAAGGACGCAAGGACACAAGUGAUUUUGCCGGAGCAUGAACUCCGCCCGCCGCACGAAUGGCGUCCUUUUCUUUCCCUGAGUCCGAACUCAGUACAAUCCGCAAGCUACAACAGAGGAGAGAGCUGGCCUUAUACCCGCGUGCACGCACGCGCUACGCCACGCUCUGCACGCAUGCACACCCCACGUCCCGCGCUUCCAGACCCACUCACCCGACGUGCAUGUACGCAGUCGCCGUAGGCCGAUUCCAGCGCCCCGACGUGGUCGCCACUCCGUUUAUGUCGCCUACAGACAACGGCCCACGCCCUCGAACGCGAGGACACACACGCACGCACAGACACACACACACGCACGGCCAUGGACCCGGCGCGUCCUGGCUCGCACCCGACGCGUCCUGCGGUGGCUUAUGCCCAACAAUUACGUCAGCCCCUCGCAGCACCUCACGUCCAUGCUCUGGCGCAUCCCUGAUGUCGCCUGGUAUCAUGCAAGCACUAUUACAGACGGCGCGCCGGCGAGGAACAUUGUCUUACAACCAAGGUAGUUGCAUUGAUGCGACCACAAGCCUCACCCCCUUGUUGCAUGGGUCGUGGCUUGUGGCACUGGUCGUCGGCUAUAACACCCCCCGUGAGAACCUGCAGUUGCACCACUGCGACAACCCCGUGGGUCUAUGCAUGGUGGAAAUAGAGCGAAUGGAUAUGGUGAAGAGAGAGGAAUACAAGUGAGGGGCAUCUGGCGCUAGAGCGAGCUGACUCAUUUCCUCCUAAACCAGUCUGUUGAAUAUUUCCAUUUUCUUUUGAGAAACCUCGUAAAAACGUUGCAACAUGCGAGCAUGUCUAUACAAAAAAAAGUAGAUAUAGAACACAUACUCAUUAACUGCAAGAAAUCAGUGAAAAAACACAAUGUAUACACGCCUGAACCAAUGGACCAUUGGCAUGCAUCUUCCAACUCUUCCUAGGUUACGCCCACCCGCGAACCGUUCAAUUCUGUCACAGAUCAUUGCCAAAUCAACCACCAACUUGGUUCCUGCUCUCGUCUCCUCUCCCCAUCCUUUGCAACAUACACCCAUGUUUCUCAGCAAUAGACUCACUUGGAGGCCACAAUGGUGGCCAUGGUAGGCUAGUGAAAAGCACAAUGGUGGUCAGCCUUACAACACUAAACACGACACUAAUUGCAACACGUGAUAACCCCAAAUUUGUAGCACCGGUGCACCGUUUUGCGGCAAAGUAAAAAAUGCCAACGACCUGCCAUGCUGCAUCGAUGCCUUGGUCUUGCAGCAUUGUCAACCACCUUGUAGCAAUGAAAAGUUCACUGACCAUUAGCUUUGCAGCAUCACGUGACCGGCUUAUAGCACUGAACGCCCGGGCUAGCAGCACUGCGAUGAGGGAUGGUCGGCCUUGCAACAGUAUUGGUUGACAUUGCACACCUCAUCUCCAUUUUUAUGUACAUACACAUGAGUGAACUUGGAACAUCAGUAACGUAUCAACAUUAGCAAUAUUGAUGAUGAUGAAAUUUGUUUCCCCAAGUAUCAACAUUACUGAAUAAGCGAGCAACUGCACAUCCACCCCAUGAGCCAUAAUUUUUGAGCCCUACCACAACCGAUUAUAGUUGGAAAAGAGCUGACAACGAUAGUUAAAAAUGUACAUGAUCACAAUAGCUUAAAUGGUAGGGAGGGUGGACUGCAUGUGUGGAAUCAGGCUUGUCGCGUGGUCACAAGUGCCUUAUCUGACUAGCCAACAAGACAGAAGGAGGCCGCCUGGGCUCUCACUCCUGAAGCUAAGCAUAACUCCAACUCCAGACACACUCGGGGGCUACUGAAGGUGCAAUACACUAGGGGUGUCCUCUAAGUGGGAAGCCCGGUAGCAGGCCUAUCUCAAGGCCCAAGAGGCCAAGUGGAGGAUCAGCGCACGAGGGCAGCUCAUGAGCCCGGAUAAGGACCGGGAGAGCAUCUAGGCGUGCAAGCUAACAUGGCGACGGUAUGAGAUCUAGUGGAUUCCUUGUAAUCCCUAGCCCUCGUCACCUAUAUAAGGCAGGGCAAGGGGUUAUCAUUCACAUAUACUCUCAUAGACUAUACUCUCGGUGGCCUUAUACUACAUCUCCGUUGUAAAUCCUAUUAUGGGUACUAACAGUUUUACAUACUGUCGCAUAGUUUUGUUUCGACACAUUUUCUCUAGGAGUUGAAAGCAACUCAUGGUGUAAGUAUGUGUUGCUGGAAGCACUGAUUUUACUAGCACCGCCUUUCCCGCCUUGGAGAUACCUUGUCCUUCCUAUCCAAUCACUUUGCCAUUUGAGUUUUCUCUAACGUAUUUAAAAUUUGCUUCCGUUGACCUACCCACCACGGCUGCGAGCCCCAAAUAAUGCUCGCUCAAUGCCUUGGGAUCAAUACAAAAAUAUUUAAAAAAAACUUUGUCCUCCUAUUUGCUUCCCUUUCCACAGAAAGUUGAGGCUUUUUGAAGAUUUACCAUUUGUCGUGUGGCCAACUCGUAGUCAAACAGGGUCUAUUUUAAGGUCACAACGUUGAUAUUUGAUGCUUGAAGAAAUACUACACUAUCAUCUACAAACAUAAAAUGGGCUACAUGGGGGCCAGUGCUCCCAAAAUGUACACCAUUGAUCUCCUUAUCUUUGAGAAUUCAUGAGCAAUGCCAAAAAAUAAACAAAUGGGGGGAUUGUGGGUCUCCUUGUCAGAUCCCUCUUGAUAGUGUAAAAAUGACAGAGCAACCUCCAUUCAAUUUGACAGGAAUCCUGGUCGAGGUAACAGAUGUCAUAGUCAUCAAGAUCCACCUAUUUGAGAAACCAAGUGCCCUCAUCAUGAGAUUGUGGAAAAUCCAAACCACCCUCUUGUAGGCCUGCAUCAUGUCUAGUUUAAUAGCUAACAUUGGAUUUUUCUAUUUGUUGACCUGAUUGCAUGCACACACUCAUACGUGACCAACACAUUGUCUGUGAUAAGCCUACCCGAAAUAAAUAUACUUUGCUCCUCCCAGAUCAUUAUGGACAGGAGAACAUUCAAACCAUUCACUAGGCCUUUGAAGCAAUAUGACUGAGUGUGUUCUAUAAGCUGAUUGAUCCAAUUUGAGGAAGUAUAUCCAGUGAGUUAAUUUUUAGGAUCAGGACUAGAACCAUAUCACUGAAGUUUGCCGAUACAUCAUUUUUUAGCAACGACUAGUGAAAUUGGUAAACAUAGUCGAGAGGUUGUGUGGCACAACGCUUUUGUCAGUCUAAUUUAGAAUGGUGCAUUCUCAAUUUCUUCAUCCAUCACAUCCGCGUCCACCCUCAAGAAAACAACCAAGCAUAGAAAUCGGCCGACAUCUUCCCCAUCUCAUUGUCAGUAGUACAUCUCAUGCCAUCCGCGCUCAUGUUUUGUUCGUCUUCCUCGAGCAAUUCCAAUCGAGCAUGUUGCAUAUACAUUAUUUCUUCCCAUGCAUGAGCCAGAUGAAGCUACGCUUCAAUCUCGUGGAUCUCCACCAAGGAUCUGGAUCCCAAUGCUCUCUCCUUUCCAUCGAAGCUGACCUUGUGCCUAGUGAUGUCUAAACAUACGAACCAAAACACUGAGCCACUCCAAUGUUGCAUAUCAUUGGUGAUAUUGUUAAGCUUCCUGUAUAACGUACUCUGGCCGAAAUUGUUGUCACAUGCACACUCCCACGCAUCCAUGGGGCAUCCGCCUCUCCUCAAAUGUUAACGCCCUCUUCUUCCUUGUGGUAAUGAACAAUUGGUCUAGCGCUCUAAUAAUGAGUGAAUCAUGGCCUGGUUCUCCGUGAGAACAUGUUCAAUGGAUGUAUCCUAGAAUGAGUGUAUGAAAUCAUCAUUGCAUGGACCCCUUCCCAGAUGUACCUAAAUGUUCUCAUCAUCAUCCCUUUUGUUGUCCCGUGUGUACUAGUAGCUACUAAAACAGAGGUUUGAAAAGUUGUUAUUGGCUACGCUUCCAUUUGUGUGAAACUCCUCAAGUAAUCUCCUGGUUGUUGUGAUUGAAAGAAUACUUUGUUGAGGUAUCACUGUCACAGAGAAAUUUAUUAUCAGGAUCUAGUCUCUCGAAACCUCCGUUAGCUACACAAAUUUGCUUCAAUCUCUCUUCCUAUCCAGUAGCUUUAGCUGAUAAUCCUUGUGAUGCCUUUGGUGAUCACCACCACCCUUCCUCGUCUUGUGAACAAAAGUGCCUCGUGUGUGCUGCCUGGAGGUAGAUGGGUCUUCUUUGCCCAGUCGCCUUGCACCCUUUCUUCCCAUAUAGAAUUUUUUAUGUCCUCCUUCCUUUCAUGCUCCUUCCUCAGCUUCCACAUCCUUUUCAGUUGCAAAUCAUCCCUUAGUUCAUGUCACCGAUCUUGCUUGCAUUGGUCCUUCCUGGGUGUAUAAGCAUUGUAGCACUUGUGCCUAAAUGGGAGGUGGCGCAACGCUGCUUACCCCUUGUGAACAAAGAUGCACCUUCUUGACCUAGUGCUCCCAAAACUAAAAUUCCCACUUUCUAUCACCGACUUCUACUAUGUUUCUGUGUGUGAGGAGCUAUGUUCGAGUGGUGCCCUCAACCAUUCACCCAACUAGGGUGAGGAAUCAACAUGUGGUUCAAAUCUUUCAUCAACAUGUGCUGGUCUAACGCAGUCAAUCCAGAAGUGAUGUAUCUUCUCAAAUUGAAAAUCAAGACAGUCCCCUCAUCUUUCGCUGAAGAGUGGAGGAAGAAGCCUCGAACCAAUGAAACGAAUAUGAAAAUUCUAGCUCUAACUAUGAGAUGGUUCCCCCCAUAAAUCCAUCCUUCUCGAUAUCAAAUUUUACCACGUCACCAAGCCAAUUCCCGAGAGCAUUCCCAAAAGUAGACAAUGGUUUAUAUAGGGGAAGAUCCUUAAUUAUCACCCAUGGCUCCGUCAUCCAAAACAUUAUCUUCGACGGCCUAGUUUUACCAUCACAAUUCUUCAAAACCAUCACACUAAAACCAAAUUUCCACGGUCCAUUAUAUAGAGCGUGAUUCUAAACUCCGUUUUGUCGAAUCUCAAGAUGAAGAUAUUAUUGCCAAUGGCUUCCUAGUAGAGUCCCCAUGCCUGUUGCAUAGCCUUAGCAAACACGUUGAUGUUGAUUUGCGGAAGUGAGCACGCCUUUCCAACAGCUGACAACUUAGUAGGCCUCGGUCGGUCUAGAAUCCACCUCAAACAUGAGAUCUAUUAGUUCCUUUUGUGUCAAGUUCAAGGCUCCUUGUUUUUUUGAGAGAUUCGCUACCUCCUGGAAGCAUUUUCGUCUGUCAGGGACUUUGAAGAUUCUCGGCUUAUCGAUCGUUGGUCACCCGCUUCACUGGAGUUGCCUGUCCAUGCCAUGCCUGCUCUUCCGGCAUCGACCAAUAGAUGAAUAAAACCCUAACCCUAGCACUACCUGUCGGUCCCCUAUAGUCUCCCUUAGCAUUUCCUUUCAUGGUGGGCCCGCCACCAAUUAUUCCUCUCCGUCCUUCCAUUGGUACUUUUUCUGCGGUGGAGCCUUUAUGCUUCAUUUGGCUUUCUACAAUGGUGGUUGUAUCCAGCUCAUAAGUCUCCUCUAUAUGUAGGAAGCCAAGAUGUUAGCUCUUCUUUUUUUUAAGGAAAAUACGUUAGCUAAUGUACAAGUUUCGUUUGAAAGAAGUCUUGUCGCAUGUAAAGACGUCACUGUCGGUUCAAUAUCCGGCGUAUCUCGUAGUAGGGGUCCUAAGCUAGGUGUCUUGGAGCGAUGGUAACAUGGACACGGGGUUUUACCCAGCUUCUGGCUCUCUUGAUGAGAUAAUACCCUAGAUGCUGCUUUUGAUUGUAUUCAUAUGGGGUGUAGUACAGAGUACAUGUGUCUACCACGAGACUGUGGUAAUGAAUAUGAGAUUGUCUAUUGACUAGCCUGGCCUCGGUUUAUAUAACACACCGGAGGCCUAGGGUUUUAGGAGAGUCCUCGCCUUGGGCGCCAAGUCUUGUGGAGUCUUCCUUAUAUGCGACAGGGGUUGUCCGAACUGGCCCAUGAGUAUACGGUCGGCCCAAUCCAACUGAUCGGGAGACGACGUGGUGAGUACCCCCUAGUCCAGGACACCGCCAGUCACUAAGAGUGCGAUACAUAUAGGUGCAUACUUUGCGGAUGAUGCAAAUUUUAGCAGAUAUGAACAGCUCCAGGUGGACCGAGCACACAAAGAAAUCAUGGACCAUAAACGAAUAAUUUCCAAAGAAACAAAGUCGCAAAAAGAGAGACGACAUUAUCUUCAUUAUGGAAAACCCUUAUAUUUUUAAACAUUGCUUUGCUCUUUGAUUAUUAACAGGAAUCUUUUUACUAAUAUAAUAAGUGUUAAUCUUUAUAGAUAUGGAAUGUAUUUUGUUCAGUAGGUUUUAAUGAAUCAUAUCAGUUUUUGGUAUGUUAAAAUUAGAAGAAGUUCAUGCGCCUUCAAGGCAUGUCACGGUGUGUUGUUCCACCUCAAACAGGGACAUACUACAUGGUUAUUCUCCCUGCAUAUAGCCCUCUUCGCAUGCUCUUCCUCUCUCUCUCUCCAUUGUAUAUUCCAGAACUGCUGACACUACUCCAUAAUGCCUAACUGGUGAAGGUCCAGAAACACCUAGCAGUGAUGGGUUCAACAUGCUCAGUAGUCUGUACUUAGUGGAGAAGUAACAAACCACUUAGAUGAACGUGUCCGCCAGUGAUGGUCAAAUCGAAAAAGAAAAUCGGGCCAUGGCCAGUCCAAAGCUAACACCUGCCAAUAAUGUGUAGUCUCCACUACUCGAACCUUCUUCUCAUCAAUAUAUUGCACCGUCUGAUGUUUGGAGAAGCCAUAGAGUUGGGGAUCCGAAUAGAGGAAACAAUGGUGGGGAGUGUCUUGAAGAAUAGGUAACGAGAAGCCGGACGGAGAAGGCCUCGACCAUGCUGCACCAUCAGCCCAUGAGCACUGACCUGUAUAUAUGGUGCAAGGACCGAGGCAGAAAUGAACACCAUCAUCGCCUGGGUGGCAGAGGGAGUUGGACCUGGGUGUUCCUCCUCUCGGACAAACUCAAUGAAUUCUUGGAGGCAGCACCCAUGCUAGAUUCUGCAGAGAUGACAACAUUUAGAGGAGGUGGAGGGCCAGCGCUAGGUUUGUUCCUCAUAGGGUUUAUUUUCGGGGAAGAAGGGGAAGGGUAUGACAUGAUGAGUGAUUAACAAGGGAAGUGUGUGUUUCUGUGGAGGACAAAUCAUGAAGACAAGUGUGCUAGUAGCUAGAGAAGGGACUAAUGAUAGCAGGAACGAAUAAUGAGCUUAAUGUGUGGGGCUACUAGUUUUAAGUUGUGAUCUAAAUGACAGGGUAAGUAUUUAGUCACUAUCGUGUUGUGACUUGGGCUUGUAAGUGGUGGGUUGUAUAUGAGUAACAAGUAGCAUGUUUAGCCUCAAUAUUGUUCUCUGUCACUGGUAACAAUGUAUCAUUGAUGGACCACAUAUUGGGCCCGUCACUACUAACUUUUUUCGACAAAAAUAGAUUUUUAGUUAUCGUCAGAUUCAUGGCAAACCCGCCGUCCAUUACUUCUAAGUAGCACUACUGAUGGGUUGUGUGACCCACCACUAUUGAUCAAUAACUAGAGGAUAACUCAAGCAUAGUGCACAUCCGUUUCUUUGAGAUUUUGUUAGUGUUUUCUUGUUCAUGGAGACAUAUCAAUUGACCCUAACAAGUGUUCUAUUUAGGUGGGGUUGUGAGUGAAAAUGCGGGGAGCUUGGCAGCAGGGAAAAUGGCACCUAGAGGGGCUCAUGUCUCCAUGAUGAACAACCACAACUUUGAUUUGAAUGAGCUACCGACUGAACAUGAGCAGCUCCAGCAGGAGUAGCCGCCCAAAGAGCAGGAUUAGCCGCCUGUGGCACAACAUGAGCUUUAAUAUUCACAAUGGCUGGAGCCUUCUCAAAUCCGCAUCUAUGAGCAAAAUAACUCUUCGCCAGAAGCAUAGCCCUGUUGGAAAUUAUCAAAAAUAUCUCUAUCCCGAGGAUAAUGGGAAGGCUUGUAUGGAACUUUUGAAUUUCUCUCUUCCUACUUUUUGCGAGUGACUAUCAUUAUUGCUAAACAUGAGGGGGGGGGAUUUGGUAUACUGCCUCAUGAUCACCCUAUCCACUUGAAAUGGAUUUUCUAUUCAUUUCCCAUGAUGGUUUUGAUAUCUCGAUUGUUUCAACAAGAAUAUAUUCAUUCGGUAAAGCUUUGUGAAACAUUAGCGAUGGAGCUAGGUCUCGGGUCAUGUGAAAAGACAGUAGGUCAAGAAGUGUGUUAGCUCAUGAGAUAAUAUAUUUUUGAAGUUGUUCAUCAUGUGUGUUGACACAAUGGGUCGUACGAGAGAAGGUUGGCACGAAUCUUUGGGUUUGAAAUGAGCUGUCUAAUUGGACCUUCAUGACUGAAAAAAGGGAGAAAACAUGGCUAAUAGGAGGCGCAAAUGAUAUGGAAGCUACUUUUUGGAUGGAAGUUAACUAUGGCUAUGCGACCACACAAGAUGUCAGUGGAACCGCGUCCUUACAUAUCGAGGUUGACUUCAUGUGCAAGCUGUAUUGUGACUAAAUUAUGGUAUAUGUAUGUAAUAACUUGGCAUCUUACCAAACACAAAACACCCCAAAAAAUACUAUUUACUUCUCUUCGAUGCAUAUUCUAGUGGAAGGGUAGUCAUAACCAUAUGGGGAUAUUUUUCCACAGUAGAAUCUAUAAUGGUCUAGUGAGGAAAGGUGUAAAUGGAGAGGAUAAUAGGCGAACAUGGAAACAUCCAACAUUGUGUUGUACUUGUAUCUAGUUGUAUAGUGAGAUAAUAUGGAAACGGAGGAGGCUCAUAGGGCAACACGAGAACACCCAACAUGUUGCUCUACUUCCUUCCUAUUGGUACCAAGAGACUGAGACUAGAGAAAGGUUCAUCAUAGCACAUGGACAAGAUCUCUCAUACAAGUUGAAAAUGGACCGAAUCUUGUAUGAAAAUGCUAACCAAGUAUGAGUGUGCAUCACAUACCAUUUCCUCCCUUUCUUUGUUGUAUUUUCCUUCACCAACCCCAUAGUACCCUAAUCGACACUAUUAAUUCGAUAUGCUUCUCAUCUGAGUUAGGUAGACUUAUUCAAGGGGAAAUAAUGGAGGUGUCUUAUCUAAAAUAGCCACAUUCCGGAUAGGAAUAAAAAAGUAGACAUAACCUAAUGAUUUGUUGAGAUUUGAAUCGAGAAUUCAACAUACAUCAACUAUCCUACAUGUAAAUCAAAUCCUCAUCCUACAUCGGCAUUGGUCUUUAGUUGGACUACCACUUUAUGGACAAGCCGUAUGGUCCAUGUGGUCUACGUCGCAGAGGCCGGAGAACAAGGAGCAAAUAGUUGUGGAUGUUUGGUAAUUGAAGUUAUUUGUCAAGAAAUUUGUUUCCCGUCAUGGUUUUUUUAAUUCAUUAUUUAGUAUUUGGUAUCGGUUCUAUGCUCUAAUGUGUAACCUUCUUCUGAUGGUUUGGGUUUAGCCGUCGGUGGUCAUGAGUUCAUUACUUAUGUUAACUACUAUUGUUGUGUCCACUUGUUCGCCAAGAGACUAUACAGUUAACUUAUAUCCUCCCGUAUCUCUAUUAAUAUAGUUGGCGGUGAGGUAAUCAUUAACCCUGAAUAUUACUCACCUUUGUCAAAUAGUAGGCCAAGCUGGAACUGUCCGGUGCAUCAUCUAUGGUCACAUAUGGUGUAUUUCCUAUUCUAAACUCAAUGAGUAUUACAUAAUGGCAUGUGCCUGCAGGGAGGAAUGAGUCACUCUUUUGUGUCAAGGGGAGACGGCAUGCGUAAUAAUUGACAAUGAAAAAUUAACAACCUACAUCAAAAGUCUAACCCAAGACAAUGAACAUGUGCCAUUGUAAUUUUACCACACUAAGUCAUCGGUAUUUCAUAAUUGAAUGUUCCCGAUGUCGUGACUUUUGGCGGUGAUAAGCCCAAAUAAUCGCCAUUGUGAAAUUAAAUUCUUCCAUUCACUUGAACCCACAUCCGUAAAGAUGUGCCAUUACAAUCCACGUCAUGGCUAUCUUGGAGUCCUUAAUAUAAUCAAGUGUGCCAAAUAUGGUGACUUGAUAAUCACGUAUACUAAUGGGGAGGAGCGAGGUCACAUUUUUUGCCAUGGAGACAUGAUAUUCCGUACUAAUUGACCCUAGGAAGCUAAUCGCCUCCAUCAAGUAGACCCCUUCCUGGUUCUCCUAUAACUGGAUUCCCCGAAACCACGAAAAUCCUUAGAAUUGGAUUACAACUUAGCACCUUGUGUUUUCACAUAGUAAGAAGAGUUGCUCCUUGGAGAGCACGGUAUGAUGAAAGUUGUAACCUGUGUUUCCGAGGGAGUUAUUGUCUCGCAACUUUGUUAUCAACUAUUCCGAUUCCAGCAAACGGAGGCCAUUGGGUCAAAGCCAUAGCGCACGCCUUGUAGUUUUGAAGUGGGGCGAGACAACUUUAGCUAGGAACCUAUUUUCCUUCUGACCAACUCCCUAAAAACAAUGUUCGACUUCAUGUGUAGUCGGUGUAGAUGUGUCAUUGCAUUUCCACCACUAGGAUAUCACCAUGUCCUAUGUAUUACAUGCCAACAUAUGCCACCAUAUGGUGACUUGAUAAAUUAAAUGCAUUUCACCAAGCUUUUCUGUUAAAAUUAUGGUGAAGAUAGUGACUCACAUGCCAGCCUCCCUAACGGGAAGCAAAAUCACUCUGACUUUGGCAACCUAAUUUUUUUUAUGGAUUCAAGCAAGCAUGUUGGAUUUGUGUAUUGUUUAUUUCCACAUAUAUGAUUCAAAAUAAAGGAAUCAAUACAGAAUAGGAGUCUUGGAGACACCCAUGUCAAUAAUGUGAAACUAUGGGAAAUCUUAUUAUGUGCAUCAAAAUAAGCCAAAACUCGUGGCUUAAUUGAUACAUGUACAAUCAUACAAUGGUUAUGACCCCUACUAAAUUCAUGAUGUUAACCAGUUCCCAGAAGUUUAAGUUGAGAAACAAGUUUGGGCAACAUAUUUCCAGACACCUGUCAUGUCUAGGAUUGUCUGAAGCCUAGGUAAGAUUAGUUAUGGGAUCAAUGCAGGCUAUUAGUACAUUGACUCGGUUCUUAACUCAAGUCCUCCUUGCUUGAUACCAUAUUGAAUGGCAAGUACAUCAUCAAUUUACUUAAGUGGGUGAACAAUGUUGGCUAGUAUAUUCCAACACUCACCUCACAUGCAUUUUUUAGGGGCAUAUAAUGCAUCGUGAUGGAUACAUUCUUUCUAAAGACUAAAUUCCAAUGGAAAAUUCAAAUUAAUUUAGUGGCAAUCUCGUAUGGCAAGGGUAUAUGGUAAAUGAAAAGGAGGGCUCAAAUGCUACUUGUUGGCACACACAAGUCAAGUUGUCUUUUAGCUCCCAUGUUGAUCCUCCAUGGUUCGACAUUGGGCAUUACACAGAGAACGAGUUAUCUUUACGCACUAACUAGAGCUACCAGACCAUGGAUGUUCCACCGUGAAUGUCCAUAUGGUGCAAUGAGUGAUAGCGGGGUAUAUUAGAACAUACAGUAUACACCGUUAAAGUAAUUAACUGUGCUAUUUUGCCUACUAUGACAAAAUAGUAUUUUUAAGAGAAAACUACGCAAGAGUUUGUGAUAUUUGUAUGUAAAAGCAUUAUUUGCCUUUGCUUGGUGUUCACGCAGUUUGAUUUAUGGCAAAAAUGGCAAAUCAUGGGACAAUAAUUGUUGAUAUUCUUUGUGGGAAAGCUAGAAGUUUUCACUUUUCAGAUCACGCAAAGUAUUGUUUUCUUAUAGGGGUGAUACAGGGUUCUAAAUCUGCAUUUGUGAUUUGUUGUCCAUUUAAAUUUUGUUUCUUCCAUAGAUUAUGUUGGUUUGUUGCUGUAUUUAUCUCAGCACUGAAGUAUACUGAUGUUAGCUAAGUCCAAUCAAAGGCCGAUGUUUCUAUCAUGUUAUACAAAUUAGUAAGCUAAGUACUGACCAAACUCAAGUUACAGAAGCCCAGACUACGUGAAAUGCACAUCAUGCAGUACACAUGUUCAUCUUAGUGUUAUGUUAUACUUGGCUCCCAGAUAACAAAUGGUAUCAGUUACUACUAUCUUUUGCAGCUUGUUUCUGCCUGUUCAUCGUAGAAUUAUCUUAUGUAGUCUCCCAAGGUUCAUGCAACUUGGAUUUUCAUACUUUGGUAGCAUUAGUGUUCACUAGGACUAGAUGCCACUCUGUAGAAGCUGGGGAUACAGAUGGAGAAAGUAGUCAUGUUUUUUUUUCAAAAAGUUUGUUCAUAUCUAUAACAGGUUUAUUAAUUUUUAGCGUACAGUGUUGUGAAACGUAGAGUGUUUUAUCUCAUUAAACAUUGAACUACGCUUGCAAGGGAAAAACCUUCAUUUGACAUCGAACUAUGCAUGCAGGGCAAACACCCCGUGCAUCGGUGCCACCACGCCGCGAACCUUGGGAGCUUGAACCUGGAUGGGUGUGAACUUAUGUUGUCAAGGUUUGGGGUCAGUCUUGGAUAGAGAAUAAAGGGGACUUUGCGAAACUGUUAUUAAUAAUAUGUAUGAAACAUUGCCUUGGGGAGAGAAUAAGAGAUUUCGGGAGAUAUUUAUAAAUGGAUGCAUGCUUGCAAUAGCAGUACAAAAUAUGAUGCUAACAUUUUAUUUUCAUUGUUCUUCCCAUUAAACUUCUCGUGGUGGCUCCAUUAUUCACAGCCUCGCACAUGAAAAUGUUAUUUCGUUCGGGUAAAUGUUGCGUGUCGCUGCUCCUGUAGUUUUGCGGUUUGCAUCUGCUUGAAACAUGUGAGUUGGAUUUUGCGAAGUUGCAAUGCAAAUUUGGGAUGCAGGGAAGAUAAUAAACAAUGCUUUCUAAGAGCAUUGGAUAUUGGAUGCCAUUCAGAUAGCACGCAUGCAAAUGCAAGAUGCAAGACGUUGUAGGCACAUCUCCAGGUUUAUUAAGAGAAUCUACAACCGAGAUGCCUCAUAUCCGCCCCAAACGCCAGGGCGAGCUGUCCGGUCGGUACUAGGACGAAAAAUUGCCACCCAACUGGACCUGCCAAAUCCGGCCCAAAUGUCUAGACUGACAUGCACUCCCCAUAUCAGGCCCAUAUCUCGAAUGGAUAUGUGGAAGCCUAGAGGCGCCAGGUAGGAUCCGGCCGACUGUGGCCCACCCGGCCCCACAUAAAUUGGACCCUAUCCGCACUUCGAGCGAAACCCUAGCCGCAGUCUGUCUGGCGUCCGAACGUCAUGGAGGAUCCGCAACCACUUUGUUGGCGCACCGAGAUAGAGGUGCACAACCGCUUAACGUCUGAUACAAAUACGGUGCCGCGCAUCCAGCGUGUUAGGCAACAGGCACGGGAGCCCGCGACAGCGCUCGUGCCACACGCCGGUGGGGUGGACUCCACUCUUCGGCGCGUCGUAUCAUGCCCGGCAGACCUUGGCGCCGAAAUCUUGUCGUGUUGGACGUGGCCGGCUCCACCAUGAUGGAUCAAUCAUCGACCUCACAUCCACCGAUGACAGGCAUGGCACGGGCUCCGACGAGAAAGAGUAGGCCAUAGGAGACGGAGCCAACUCAAGUUUCUUUAGCUGGGUCGUGUCCCAUGUCCUACUCUACCUCACCGGAGACCGACCCUCCACUUCGACAGGCUCAAACAGCCAUCGGACAAGGACAGGGCCGGAACAACAGGGACAACCGCUGGCGCAAAUUUAAACUACAGCCGUCGACCCGAGGUGAGCGCGGCACGAGUUAAUCACUGAAGAGGCUGGGCCCCUCUGUCGCCGGUGGUCGUGCAGUUGCCGACGCAGUCGUCCAUGACCACCACCAGAUCGACGCCACCGCCACUGCAAGUCUAGGCGUCUCUGUAGUGGUUGAUGUUAUUUUAGUGUAUUUUCUUUGUGUUAUGAUGAUUGCAUACUGAGUUGCGUAUUGUGGUGUAUUUUCUUUGUAUUGUGACGAUUGUAUACUGUACAAUGUAUUGUGGCAUAUUUUUUGUGGUCUAUUUUUAAAAACAAAACUAUAAAUAGCUAAAAGUGGUGUGAAGAAUAAAUUUAGACCCGCCACUACAAAACAAUUGCCAGUACUGGGCACAUAUUUUUGCCUACCAUUUAUUGUAAUGUCCGCCACUGCAACGAGAUCGACGUCGAUGGCGGGCUGUUUGUAACACCCGCCACCGUUAUAGUCAUCUGUCGCAGGUGGAGCGCCCGCCGCUGAUGCCAUGUUGCCAGUGGCGGGCGCCUCUGAGAGCCACACCCAUCAUUGCUGGGCUUUUGACGCCCGCCACUGCUAAGCAUUCAUGCGAUAGUGUGCAAUUGCGUAUCUAGUAGAACAUAUGCAACUAUCCUGCGAACCAACAGUUUCGUCCUACCAUGAAGUUAUAGUCGCAUUGAAGACAUUCAUUUAUAAUCGGAAGUGACGUUGCAGUUGCAUAUCAAGUAGGAGACAUUUAACUACCCUAAUGACAAAACACUUUUGUUCCCUAAGUUACAGUCGCGUUGGAGACAUGCAUUAGCGAAACGACACCACCUGUAGUUGCGUGUUUGGAGUUAGACAUGCAAAUAGCUCCAUAAUAAUAAAACUCUGAAUUUUUUAAUUUGUCAAUAUAUUUUGAAUUCACAAAAUCACAAAAAAAUUAACUUUUGAGGACAUUUUUUCAAGACAUUCUUGUUAAUCGACAGACAUUUUUGAAUCAAUGAAAAUUUCUAUGAAUUAACAUGAUUUUUUUUGAAUUGGCGAACAUUUUUUGAAUCGAUGACCAUUUUUUGAUUCAAUGAAUAUUUUUUACAUCAAUCAACAUUUUUUAAAAUUCACAAUAAAUUUUUUUGUGGACAUUUAGAAAACUUGGUGAAUAUUUUUUUGAAUUCAGAUAAUUUGGUUAAAAUUCACGAACAUUUUUGCAAUAUGCGACCAUUUUUCAAAAUCAUAAACAUUUUUAAUACAGGGUUUUUUAAUGAUUUCAGGAACAUUUUCCAAUGUUCAGGUUUUUAAAAAAAUUAGAAGUUUUUUGAAAUCCCGAAUUAUUUUAAUGAUGAAAAAUAAAAACAUAAAAAAACAAAAGGUAAAAAAAGCAUUAAAAACUAAAUGAAAAAUCAAUAGGGGCUUCCCUACCUGCUCAACUUCCGGACGAAUAGGCGCAUGCGGGAGGACUUGCACGCUGCCUCGUUCACUUGCAUGUCACGCGUGGGAUAGGAGGUCCCCUCAUUGUUUAGUCAAAGCUAGUUUAUCUCUUGUAGUGGGGCGCCACCUGUGGCUUUUACAAUCCCUAGAUAUUGCUUCUAUCUCAGCUUCGGUCCUCAUUAAUUAAAUAAAGUGAUGAUACUCCUCAAAAGAAAAUAGCUACAGUUGGCACAAAAUUUACUGCAAAUUAAUCAUGUGAUGAAAGACUUAGACGUGACAUAGUUUUUUUAUGGACCCUGAUAAGUGCCACAUGUCAGGGACGACCACAUGACAACUCUGAACAUCUUUUAUGGCAAGUUUAGUUACACGAGGAUGGCAAAUUAAUUGACGCUUCAUUCUAUUUUGAUAGAAACUUAUCGUGCGUCACUGGAAUUUGGCAUCCUUGCGUGACAAGAAUUGCCAUCGAAAAACGUCAGGCCCAAAGUGCCAAGCACCUGACGUGUAAGACUUAUCAUUUGGAUAUUUUAUAUCUAAGAUAUUAUUUACCAAUACCAUAGCUGAGACAUCUGCCCCAAUGAAGGCGGGGCUGAUGAAAAGUCAAACCCCUCGCCAGCCUAGUCAAAAGGUGUACACGGUCCCCCUGCCGCCUCUAGGGAAAUAGCGCUCGUACGAACGGUAUCCAGUCGCGUUAGGAACGGCAUCUAGUCAAAAUGGGAAGGACUAUCUAUUAUCGAAGAAGUCUACCGCUCUGGAGCUAUCAAAAUAAAUAAUGCCGAAGGUACUAACCCAAAGGUUGUCAAUGGGAAAAGAAUCAAACACUAUAUCUCAGGUACGCCUAUUAAUGUUGAAAGCAAUAUUAUCCAAACUAUGACACCGGAGGAACACAUAAAACAAACCUUCUGGAACACUCCAGAAUCGUGAAUAAAAGGAGGUACGUGCUACGUUAAGUAAACGGACUACGAAAAAUACACAACCCAGAAGGCAGGCAAGGAGGGCACAAGGCACCAUGGCGCGCCCAGGUGGGUUGUGCCCACCUCGGGUACCUUCCGGACUCCGUUUUUCUCCCGUUUGCUUGUUUCUCAAUAUAAUAAUUCUUUAUAUACCCUCCGAACCGAUUGACCACAGUAUCGCGGAGAAAUCUUAUGUUCUCUUUUCUUGCUGUUUUCUGUUAGAUCUGUCAAACCAGGCAUCAUGUCUUGUCCCUCCUCCAACAACGUAGAAGAGGAUGCUUGGUUGAUGAAGAUGGAAUUGAAGAGAGAAGAACAAAAAGAAGCCUUCAAGGGGGACAAGAGCAAGGUAGUUGAUGAAGAUCAAGCUCCAGCAGUAGAGCAGGCCUUGCCUAUGGAAGAAGAAGAAGAAGGUAUCCUUCAACCAUACUAUGAAUAUCUUACCCUCACUGAAAUUUAAGCUUUUAGGACAAUUGAAAUAGUUUGUGUUGAAAACAAAUAUCUGACUUGUGAAAAUAUUCUAUUGCAAGAGCACAUCAUCGCCGUCUGGAGCGUCGUCCGGAGAUUGGAGUAUCUUUUGAGCCCGAAGGAUAAGCUCGCUACUACCUCGUCACCACCACCAUCACCUUCUUCAUCACCAAAGGAGACUUGAGUAUCGGGUAUGGGCACUCCCCUUGGCUUGUGCCAAUCUUGUCGGAAGUGCCCCAGUAUCGUAUCACACCACCCCUUUUGCUCUUAUUUAUCUUAGUUCGAUCUUUAGUUAUCUUUUGAAUUAGUUGAAUAAAAGUUUAGUUCGAUCCUUUUCGAGUGUUUUUGCUAAGUGAUCUAUCUAUCUUUGUAAUUGUGUGCGAGAUAUAUAAUAAAGUUUAGUUCGAGUUUUGUUUUCUUUACCUUUUUGUUUCAUAAGGGGCAAUACAACGUGCCGUUCUUUUUCACUAGGAGAUUGAUCAUACAAACCAAAAGGCGCAUGAAAACAUCUGCUUCCCUCUGCAAAGGGCCUAUCUUUUACUUUCAUGUAUUUACUUUUAUUCAAGAGCCAAAUUAUUCUUCUCUAUUCCUUUUAUUUUUCUCUUUUCCAAGCAUCAUGUGGUGAGGAAAGAUCUAGGCACAUAUAUCCAGUUGGAUAUGGAUGAGCAUCAUGUGGUAAGGAAAGAUCUAGGCACAUAUACUAUUUGGGCUUGCCCAAUAAGGAAAAAGAUCAUCACCUAAAAAAUGUCAUCUCAAAACUAUAUAUUUCAAGUCUAAAACUAAAAAGGAAAAAGAAUUAAACAAAAGUAAACCAUAAUAUACUAUUAAAAAGAUCACCACAUAAAAAACUAAAAAGAAAAAAAUUGGAAGUGCCAAACUACAUGUUUGAAGGCUCAAAACUAUAUAUUUCAAGUCCUAAGCUAAAAAGGAAAAAAAGUAAAUUUAAAGUCCCAAACUACAUAUUUUUAAAAAUGUCAUUAUUUCCAUUUAAAAUAAUAGUAAUUUAAUAAAAGUAAACUAUAAUAUACUAAAAAAAUACCACCACAUAAAAAACUAAAAAAAAAAUUGGAAGUGUGAAACUACAUAUUUGCAGGCUCAAAAACUAUAUGUUUCAAGUCUGAAACUAAAAAGGAAAAAAAGUCUCAAAGUACAUAUUUUAAAAAAUGUCAUUAUUUCUAUUUAAAAUAAUAGAAAAUUAAUAAAAGUAAACUAUAAUAUACUAUAAAAAGGAAUAUACCAAAAAAAAGUAAUAUAAGAAUGUUGGUACUGACAAAACAACAGUACUGGCGUCGGUUACAACAGCACGUCACAACUAAAUAUAAUAGUGUUGGCGUUCCAUGCUAUUCCACGACAGCAAUAUAUUACACGUGAAUCAAAUUGUUGAUCCCAUAUAUUUUUGUCGUUACCCUGUUUCCAACGCCACCACUAUGCCCCUACUAAUGUCGUACCACAUAAGCCAACGUCAUCACUAUGUGAAAAACAUAGUGGUGGCGUUGGUUGUAAAUGGCGCGCUACCAACGAAAGUUGUGGCUAGCCCUUUUUCCACUAGUGAAGAUUGAUGGAGGCUGUUAGAUAAUGUUUAUACGUACCUUCUGUGUAGACUCUAUAUAUUGUAUUUGUACACUUCGUAUACCCUUAUAUAUGUAGGGUAACGCAGCAGAAAACAAAAAUUUUCCGACCUACGCACCAGCCCAGGACCACUAUGGAGACUGCAUACAUGGUUUGAUCUUUUUCGUUACCGACUCGUAGCGCAGCGGGAAGUAGAGUCGAUGACGAUCGGCGGUGCAGAUCCCCGCAGCUAGGAUUUACAACCUCCCAACCGCGAGGAUGUAUACCCUCAUCUGUUCCUCAGACAGCCCUCCGGGAGGCGGUCGAACAACCCCCCCGGAUGGUGUCGUGGACAGCCCUUCGGGAGGACCUUCGAAACUCGAACGGUCACUCGGACAGCCCUUCGGGAGGACCUUCGAAACUCGGACGGUCACACGGACAGCCCUUCGGGAGGCACUCACGAACUAAAACCGAAACUACGAACUCUCUACAGAGUUGCACACACACGGUGUCAUCUAUCCGGCAGGGCUUCGCCGUCCAGAACUAGUUCCCACCGGAACCCAGACAGCCUUUCGGCUCUACGAAACUAUUUCGCUGGGAGGGAGAGAGAAGCCAGAUCAUGCAUGGUACUUGUAUGUGAGAAGGGAUGAUCCUUUAGGUAGCCCCCUCCACCCCUAUUUAUAGGCCAAGCCCAAGGAUGGCUUCUCCAAGAAGCCAAGGGGGGAAAUACCAAAAAGGCCCUCAAGGUGACUUCUCCAAGAAGCCAAGCAAAAAGCACUUUCACUAUUCAUGAUGACAUUUUUCAGCGUCCGUUCGAACUGAAAUUAUUUAUGUGGGCUCAGAACAUUUCCAGUACCCACUAAAAUAAUUUUCAACGCGUUCCGAAACAAUUUCGGUUUAGUGAUUUUCAUCUGCUAAAAGCAAACAAGAAUGCAUUUUCACUAUUCAUGAAGACAACUUUUCGCGUCCACUAAAUCCGAAAAUAUUUCUGUGGGUCUUAGAAUAAUUCUAGUACGCACUAAAAUGAUUUUGGAUUCGUUCUGAAACAAUUUCAGAUUAGUGAAUUUCAUCUGCGAAAAACAGCCAAAGCGGUACCGACAGCUCCGAAACAUUUUUGGUUUUUAUUUCUGAAAAUUCCAAAAAGUUUCCAGAAUGAUUCUGGCACCCUCCGAGAAUUAUCAGGCAUGUGUCGAAACCAUUUUGACUUAAUGGCAUACCCCGAAACAACUUUUUUGGUUUCACCGAAACUCAUCCGGUGACCUCUCUCUGCGGUACGAUUCCGCCGUCCGAAACUUUUUCGGUGAUUUUCUCUCAGACUCCCUGUCUAGUAUUCAGCAGAUAGAUGACCCUUAAGCGUGUGACCCUAUAGGUUCGGUGAAGUAUAGACAUGACCUGGAACCCCUUCCGAUCAAUGAUCAACAUCGGAGCCGUGGACACCCAUAUUGACCCCUAUACCCACACGAAUGAAUAUUCGAGUGAACCUCCAGUUGAGGUGAGCUAUUCCUGUUGCUUCACGAUAUAUCACAAACACCUGAGGUGAGAUUUAUUGCAUCCCCGUGGGCCAACACUUUGUCCACUAUGCAAGUUACCUCGUUACCGGUUUUGUUCUCUUUUCUCGUUUCGUGUUCCGGCAUCCCCGUGAUCAAAUCACAAAGUGUCUGGCCAGACGAUGAUGGACACCGUAACACCGUGUGGGCCCGAGUAUAUCUCUCCAUCGUCGGAGGAGCAAAUCCCAAUCUUGAGCUAUCAAGUUACUUAACAUACUUUCCCAUGAACCCGUAAGCCGCCGUAAUAGCCAUCCAGUUACGGAUGACGUUUAACAAACCCCAAAGUUCAUGAAGCAAGCAUGAAGAAACUCGAUACUCUCAUGGUCUAAGGAAUUAUGCAAACAUUAACUAUCUCUGUGUUAUAAACCAUUAACUUGUGACGAAUGAAUCUCUUAGCAUAACAUCAAUCCGGGUCGAUUCAACACAAAUGUUCUCUUAACAUUGUGCCCUCAAAAUUGCUGGCAUAGACAUGCCCAUGAUCAGGAAAACAGAACCAUCAUGCAACACUUGAGCUAGUCUUAGAGGCCAGACUAGGAAUACUUCUUACCGUUUAUUAUUCCACACGUGCAUAUGAGUCUUCCUCUGAGCCUCGUGGAUAUUGCAGACUCGAGAAUCAUUGCAGUUAUAGCAUGGAACAUAAACAUAAUUAUGAACUCGGAGAUAAAUAAUAUCAUUUAUUAUUGUCAAUAAUCUAGCUUAUGCUAAUGCACUUCACACCUGUGGCACACCGGUGUAAAUAUGCUUCGCUUGUGGUAUAGCCUGAUGUCCAACGGAUCUGACGACUUCAGUUCCGUGUGUAUCUUUGCAUGUCCUCGCGUUUUCACGUUUUCACAAAAUUCAUAUUUCGUGUGGACUUGGCUUUGUAUGUAUGUGAAUCACAGGUCGAAUCUGGAUUCCUCAGACUGAGUUAUGGAGCAACUACCUGCAGUAGUGUCCCAUUGUCAAAAGCCAUCUUGGAACUAUACUAAGUUCAUGAAUGAACUAUAUGAUUCAACAUUUUCUUUGUCGCUUCUAAAGCGUCAACAUACUUAGCCCUUGUUAUAGAAUUCGCCACAGUAACUAGUUUGAACAAAUUCCAACUAACUGUGCCACCACAUUGUGUGUUACAUAAAACCCUUAAUUUAAAUCAAAAAUCGCAUGGAGAAAAGAUGAAGACUGUAUCGAUGUAACAUUUUACAACGAACUCUUCAUGAUCUCUGCUUGCGAGAAAACCAUGUCAUCAGUACUUACUCUAGUACUCUGUGACAUCUUUCACUGUUGUCCCAUGAUCAGUAAUUUGAUCACUUUGGUAUCCAUACUCGCAACACCUUGGGAGUAUCGAACAUAUCUGGUUGUUUUACAUACCAUGGAAUACAUGAUUAAUCCAAACACACGUGUGUGGAAUCUGCAUCAUGUAUUUUACUCAUCAGUGUUUUCUGACACCGAGUCUUUCAAAAACUCUUUCCAUGUGACUUUGGCAAGAAUCACUCCUUGAAGUUUUAAAUGCUAAAAGGUUUUAGCAUCUUGUCAAUAUGUAUUCAUUGCUUAGCCCCAUUAGGUAAAUCUAUCUACAUAGAUCAUCAUGCCUAAUAUUGAGGCUAUUUAGCCUAAGCACUUCAUCGAAAAACUAUUUUCAAAUGAAGUCCUAAUUUGUGUCAAGAAAUAUAUUUCCAAUUACCAAUAUGCCAAGCACAUAAGGUUUUUAGAAAUAUUAUUACGCUGCCACUUACUUUCUUGAAUUACAAGCAUCUUCGUUACCCAUUGAUGAAGUCAAAACCCCUUUGACCAUUUCAUCAAAACACGAAGAUUCCAACUCCAUUUUGCUCUCUUCUGUCCAUUGCUGGAACUCUAAAGUUUGCAUACCUACUAGCAUCCUUUGGAUCGACAAAUUACUUUGGACUGUAUCAUAUACAAGUCCUAGCUUUCAUUUCCAUCAGAUGGAAAUCCUUUUAUCAUCCAUGUUUCAUAUCUCAUGAUUGAAAUAUGUAUUAAUUGCUAGUUCAACCCGAACCGACUUUAAGCAUCGCUACGAUGAAAACAACCUCAUCGUAGUCACCUCUUGAACUUGUUAUUUCAACAAGUCGAGCUUUAUGGAUAAAACAUUUUAUCCAUAUCAAUUUUAAGUUCCAUAAAUAUUCGUUAGACUCUAAGUCUUCCGAAAGGUGUAUCAAGGUUUUAAUAUUGAAUCACUUAUAUGGAAACUAACUCGGGUUGUAUUGGCAUUUAGCCAAUUCCGGAGUCAGGGCCCAUCAACGCCUCCUUGUGUAUCGUAGGUAUAAUGUUGUCUAACAACAAUAUCUCGUUUGCGCACCUGAGAGGUUUGCACGAGCCUUGUCUACGUGGUUCAGCUGCAAGUUCGACCGAAGUUCAUACAUUUUAUUGUAGAGACUUCCGUAUCAGUUGCAGUAGGAAACUCUGGAAUUACUUCCAAGGUCUCUUUCCUUUGAUCUGAUGACGUAGAUACUGUUUAUCUCGUCGAGUUGCACUAUUCUCCCACUCACCUUUUUGAAAGAACCAUUCUCUUUAAAAGCACACCGUUUCGCGGCAAAACUAUUUGCCUUGGUAUAGUGAGGGAGGAAUACCCAACAUUUUGGUAUAACCUACAAAGUAGCACUUGUCUGAUUUGGAAUAGGUUUAUAACCUUUUACACAAGCCCCAUAUUCCAAAUGUUAAGAAAAGAUAUAACAUGGUUGGGCGUACCAUACCAUGGCUUCAUUUCAACAGACCCGAUAUAGCUCUUUUCAGUGUAAAAGCCGCAGUCUCUAAAGCAUCACUUUAAAAGGGAUAAUGACAAAUUUAUUUAUGUCAUCUUUGACCUUACCAUGUCAUAAAUGGUUUGAUUACAUCUCCACGGACUUUCCACUUGCAGUGGUGUUCCGGGAGGUCCAAGUUUAUGAAACCCCUUUCACAACUCAUCAGACAUUCGCUAAACAUGUAACUCAAAUAUUCCUUUGUGCAAUCAAAUUGCAGAAACAUAAUUUUCUUGUUACAAUAACUUCUACUUCAUUUUUGAGAACCUUUCGAAUGAUUUCAAAAGAUCCAGACUUACGUCUCAUCAAGUAAAUAUCCAUAUAUCUACGUGAGUCAUUUCUGAAGAUAAAUAAAUCCACCACUAACAACACUUAUCGGACUACACACAUCAAAUGUAUGAUCACUAAUAAGUUUGUUGUUCGUUCCUUAUGGCCUGUGAACGGUAUUUUAGUCACUUCACUUUUCGGAGGAAAGUUGCAAGUGUCAGAUGAUUCAAAAUCAAAAAGACUUCAAAAUCCAUCAUAAUGGAAUUUUCCAUGCGGGUUUCUCCAAUGUGACCAAAUGUAGUGCCACACUUGUGUGGUAUUCUUUUAGUCUUGCGACAUUUAGCGUCAGUGUUAUGGAUGUAUCAUAUUACCCUCAAUAUUCAUAACAUACGUCCCAUCGAUGAUGUAAGUAUGGCCCUUAUGUUAUUCAUAAUACUUAACAACAAUUGUUGUUUUUAUGAACAACUCUUUUGCAACAAACAUUGUGCAAUGGGCUAGAGUGUAUGAAACUCUAAAAUGAAUUAUGAAAGUAACCCAGAGGUAUUGUAUUAUUAUCAAUAUUCAUAACAUACAUCUCAUUCAUAAUGAAAGUAUGGCCCUUGUGUUAUUCAUAACAUCGAACAUAAAAAGUUCUCUUAUGAACAACCUUCUUGCAAGAUACCUUAUGCAAUGGGAUAGAGUUUGUAAAACUCUAAAUGAAUUAUGAAAAUAAAUACAGACGGCAAUACACCGAUGGAAGGUAUAGUAACAUUUACUAUGUUCCCUGUGUAUACCUUAACCUCAUUUCUAGCUAGUCUUUCAGGCCAUAGUAGUUCUUACAUCGAGUUGCAACAGAAUGCAAUCGAGCGGGCAUUUUUGUGAUGAACUCACAAUACCCAAGAAUUAGUGAUUAACAUGUUUAACCAUAAUUCGCAAGAACUAUAUCUUUGACCAGCCUUCUAUACAUCAAAAACUUGUAUGACAUUCAUACAUGAGCUGGAUAUUCCAGUCUUCUUUCCUUUUGCCUUUAUACUUCUAGCAGUUUAACUUUUAGUAUUUCUCCUACUCUCAGAAGAAGCACCCAACUUAAGAGUGGCAUUAGCCCCGGACUUCCUAGGCGUGUAAGUCAUACUAACACCCUUUGGACACUUCCUUUCUCUUUAAGUUGUUGUUUUAUUCACCUUUCAUUAUAUGACAGGCGUUCUUCUGGAUCCCUUUCCCAACAGUCAAAUGCAUAGUAAACACUUUUACUAAUACUUGCAAACAAACAUUGCUUUGUUUGUAUCUGAAAAUAAUUUUCAGUUCCAUGAAUAUCAUAUAACUAUCCCAACUUUCGAAGUUUGGGUUUCAUGGAAGCAAACAUAUUCCACUUGACCGUAACAGAAUUCUAGUUUUUGGAUCGAAGGACGAGAGUCACAUGAUCCAUAGCAUUAGCGGGAAGAUACGGAAAGCAUGCGAUAGGACAAAGUCCUUCUCGGCACUUUUGAGGACAAUCCUCAUAUUACGUUACCAAUCGUAAAGUUUUAACCAGAUAUUUAACAGCUAUUCAAUUUAAUAGGGAAGGUGGAAAUGCGAGCCAUUAUUCUACAACUAUUAUGCAAGAAACACUUAGACAGUGUUCAUAAUUAAUUGCACUGAGAAUUAAACAUGUUAAUUCAACAGUGCGCUCCCACUCAAAUCAAUAUCUCUCAUAAUUGAUUUAGAGUGAUUCAAGAUCCAUAUUUCUAUUCGAUGCCAUUGACGGGUUCAUCACUGAUGAAACGAAUUUCAAUCGGUAGGCCAACUUGCCAAUCACAUCUCUAUGUGAUUAUUGUUCAUCUUUCGAUGGGCGUGUUCCGAGCUCAGGACUCUCCUGCCUGAACGUCAAAGACAACCAAGUAAUCUUGCUGCGAGGUCUGACCUCACUCGCCUCAUUCCUCUCGAUUCGUUCGUGCUCAUGUGUACAUGGCGCACCACGAAAAGAUACGAAUUUCAAACGGUGCUACACUUGGGUGAACACUAACUACUUUGAUAUUUUAAGUGAGAGAUCACCCUAAUAAAAAGCGACUACCGCGCAAUCAAGAAGGGUGCAUCAUAAGGGAUAAACAUCUCAGGCAAUUCAUAAUAGCAUGAUAUGGUAUAGCCCUUUCUGAUGGAGAAGUAUUUCAUUUCUUCGUCUUUGGCAUUCGCGUCGGUGUUCACCUUCGCGAAGAUUGCCACCACCUUGAUGAUGCACCAGAUAAUAUUGCUAUCUCUAUAGCUAACAAAAUAAUGCAUUUCAACAAGGUUGACACGCAGGUCAUUAAAGUGCAAUCAUAUGGCUCCAGCCAUCAUGCCGAAUCAUGACACGCAGGUCAUGUUAAUCAAAUUACAUCAUAUAGUCAUCUCAUACAUAAUCGAAUUAGUAUGAGCACUGCUAUACCACAUCACAUGCACAUCCUGCAAAACCAAGUUAGACGCCUCUAAUCGGUUUAUGCAAAAUUUAUUUUACGUGGCUUCUAAGGUUUUGACUUAAACCGCGGCUACCAACAUUUUAUCAUCAAGUAUGAUUAUUCAGGUUGCUAGAUUAACAUCUCGGGGUGUAUGAAACACGGGAUAAUUAAAUCUCGAGCCCCAUACUAAACUUCGUCAUACGCAUGACCCCCGUGCAGAUCAUAUCUGCAAUGCCCUUUCAUCUGCGAAUUUCAUCUUUCUUUUGACUAUGGCAGAACCCAAAGAACUGAUAGCACUUCCAUGAUCAAUCAGGAUCACGGAUUGCCAGAACUUUGUCAAAUUCCACCAUGCUGUCUCGAGAUUGAGCAAACGCAAAUUCUAGGGAAGCAACAAGAACCUCGAGUAACAGAUUUCAUCUGUCACCCGCAUAAACAAUUUUCAGCAAUAGAUCUCAUCUACUACCUAAUUAUAUUAUGCAAUACCCAUACAUCUCCAUGUAUUCUAGAUCGAAACCUGCAUCUACGCAUAGCACCGCUCUUGAUGCCACUGUAGGGUAACGUAGCAGAAAACAAAAAAUUUCCGACCUACGCACCAGCCCAGGACCACUAUGGAGACUGCAUACAUGGUUUGAUCUUUUUCGUUACCGACUCGUAGCGCAGCGGGAAGUAGAGUCGAUGACGAUCGGCGGUGGAGAUCCCCGCAGCUAGGAUUUACAACCUCCCAACCGCGAGGAUGUAUACCCUCAUCUGCUCCUCAGACAGCCCUCCGGGAGGCGGUCGAACAACCCCCCCGGAUGGUGUCGCGGACAGCCCUUCGGGAGGACCUUCGAAACUCGAACGGUCACUCGGACAGCCCUUCGGGAGGACCUUCGGAACUCAGACGGUCACACGGACAGCCCUUCGGGAGGCACUCACGAACUAAGACCAAAACUAUGAUCUCUCUACAGAGUUGCACACAUACGGUGUCAUCUAUCCGGCAGGGCUUCGCCGUCCAGAACUAGUUCCCACCGGAACCCAGACAGCCUUUCGGCUCUACGAAACAAUUUCGCUGGGAGGGAGAGAGAAGCCAGAUCAUGCAUGGCACUUGUAUGUGAGAAGGGAUGAUCCUUUAGGCAGCCCCCUCCAACCCUAUUUAUAGGCCAAGCCCAAGGGUGGCUUCUCCAAGAAGCCAAGGGGGGAAAUACCAAAAAGGCCCUCAAGGUGGCUUCUCCAAGAAGCCAAGCAAAAAGCACUUUCACUAUUCAUGACGACAUUUUUCAGCGUCCGUUCGAACUGAAAAUAUUUAUGUGGGCUUAGAACAUUUCCAGUACCCACUAAAAUAAUUUUCAACGCGUUCCGAAACAAUUUCGGUUUAGUGAUUUUCAUCUGCGAAAAGCAAACAAGAAUGCAUUUUCACUAUUCAUGAAGACAAUUUUUCGCGUCCACUAAAUCCGAAAAUAUUUCUGUGGGUCUUAGAAUAAUUCCAGUACCCACUAAAAUGAUUUUGGAUUCGUUCUGAAUCAAUUUCAGAUUAGUGAAUUUCAUCUGCGAAAAACAGCCAAAGCGGUACCGGCAGCUCCGAAACAUUUUCGGUUUUUAUUUCUGAAAAUUCCAAAAAGUUUCCAGAAUGAUUCUGGCACCCUCCAAGAAUUAUCAGGCAUGUGCCGAAACCAUUUUGACUUAAUGGCAUACCCCGAAACAACUUUUUCGGUUUCACCGAAACUCAUCCGGUGACCUCUCUUUGUGGUACGAUUCCGCCGUCCGAAACUUUUCGGUGUCCGAAACUUUUUCAGUGAUUUUCUCUCAGACUCCCUGUCUAGUAUUCAGCAGAUAGAUGACCCUUAAGCGUGUGACCCUAUAGGUUCGGUGAAGUAUAGACAUGACCUGGAACCCCUUCCGAUCAAUGAUCAACAUCGGAGCCGUGGACACCCAUAUUGACCCCUAUACCCACAUGAAUGAAUAUUCGAGUGAACCUCCAGUUGAGGUGAGCUAUUCCUGUUGCUUCACGAUAUAUCACAAACACCUGAGGUGAGAUUUAUUGCAUCCCCGUGGGCCAACACUUUGUCCACUAUGCAAGUUACCUCGUUACCGGUUUUGUUCUCUUUUCUCGUUUCGUGUUCCGGCAUCCCCGUGAUCAAAUCACAAAGUGUCUGGCCAGACGAUGAUGGACACCGUAACACCGAGUGGGCCCGACUAUAUCUCUCCAUCGUCGGAGGAGAAAAUCCCAAUCUUGAGCUAUCAAGUUACUUAACAUACUUUCCCAUGAACCCGUAAGCCGCCGUAAUAGCCAUCCAGUUACGGAUGACGUUUAACAAACCCCAAAGUUCAUGAAGCAAGCAUGAAGAAAAUCGAUACUCUCAUGGUCUAAGGAAUUAUGCAAACAUUAACUAUCUCUGUGUUAUAAACCAUUAACUUGUGACGAAUGAAUCUCUUAGCAUAACAUCAAUCCGGGUCGAUUCAACACAAAUGUUCUCUUAACAUUGUGCACUCAAAAUUGCUGGCGUAGACAUGCCCAUGAUCAGGAAAAUAGAACCAUCAUGCAACACUUGAGCUAGUCUUAGAGGCCAGACUAGGAAUAAUUCUUACUGUUUAUUAUUCCACACGUGCAUAUGAGUCUUCCUCCGAGCCUCAUGGAUAUUGCAGACUCGAGAAUCAUUGCAGUUAUAGCAUGGAACAUAAACAUAAUUAUGAACUCGGAGAUAAAUAAUAUCAUUUAUUAUUGCCUCUAGGGCAUAUCUCCUACAAUAUAUACGAGAUAGCCACACCCAUAUUUGGUGUUGUGCAGUUUCCCAACAACAUAAUAUUUUACAGUCCUGAGAGGCCAUCCAAGGGAGUCCGUUGUAGGCUCAUGCCAUUUUUACCCUGUCUAACUAGACCUAAAGUGGCGAACUUACUAGCAUGUCGCCAUGUCCUUGGACUAGAGAAGGAAGUUGGAGUCUAGACGAUCGUCUUGGAGAUGGACUGCAAGAUGGUUGCGAGCAAGCUCAACUCUGAAGGGAAGGACGGAUCACCCCAUGGUCCGGCGGUUGAAGAUGUGAAGGGAAUGCUCCAAACUUUUAUUGAGUCCAAGAUCACUUGGGUUCAUAGAGAGAUGAAUUGUAUUGCCUUCAUCUUAGAUAAUGAACAUUGUCGGAAUGAGUUGUGAAAAACAUGGCUUGGUGUGCCUCCAAAUUGUACUAGCGCCAUUUGAACUCUGGCAUUGCCGAGAACUCUGUAUACAACGGCAACCAUUCUAUCUAAAAAAUGAUUCUUUACAGGUAUCUUUUGCCUUAUCAAUAAAUCGAGUAUAAAAAAUUCAGUUUAAAUUUGAAGCAAGGUGAUUACCAACAUACUUAUUUUAUUCCUUAUCUAUAUCUUGAUGCAUGGCUAUAAUAAGAUGAUAUAUUUUUUGUCAAAAAGUUGCUAGUAUUAAUUUUAAUUGACUAGGGAACUAAAUGAUAACUACUACUACCUUUUUCCUGAUUUAUUAGGGCUCCUUGUAGUUUGGGUCAAACUUUGACAGUUGUUUUAACUAUUAAAAAAUAAGUUAUAUACUCUAAGAAUAGUAUCAUCGAAAUCCUCUUUCAAAUAUGAACCAAACAAUAUAAGUUUUGUGACAUACAACUUAUAAUUUGUUAGUCAAAUAUACUGUCAAAGUUGGACACAAAAUACGAAAGGGACAAAUAAACCCGGACGGAAGUAGUAAUAGUAUUCCCUCCGGAACAAAUAAAUGCACUACCAAAUAGUAAGUAUAUAUUUGUUUCUAAAUAUAAGAAUAUUACUAUUAAAUACUACUAUAUAAAAGAUAUAAGAAUAUUAAAUACUAGUAUACCAAAGAUAUACCUAAAUAUAAGAAUAUUUAAUAGUAGUAUACGGAAGAUAUUCUACAGUUAAAUACUAUUAACUCUGUUCCAAAAUAUAUGAAUAUUACUAUAAAGUACUAUUAGCUGCGUUCUAAUAUUUAGUAAUAGAGAUAAUAUUCUUUAGUAGUGAUAUAUCUUUAUUCGUCAUUAAAUAUAAGAAUAUUACUAUAAAAUACUAGAAUCCCAAAGAUAUAUCUAAUAGUAUACUAAAGAUAUACAACAAUUAAAUAAUAUUACCUCUGUUCCAAAAUAUAAGAAUGUUAGUAUUAAAUACUGUCACAGCUAUUCUUAUAUUUAGUAACAGAGAUAAUAGUAUUUAAUAGUAGUAUAUCAUUGUUCCUAAAUAUAAGUAUAUUUCUAUUAAAUACUAGUAUACCAGAUAUAUAUCUAAUUGUAUAUCAAAGAUAUACCAAAAUGUAAGAAUAUUCAAUAGAAAUAUACCAAAGAUAUGCUACUAUUAAAUGCUGGUAUUAAAUAAAUAAAUCUGUAGUUCAACACGCGGUCCCCACCUUGGCCCAUGCCUUCGGUUUUAGUUCAUGAAGGGCAACACAUGCUUCUGCUCCUCGCUCACGUUCUUCUCAUCCGGCUCUCCUCGACCCACUCCGCGCGUCUGCUCGACCGAUCCAUCGCGAUGUCUAGCUCCAGUGUCACCGCCAUACCCCCAGCCAACCACGAGGAGCAGAGCCUGGCGGCGCCCGCCCUGCCCCCUUCGGCCGCCGUCGCCCUAGGGAAAGGGAAGGUGUUUGCACAACAGGCGCCUGCGCCGGUGGUUCGCGGGCGCAAGUCCGGGAGAGACCGGCAGAAAAGCCCGCCCCCAGCGGCCACCAGAGAGGAGCUGGAAUACCGGGAGUCCCGGAAAGGCCCCUUGAAGGUGCUUGCCCUCCCGGCAUCAGGGGCCCCGCGUACUCACUCUGUCUCCGGCGACAAGAUGAUGAGACGCGCUCGUGCCCCCACACUGCAUGAAAACGUUGUCUCCGACGACAAGAUGGUGAGCCGCGCUCGCGCCCCCACACUACAUGCAAACCCUGUCUCCGAUGACAAGAUGGUGAGCCGCACUUGCUUCCCCCUCUCCUACUAGUGAUUUGAACUUAACCGGUGCCUAAUGAUUUGAAGUUACUGACAAUCUUUAAUCUAGUCAUGUGAAUUAGUACUAGCGCUUACUGAAUUACCUGAUGUGCAUGUGCAAGAAAUUUCAUGGUGUCUAUAUGUCCUUGGACUUUCUAAUCGCUGCGGUGUCUUGUGGCAGAUGGACGGGAAUGAGAUGGCGCCGGUCCAGGGGGUGCCGCCCAUGCGGGGGAGCAUCGCGGCUUCAAGCUCGGUUGGUAAGUACUCCAUACUGGUUUUUCUCUCAGUAUCACGGUUGUUUUUUUGUCAUCAUUAGUAUAAUGAUAUUGGAAUCUUUCGCAAAAAAUAAUAAUAAUAAUAAUGAUAUUGGACUAAAGUUGGUUAGCUCUUUUCAUGCUGGAUUUUUGGCAUCAUUAGUAUACUGAUAUUGGACUGAAGCUGGUUAGCUCUUUCCAUGCUAGAUUUUUGGCAUCAUUAGUAUAUUGAUAUUGGACUGAAGCUUGUUAGCUCUGUCCAUGCUCGGUUUUUUGUCAUCAUUAGUAUAGUGAUAUAUUGGACUCAAGCUGCACAUGUUUUGUUUCCAUUAACGUUGGUCUAGAAGUGCUACGGGCCAGUCGACCUAUCGUGACCGCCAUACAUGCCUGAUUUUAAUCAAGUUCCUCCCAGUUGGUUUUGUCACUAGCUGCAUAUACAAACGCGAGCACGGUCACUGUGUUGCAGCAUGGAAGACAUAUGAACUGUGAUAAGAAACAUGCAAUGGCUAGAAACAUCUCCGUACAAUUUUUUGGCACGUUAUAGGUGUCAACGAAAUUAGUCAGCUUGCCAGCCGUCGGAUCUGACACGUGGAGCAUUGGAUCACACCACACAGCAGCAGAGAGAGUGGAACCCGUCUUCCUCCAUAGCCUCCACAAACCCUAUGUAUCCCCCACCCCUCCCCCAUCGCUGCAACAGACUAUUAUGCCAGGCCCCUUGCAGCACCUCACGUCCAUGCUCUGGUGCAUCCCUGAUGUCGCCUGGUAUCCUGCAAGCACUAUUACAGCGCGUCGGCGAGGAACAUUGUCUUACAACCGAGGUAGUUGAUGCGACCACAAUCCUCCUUUGUCGCCUGGUUCGUGGCUUGUGGCACUGAUCAUCGACUAAAACACCCCCCGUGAGAACCUGCGGUUGCACCACUGUGAGCUAUGCAACUUAGGAAAUGUUGCGACAACCCCGUGGGUGGAAAUAGAGCGAAUGGAUAUGGUGAAGAGAGACAAAUACAAGCGAGGGGCAUCUGGCGCUAGAGCGAGCUGACUCAUUUCCUCCUGAAACCAGUCUAUUGGAUAUAAUUCCAUUUUCUUUUUAGAAACCUCAUAACACUGUCGCAACAUGCGAGCAUGUCUAUACAAAAACUGGUAGAUAUAGAACACAUACUCAUUAACUGCAACAAAUCGGAGAAAAACCACAAUGUAUAUACGCCUGAACCGAUGGAUCAUUGCCAUGCAUCUUCCAACUCUUCCUAGGUUAGGCCCACCCGCGAACCGGUCAAUUCUGUCACAGAUCAUUGCCGAAUCAACCACCAACUUGGUUCUUCAUCUCGUCUCCUCUCCCCACCCUUCGCAACAUACACCCAUGUUUCUCAGCAAUAGACCCACUUGGAGGCCACAAUGGUGGCCAUGGUAGGCUAGUGAAAAGCACAAUGGUGGUCGGUCUUACAACACUAAACACAACAUUGCAACAGUGCUUGCUCAUGGUGCUGCAAACACAUACUCUCGUCAGGUGCUAUAAUCAUCUUCUCAUCUGUGCUACAACUACGGCCGGUGUUGCAAGGCGAUUGUCGCAUCAUUGCCAGUUUUGCAGUGGCUGUCGCAACAAUUCCUAAGUUGCAUAGAUCUUAGUGGUGCAACCACAUGUUCUCGCGGGGUGUGUUCUAUCCGACGACCAGUGCCACAAACCACGACCUAGGUGGCAAGGGGUGAGGGUUGUGGUGCCAUCAACUACCUUGGCUGUAAGACAAUGUUGCAAGGAUGAAGCCUCGCUGGUGCAAUGUAAUAACACUUGCGGGAUACACAGGCGACUUUAAGGAUGCUCUAGGGCACCAAUGUCAGGUGUUGUGAGUGGUUGACGAAAUAGUCUGUUGUGAAGAUGGGGGAGUGGUGGGGGAUACACAGGUUUUGUGGAGGCUAUGGAGGAAGACGGGUUCCACUCUCUCUGGUGCCCGUGUGGUGUGAUCAAAUGCUCCACGUGUCAGAUAGACGGUUGGCGAACCGACUAAUUUUGUUGAGACCUAAAACGUGCCAAAAAAAUGUACGGAGAUAUUUCUAGCCAUUGCAUGUUUCUUAGAACACUUCAUAUGUCUUCCACGCUGCAACACAUAGUGCCGGAGCUCGCGUUUGUAUACGUGGCUUUUGACAAAACAAACUAGGUGGAACUUGAUUAAAAUCAGGCGGGUAAGGUGGCCAAGAUCGGCCGACUGACGUGUAGCAUCGUGUGACCAACGUUAACGGAAAGAAAACAUGUGCAACUUCAGUCCAAUAUAUCAAUAUACUAAUGAUGACAAAAAUCAUAGCAUGGACAGAGCUAACAAGCUUGAGACCAAUAUCAGUAUACUAAUGAUGCCAAAAAUCCAGCAUGGAUAGAGCCAACCAGCUUCAGUCAAAUAUCAGUAUACUAAUGAUGCCAAAAAUCCAGCGUGGAAAGAGCUAACCAGCUUCAGUCCAAUAUCAUUAUCUAAUGAUGACAAAAAAACCAGCCGUUAUACUGACAGAAAAACCAGUAUGGAGUACUUACCAACCGAGCUUGAAGCGGCCACGCUCCGCCGCAUGGGCGGCACCCCCUGGACCGACUUCAUCUCGUUCCCAUUCAUCUGCCACAUGAGACCGCAUCUAUUAGAAAGUCCAAGGAUAUAUACACAGCACGUAAUUCUUGCACAUACACAUCAGGUAAUUCAGUAAGCACUCGUACUAAUUCACAGAACAAGAUUAAAGAUUGUCAGUAACUUCAAAUCAUUAGGCACUGUUUAACUUCAAAUUGUAGGAGAUAUGCCCUAGAGGCAAUAAUAAAUGUUAUUGAUUAUCUCCCUGUUCAUAAUUAUGUUUAUGUUCCAUGCUAUAACUGCUAUGGUUCCCGAGCCCGUAUAUCCAUAAAGGCUCUGGGGAGAACCCAUAUGCACGUGUGGAAUAAUAAACGGUAAAAUGUAUUCCUAGUCGUGCGUCUAAGACUAGCUCAAGUGUUGCAUGAUGAUUAUGUUUUCCCAAUCAUGGGCAUGUCUAUGCCAAGCAACUUUGAGGGCACAAUGUCAGGAAGGACAUUUGUGUUGAAUCGACCCGAAUUGAUGUUAUGCUAUGAGAUACAUUCGUCACAAGUUAAUGGUUUAUAACACAAAGAUAGUUAAUGUUUGCAUAAUUCCUUAGACCAUGAGAGUAUCGAGUUUCUUCAUGCUUGCUUCAUGAACUUUGGGGUUUGUUAAACGUCAUCCGUAACUGGAUGGCUAUUACGGCGGCUUACGGGUUCAUGGGAAAGUAUGUUAAGUAACUUGAUAGCUCGAGAUUGGGAUUUGCUCCUCCGACGAUGGAGAGAUAUACUCGGGCCCUCUCGGUGUUACGGUGUCCAUCAUCGUCUGGCCAGACACUUUGUGAUUUGAUCACGGGGAUGCCGGAACACGAAACGAGAAAAGAGAACAAAACCGGUAACGAGGUAACUUGCAUAGUGGACAAAGUGUUGGCCCACGGGGAUGCAAUAAAUCUCACCUCAGGUGUUUGUGAUAUAUCGUGAAGCAACAGGAAUAGCUCACCUCAACUGGAGGUUCACUCGAAUAUUCAUUCGUGUGGGUAUAGGGGUCAAUAUGGGUGUCCACGGCUCCGAUGUUGAUCAUUGAUCGGAAGGGGUUCCAGGUCAUGUCUAUACUUCACCGAACCUAUAGGGUCACACGCUUAAGGGUCAUCUAUCUGCUGAAUACUAGACAGGGAGUCUGAGAGAAAAUCACCGAAAAAGUUUCGGACACCGAAAAGUUUCGGACAGCGGAAUCGUACCGCAGAGAGAGGUCACCGGAUGAGUUUCGGUGAAACUGAAAAAGUUGUUUCGGGGUAUGCCAUUAAAGUCAAAAUGGUUUCGGCACAUGCCUGAUAAUUCUUGGAGGGUGCCAGAAUCAUUCUGGAAACUUUUUGGAAUUUUCAGAAAUAGAAAAUGUUUCGGAGCUGCCGGUACCGCUUUGGCUGUUUUUCGCAGAUGAAAUUCACUAAUCUGAAAUUGUUUCAGAACGAAUCCAAAAUCAUUUUAGUGGGUACUGGAAUUAUUCUAAGACCCACAGAAAUAUUUUCGGAUUUAGUGGACGCGAAAAAUUGUCUUCAUGAAUAGUGAAAACGCAUUCUUGUUUGCUUUUCGCAGAUGAAAAUCACUAAACCGAAAUUGUUUCGGAACGCGUUGAAAAUUAUUUUAGUGGGUACUGGAAAUGUUCUGAGCCCACAUAAAUAUUUUCAGUUCGAACGGAUGCUGAAAAAUGUCGUCAUGAAUAGUGAAAGUGCUUUUUGCUUGGCUUCUUGGAGAAGCCACCUUGAGGGCCUUUUUGGUAUUUCCCCCCUUGGCUUCUUGGAGAAGCCACCCUUGGGCUUGGCCUAUAAAUAGGGGUGGAGGGGGCUGCCUAAAGGAUCAUCCCUUCUCACAUACAAGUGCCAUGCAUGAUCUGGCUUCUCUCUCCCUCCCAGCGAAAUAGUUUCGUAGAGCCGAAAGGCUGUCUGGGUUCCGGUGGGAACUAGUUCUGGACGGCGAAGCCCUACCGGAUAGAUGACACCGUAUGUGUGCAACUCUGUAGAGAGAUCGUAGUUUCGGUCUUAGUUCGUGAGUGCCUCCCGAAGGGCUGUCCGUGUGACGGUCCGAGUUUCGAAGGUCCUCCCGAAGGGCUGUCCGAGUGACCGUUCGAGUUUCGAAGGUCCUCCCGAAGGGCUGUCCGCGACACCGGCCGGGGGGCUGUUCGACCGCCUCCGGGAGGGCUGUCUGAGAAGCAGAUGAGGGUAUACAUCCUCGCGGUUGGGAGGUUGUAAAUCCUAGCUGCGGGGAUCUGCACCGCCGAUCGUCAUCGACUCUACUUCCCGCUGCGCUACGAGUCGGUAACGAAAAAGAUCAAACCUUGUAUGCAGUCUCCAUAGUGGUCCUGGGCUGGUGCGUAGGUCGGAAAUUUUUGUUUUCUGUGGCGUUCCCCUACAGUGGCAUCAUGAGCCAUGCUAUGCGUAGAUGCAGGUUGCGAUCUAGAAUACAUAGAGAUGUAUGGGUAUUGCAUAAUAUAAUUUUGGAGUGGAUGAGAUCUAUUGCUGAAAAUUAUUUAUGCGGGUGACAGAUGAAAUCUGUUACCCGAUGUUCUUGCUGCUUCCCUAGAAUUUGCGUUUGCUCAAUCUCGAGACAGCAUGGUGGAAUUUGACAAAGUUCUGGCAAUCCGUGAUCCUGAUUGAUCAUGGAAGUGCUAUCAGUUCUUUGGGUUCUCCCGUAGUCAAAAGAAAGAUGAAAUUCGCAGAUGAAAGGGCAUUGCAGAUAUGAUCUGCACGGGGGUCAUGCGUAUGAUGAAAUUUAGUAUGGGGCUCGGGAUUUAAUUAUCCCGUGUUUCAUACACCCCGAGAUGUUAAUCUAGCAACCUGAAUAAUCAUACUUGAUGAUAAAAUGUUGGUAGCUGCGUUUUAAGUCAAAACCUUAGAAGCCACGUAAAAUAAAUUUUGCAUAAACCGAUUAGAGGCGUCUAACUUGGUUUUGCAGGAUGUGCAUGUGAUGUGGUAUAGCAGUGCUCAUACUAAAUUCGAUUAUGUAUGAGAUGACUAUAUGAUGUAAUUUGAUUAACAUGACCUGCGUGUCAUGAUUCGGCAUGAUGGCUGGAGCCAUAUGAUUGCACUUCAAUGACCUGCGUGUCAACCUUGUUGUAAUGCAUUAUUUUUUUAGCUAUAGAGAUAGCAAUAUUAUCUGGUGCAUCGACAAGGUGGUGGCAAUCUUCGCAAAGGUGAACACCGACGCGAAUGCCGAAGACGAAGAAAUGAAAUACUUCUCCGUCAGAAAGGGCUAUACCAUAUCAUGCUAUUAUGAAUUGCCUGAGAUGUUUAUCCCUUAUGAUGCACCCUUCUUGAUUGCGCGGUAGUCGCUUUUUAUUAGGGUGAUCUCUCACUUAAAAUAUCAAAGUAGUUAGUGUUCACCCAAGUGUAGCACCGUCCGAAAUUCGUAUCUUUUCGGGGUGCGCCAUGUACACAUGAGCACGAACGAAUCGAGAGGAAUGAGGCGGGUGAGGUCACACCUCGCAGCAAGAUCACUUGGUUGUCUUUGACGUUCAGGCAGGAGAGUCCUGAGCUCGGAACACGCCCAUCAAAAGAUGAACAAGAAUCACAUAGAGAUGUGAUCGGCAAGUUGGCCUACGGAUUGAAAUUCGUGUCAUCAGUGAUGAACCCGUCAAUGGCAUCGAAUAGAAAUAUGGAUCUUGAAUCACUCUAAAUCAAUUAUGAGAGAUAUUGAUUUGAGUGGGAGCGCGUUGUUGAAUUAACAUGUUUAAUUCUCAGUGCAAUUAAUUAUGAACACUGUCUAAGUGUUUCUUGCAAAAUAGUUGUAGAAUAAUGGCUCGCGUUUCCCCCUUCCCUGUUAAAAUUGAAUAGCUGUUAAAUAUCUGGUUAAAACAUUACGAUUGGUAACGUAAUGUGAGGAUUGUCCUCAAAAGUGCCGAGAAGGACUUUGUCUUAUCGCAUGCUUUCCGUAUCCUCCCGCUAAUGCUAUGGAUCAUGUGACUCUCGUCCUUCGAUCCAAAAGCUAGAAUUCUGUUACGGUCAAGUGGAAUAUGUUUGCUUCCAUGAAACCCAAACUUCGAAAGUUGGGAUAGUUAUAUGAUAUUCAUGGAACUGAAAAUUAUUUUCAGAUACAAACAAAGCAAUGUUUGUUUGCAAGUAUUAGUAAAAGUGUUUACUAUGCAUUUGACUGUUGGGAAAGGGAUCCAGAAGAACGCCUGUCAUAUAAUGAAAGGUGAAUAAAACAACAACUUAAAGAGAAAGGAAGUGUCCAAAGGGUGUUAGUAUGACUUACACGCCUAGGAAGUCCGGGGCUAACGCCACUCUUAAGUUGGGUGCUUCUUUUGCGAGUAGGAGAAAUACUAAAAGUUAAACUGUUAGAAGUAUAAAGGCAGAAAGAAAGAUGACUGGAAUAUCCAGCUCAUGUAUGAAUGUCAUACAAGUUUUUGAUGUAUAGUAGGCUGGUCAAAGAUAUAGUUCUUGGGAAUUAUGGUUAAACAUGUUAAUCACUAAUUCUUGGGUAUUGUGAGUUAAUCACAAAGAUACCCGCUCGAUUGCAUUCAAUUGUGAAUCACUGUAAGAGCUACUAUGGCCUAAAAAGACUAGCCAAAAAUGAGGUUAAGGUAUACACAGGAAACAUAGUAAAUGUUAUUAUACCUUCCAUCGGUGUAUUGCCGUCUGUAUUUAUUUUCCUAAUUCAUUUAGAGUUUUACAAACUCUAGCCCAUUGCAUAAGGUAUCUUGCAAGAAGGUUGUUCAUAAGAGAACUUUUUAUGUUCGAUGUUAUGAAUAACACAAGGGCCAUACUUUCAUUAUGAAUGAGAUGUAUGUUAUGAAUAUUGAUAAUAAUACAAUACCUCUAGGUUUACUUUCAUAAUUCAUUUUAGAGUUUCAUACACUCUAGCCCAUUGCACAAUGUUUGUUGCAAAAGAGUUGUUCAUAAAAACAACAAUUGUUGUUAAGUAUUAUGAAUAACAUGAAGGGCCAUGCUUCCAUCCAAGAUGGCAUGUAUGUUAUGAAUAUUGAUGGUAAUAUGAUACAUCCAUAACACUGACGCUAAAUGUUGCAAGACUAAAAGAAUACCACACAAGUGUGGCACUACAUUUGGUCACAUUGGAGAAACCCGCAUGGAAAAUUCCAUUAUGAUGGAUUUUGAAGUCUUUUUGAUUUUGAAUCAUCUGACACUUGCAACUUUCCUCCGAAAAGUGAAGUGACUAAAAUACCAUUCACAAGCCAUAAGGAACGAACAACAAACUUAUUAGUGAUCAUACAUUUGAUGUGUGUAGUCCGAUAAGUGUUGUUAGUGGUGGAUUUAUUUAUCUUCAGAAAUGACUCAAGUAGAUAUAUUGAUAUUUACUUGAUGAGACGUAAGUCUGGAUCUUUUGAAAUCAUUCGAAAGGUUUUCAAAAAUGAAGUAGAAGUUAUUGUAACAAGAAAAUUAUGUUUCUGCAAUUUGAUUGCACAAAGGAAUAUUUGAGUUACAUGUUUAGCGAAUGUCUGAUGAGUUGUGAAAGGGGUUUCAUAACUUGCACCUCCCGGAACACCACUUCAAGUGGAAAGUCCGUGAAGAUGUAAUCGAACCAUUUAUGACAUGGUAAGAUCAAAGAUGACAUAAAUAAAUUUGCCAUUAUCCCUUUUAAAGAGUGAUGCUUUAGAGACUAUGGCUUUUACACUGAAAAGAGCUUCAUCAGGUCUGUUGAAAUGAAGCCAUGGUAUGGUACGCCCAACCAUGUUGUAUCUUUUCUUAACAUUUGGAAUAUGGGGCUUGUGUAAAAGGUUACAAACCUAUUCCAAAUCAGACAAGUGCUACUUUGUAGGUUAUCCCAAGUCAUUGGGUAUUCCUCCCUCACUAUACCGAGGCAAAUAGGUUUGCCACAAAGAACGGUAUGCUUUAAAAGAGAAUGGUUCUUUCUAAAAGGUGAGUGGGAGAAUAGUGCAACUCGACGAGAUAAACAGUAUCUUCAUCAGAUCAAAGGAAAGAGACCUUGGAAGAAAUUCCAGCGUUUCCUACUGCGACUGAUACGGAAGUCUCUACAAUAAAAUGUAUGAACUUCGGUCGAACUUGGAGCUGAACCACGUAGGCAAGGCUCGUGCAAACCUCUCAGGUGCGCAAAUGAGAUAUUGUUGUUAGACAACAUUAUACCUACGAUACACAAGGAAGCGUUGAUGGGCCCUGACUCCGGAAUUGGCUAAAUGCCAAUACAACCCGAGUUAGUUUCCAUAUAAGUGAUUCAAGAUUAAAACCUUGAUACACCUUUCAGAAGACUUAGAGUCUAAAGAAUAUUUAUGGAACUUAAAACUGAUACGGAUAAAAUGUUUUAUCCAUAAAGCUCGACUUGUUGAAAUAACAAGUUCAAGAGUUGACUACGAUGAGGUUGUUUUCAUCAUAGCGAUGCUUAAAGUCGGUUCGGGUUGAACUAGCAAUUAAUACAUAUUUCAAUCAUGAGAUAUGAAACAUGGAUGAUAAAAGGAUUUCUAUCUGAUGGAAAUGAAAGCUAGGACUUGUAUAUGAUACAGUCCAAAGUAAUUUGUCGAUCCAGAGGAUGCUAGUAGGUAUGCAAACUUCGGAGUUCCAGCAAUGGACAGAAGAGAGCAAAAUGGAGUUGGAAUCUUCGUGUUUUGAUGAAAUGGUCAAAGGGGUUUUGACUUCAUCAAUGGGUAACGAAGAUGCUUGUAAUUCAAGAAAGUAAGUGGGAGCGUAAUAAUAUUUCUAAAAACCUUAUGUGCUUGGCACAUUGGUAAUUGGAAAUAAAUUUCUUGACACAAAUUAGGACUUCAUUUGAAAAUAGUUUUUUGAUGAAGUGCUUAGGCUAAAUAGCCUCAAUAUUAGGCAUGAUGAUCUAUGGAGAUAGAUUUACCUAAUGGGGCUAAGCCAUGAAUACAUAUUGACAAGAUGCUAAAACCUUUUAGCAUUUAAAACGCCAAGGAGUGAUUCUUGCCAAAGUCACACGGAAAGAGUUUUUGCAAGACUCAGUGUCCCAAAACACUGAUGAGUAAAAUACAUGAUGCAGAUUCCACACACUUUUGUGUUUGGAUUAAUCAUGUAUUCCAUGGUAUGUAAAACAACCAGAUAUGUCCGAUACUCCCAAGGUGUUGCGAGUAUGGAUACUAAAGUGAUCAAAUUACUGAUCAUGGGACAACAGUGAAAGAUGUCACAGAGUACUAGAGUAAGUACUGAUGACAUGGUUUUCUCGCAAGCAGAGAUCAUGAAGAGUUCGUUGUAAAAUGUUACAUCGAUACAGUAUUCAUCUUUUCUCCAUGCGAUUUUCGAUUUAAAUUAAGGGUUUUGUGUAACACACAAUGUGGUGGCACAAUUAGUUGGAAUUUGUUCAAACUAGUUACUGUGGCGAAUUAUAUAACAAGGGCUAAGUAUGUUGACGCUUUAGAAGCGACAAAGAAGAUGUUGAAUCAUAUAGUUCAUUCAUGAACUUAGUAUAGUUCCAAGAUGGCUUUUGACAAUGGGACACUACUGCAGGUAGUUGCUCCAUAACUCAGUCUGAGGAAUCCAGGUUCGACCUGUGAUUCACAUACAUACAAAGCCAAGUCCACACAAAAUAUGAAUUUUGUGAAAACGUGAAAACGCGAGGACAUGCAAAGAUACACACGGAACUGAAGUCGUCAGAUCCGUUGGACAUCAGGCUAUACCACAAGCGAAGCAUAUUUACACCUGUCUGCCACAGGUGUGAAGUGCAUUAGCAUAAGCUAGAUUAUUGUCUCUAGUGCAAGUGGGAGUCUGUAGGAGAUAUGCCCUAGAGGCAAUAAGAAAUGUUAUUGAUUAUCUCCCUGUUCAUAAUUAUGUUUAUGUUCCAUGCUAUAACUGCUAUGGUUCCCGAGCCCGUAUAUCCAUAAAGGCUCUGGGGAGAACCCAUAUGCACGCGUGGAAUAAUAAACGGUAAAAUGUAUUCCUAGUCGUGCGUCUAAGACUAGCUCAAGUGUUGCAUGAUGAUUAUGUUUUCCCAAUCAUCGGCAUGUCUAUGCCAAGCAACUUUGAGGGCACAAUGUUAGGAAGGACAUUUGUGUUGAAUCGACCCGAAUUGAUGUUAUGCUAUGAGAUACAUUCAUCACAAGUUAAUGGUUUAUAACACAAAGAUAGUUAAUGUUUGCAUAAUUCCUUAGACCAUGAGAGUAUCGAGUUUCUUCAUGCUUGCUUCAUGAACUUUGGGGUUUGUUAAACGUCAUCCGUAACUGGAUGGCUAUUACGGCGGCUUACGGGUUCAUGGGAAAGUAUGUUAAGUAACUUGAUAGCUCGAGAUUGGGAUUUGCUCCUCCGACGAUGGAGAGAUAUACUCCGGCCCUCUCGGUGUUACGGUGUCCAUCAUCGUCUGGCCAGACACUUUGUGAUUUGAUCACGGGGAUGCCGGAACACGAAACGAGAAAAGAGAACAAAACCGGUAACGAGGUAACUUGCAUAGUGGACAAAGUGUUGGCCCACGGGGAUGCCAUAAAUCUCACCUCAGGUGUUUGUGAUAUAUCGUGAAGCAACAGGAAUAGCUCACCUCAACUGGAGGUUCACUCGAAUAUUCAUUCGUGUGGGUAUAGGGGUCAAUAUGGGUGUCCACGGCUCCGAUGUUGAUCAUUGAUCGGAAGGGGUUCCAGGUCAUGUCUAUACUUCACCGAACCUAUAGGGUCACACGCUUAAGGGUCAUCUAUCUGCUGAAUACUAGAUAGGGAGUCUGAGAGAAAAUCACCGAAAAAGUUUCGGACACCGAAAAGUUUCGGACAGCGGAAUCGUACUGCAGAGAGAGGUCACCCGAUGAGUUUCGGUGAAACCAAAAAAGUUGUUUCGGGGUAUGCCAUUAAAGUCAAAAUGGUUUCGGCACAUGCCUGAUAAUUCUUGGAGGGUGCCAGAAUCAUUCUGGAAACUUUUUGGAAUUUUCAGAAAUAAAAACCGAAAAUGUUUCGGAGCUGCCGGUACCGCUUUGGCUGUUUUUCGUAGAUGAAAUUCACUAAUCUGAAAUUAUUUCAGAACGAAUCCAAAAUCAUUUUAGUGGGUACUGGAAUUAUUCUAAGACCCACAGAAAUAUUUUCGGAUUUAGUGGACGCGAAAAAUUGUCUUCACGAAUAGUGAAAACGCAUUCUUGUUUGCUUUUCGCAGAUGAAAAUCACUAAACUGAAAUUGUUUCGGAACGCGUUGAAAAUUAUUUUAGUGGGUACUGGAAAUGUUCUGAGCCCACAUAAAUAUUUUCAGUUCGAACGGACGCUGAAAAAUGUCGUCAUGAAUAGUGAAAGUGCUUUUUGCUUGGCUUCUUGGAGAAGCCACCUUGAGGGCCUUUUUGGUAUUUCCCCCCUUGGCUUCUUGGAGAAGCCACCCUUGGGCUUGGCCUAUAAAUAGGGGUGGAGGGGGCUGCCUAAAGGAUCAUCCCUGCUCACAUACAAGUGCCAUGCAUGAUCUGGCUUCUCUCUCCCUCCCAGCGAAAUAGUUUCGUAGAGCCGAAAGGCUGUCUGGGUUCCGGUGGGAACUAGUUCUGGACGGCGAAGCCCUGCCGGAUAGAUGACAUCGUAUGUGUGCAACUCUGUAGAGAGAUCGUAGUUUCGGUCUUAGUUCGUGAGUGCCUCCCGAAGGGCUGUCCGUGUGACCGUCCGAGUUUCAAAGGUCCUCCCGAAGGGCUGUCCGAGUGACCGUUCGAGUUUCGAAGGUCCUCCCGAAGGGCUAUCCGCGACACCGGCCGGGGGGGCUGUUCGACCGCCUCCCGGAGGGCUGUCUGAGAAGCAGAUGAGGGUAUACAUCCUCGCGGUUGGGAGGUUGUAAAUCCUAGCUGCGGGGAUCUGCACCGCCGAUCGUCAUCGACUCUACUUCCCGCUGCGCUACGAGUCGGUAACGAAGAAGAUCAAACCUUGUAUGCAGUCUCCAUAGUGGUCCUGGGCUGGUGCGUAGGUCGGAAAUUUUUGUUUUCUGUGGCGUUCCCCUACACAAAUCACUACUAGGAGAGGGGGGAGGAGCGCGGCUCACCAUCUUGUCGCCGGGGACAGCCUUUGCACGCGAGGUGGGGGCGCGAGCGCGGCUGACCAUCUUACCGUCAGAGACAGUGUGAGUACGCGGGGCCCCUGGGAGUGCAAGUACCUUCAAGGGUCCUUCCCGGGACUCCUGGAAUUCCAGCUCCUCUCUGGUGGCCUCUAGGGGCCGGGAUUUCUGCCGGCGUGUUCUGGACUUGCGCUUGCGAACCACCGGCACAGAUGUCUAUUGCGCAAGCACCUUCCCUUUCCCUGGGCGACGACGACCGCAGGGGGCGGGGCGGGGGCCGCGAGGCUCUGCUCCUCGUGGUUGGCGUUGACGCCGGAGCUAGACAUCGCAGUGGAUCGGUCGAGCAGACGUGCGGAGUUGGUCGAGGAGAGCGGGAUGAGAAGAAUGUGAACGAGCAGGACACGAGGAGCAGAAGUGUGUGUUGCCUUUUAUGAACUGAAAUAGAAAGGCAUGGGGCAAGGUGGGGACCGUGUGUGCAUGUACAAAUUUAUUUAUUUAAUACUAGUAUUUAAUAGUAGUAUAUCAUUGGUAUAUUUNNNNNNNNNNNNNNNNNNNNNNNNNNNNNNNNNNNNNNNNNNNNNNNNNNNNNNNNNNNNNNNNNNNNNNNNNNNNNNNNNNNNNNNNNNNNNNNNNNNNNNNNNNNNNNNNNNNNNNNNNNNNNNNNNNNNNNNNNNNNNNNNNNNNNNNNNNNNNNNNNNNNNNNNNNNNNNNNNNNNNNNNNNNNNNNNNNNNNNNNNNNNNNNNNNNNNNNNNNNNNNNNNNNNNNNNNNNNNNNNNNNNNNNNNNNNNNNNNNNNNNNNNNNNNNNNNNNNNNNNNNNNNNNNNNNNNNNNNNNNNNNNNNNNNNNNNNNNNNNNNNNNNNNNNNNNNNNNNNNNNNNNNNNNNNNNNNNNNNNNNNNNNNNNNNNNNNNNNNNNNNNNNNNNNNNNNNNNNNNNNNNNNNNNNNNNNNNNNNNNNNNNNNNNNNNNNNNNNNNNNNNNNNNNNNNNNNNNNNNNNNNNNNNNNNNNNNNNNNNNGUAGAAUAUCUUCGGUAUACUAGUAUUAAAUAUUCUUAUAUAUUAGAUAUCUCUUUGGUACACUAUUAAAUAUAUCUUUGGUAUACUAGUAUUUAAUAGUAAUAUUCUUAUAUUUAGCAACAAAUAUAUACUUACUACUAGUAUUUGGUUGUGCAUUAUUUGUUCCGGAGGGAGUACUAUUAGUAAUCAUGAUUUAGUUCCCUAGUCAAUUAAUAUAUAACAAUUAAUACAAUAUUAGCAAUUUUUUGAAAAAAAAUAUAUCAUCUUAUUGUAGCCAUGCAUUAAGAUAUAUAUACUGAAUAAAAUAAAUACGCUGAUAAUCACCUUGCUCCUAAUUUGAACUCGAUUUAUUGAUAAGGAAAAAGAUACAUGUAAAUAAUCAUUUUUUAGAUAGAAGGUUGCCACUGUAUUCAGAGCUCUCGGCGGUGCGAGAGUUCAAAACGGCGCUAGUAUAAUCCGAAGGCACAUUAAGCCUUGUUUUUCACAAUUCAUGCUGACAACCUUCCUUAGCUAACAUGCAUGCCAUGCAAUUCACCUCUCUACGAACCAAAGUGAUCUUUGACUCAACAAUAGUUUAGAGCAUGCCGUUCACAUGUUCAACCGCUGGACCAUGGGGUGAGCCGUCCUUCCCUUCAGAGUUGAGCUUGGUCACCACCAUCUUGCAGUCCAUCUCCAAGACGAUCGUCUAGACUCCAACUUCCUUCUCUAGUGCAAGGACAUGGCGACAUGCUAGUAACUCCGCUACUGUAGGUUUAGUUAGAGAGGGUAAAAAUGGCAUGAGCCUACAACGAACUCCCUUGGAUGGCCUCUCAGGACCGCCCCUCGUCCUCUGUCUUGAUUCUUGGCACAUACACCGUCAGCAUUGCCCUAGAUCCACCCAUGCUCUAUGUUGAAAAUGAGUGUUUUGGCAAUGCUUAACGAUGUAUUGGUCGGUGCAUAGCGCACGUAUAUACGGAGUACAAGGUGGGCCACAGCCUCAACUAUACAAUGACUAGGAGGUGGGCCGGGCUAUACAAUAUACAUGCANNNNNNNNNNNNNNNNNNNNNNNNNNNNNNNNNNNNNNNNNNNNNNNNNNNNNNNNNNNNNNNNNNNNNNNNNNNNNNNNNNNNNNNNNNNNNNNNNNNNNNNNNNNNNNNNNNNNNNNNNNNNNNNNNNNNNNNNNNNNNNNNNNNNNNNNNNNNNNNNNNNNNNNNNNNNNNNNNNNNNCGCAAAGACUGGACCUAAACUGCUCGAAAACAGAAGUAGGCAGUCCUUUUGUCAUGACAUCGGCGAACUGUUGCGCCGUCGGGACGUGGAGGACCCGGAUGCGCCCAAGAGCCACCUGCUCACGAACAAAGUGUAUGUCGAGCUCAAUAUGCUUCGUUCGUCGAUGAUGGACCAGGUUGGCGGAGAGGUACACGGCGGAGACGUUGUCCCAGUAGACGAGCGUGGCCUUGUGGACAUCACAAAGCAACUCCAGGAGCAGCUGACGGAGCCAAGAGCAUUCGGCAACGGCGUUAGCCACUGCCCGAUACUCUGCCUCGGCACUCGAGCGGGAGACGGUGGGCUGUCGCUUGGAGGACCAAGAGAUCAGAGACGGCCCAAGGUAGACACAGUACCCCGAAGUGGAGCGCCGUGUAUCCGGGCAGCCAGCCCAGUCCGCAUCAAAGUAGGCGACGAGGUCGGUGGAGGCGGAGGCCGUCAGUGUAAGUCCCAUGGACGGGGUGCCACAUAUGUAACGGAGGAUACGCUUCACCAAGGUCCAGUGAGAGUCACGCGGAGCAUGCAUGUGAAGACAGACCUGCUGAACAGCAUACUGCAAGUCGGGGCGCGUCAGGGUCAGGUACUGCAAAGCACCCACAAUGGAGCGAUAGAAGGCCGCAUCGGAUGUGGGAGAACCAUCCAGAGCGGAAACCUUGGCCUUGGUGUCGACAGGCGUGGGAGCGGGCUUGUAGUUAAGCAUGCCGGCUCGAUCGAGAAGCUCAUGGGCGUAGCGCUGCUGGUGCAGGAAGAACCCAUUUGGCCGUCGAACUACCUCAAUGCCAAGGAAGUAGUGCAGGGGGCCCAAGUCCUUCAGGGCAAACUCAUCGCGAAGACAAGCAGUGAGCCGCUGGAGGAGCGCGACAGUGGAUGCCGUCAGGAUGAUGUCGUCGACAUAGAGCAACAAGUAGGCCGUGUCAACCCCGUGAUGGUACACGAAGAGGGACGCGUCGGAGCGAGUCGAUGUAAAUCCGAGCGUCUGCAGGAAUGCAGCAAUGCGCUGGUACCAGGCACGAGCCGCCUGCUUCAACCCGUAAAGGGAACGGGAGAGCAAGCACACAUGGUCUGGAUGUGUGGCGUCGACGAAGCCGGUGGGCUGCUCACAGAACACCUGCUCAGUGAGAGGGUCGUGCAAGAAGGCGUUGGAGACAUCCAACUGAUGCACAGGCCAAGCUCGGGAGAUGGCUAGCUGAAGCACGGUGCGGAUCGUGUCCGGUUUAACAACCGGGGCAAAAGUGUCGGUGAAGUCCACGCCCGCACGUUGCCGAAAGCCCCGAACCACCCAGCAAGCUUUGUAGCGCUCGAGAGUGCCAUCCGGACGAGUCUUGUGCCGAAAGACCCACUUGCCCGUGAUGAUGUUGGCACGAGGCAGCCGAGGGACAAGCUGCCAGGUGUGGUUCCGUUGGAGCGCGUCGAACUCUUCCUGCAUCGCAGCGAGCCAAUGAGGAUCCCGAAGGGCGGCUCGAGCUGACGAUGAGAGAGGGGACGGCUCGGAGACGGAAGCAGCGAGAAGGUACUCAUCGCUGGUGUACCGCAUACUCGGGCGGAAAGUGCUAGCCUGAGAGCGAGUCACCAGGCGGGGCAGCGAGUCCGGGUUGGCGGCGGGCGAAGACGAAGAAGAGCCCGCCACCUCCGAUGCCGCGGGCGAGGUGGCAGGCGAGGGCGCGGGGGACGCCGAGGAGGGCGUCGCGGCCGCCGGGGANNNNNNNNNNNNNNNNNNNNNNNNNNNNNNNNNNNNNNNNNNNNNNNNNNNNNNNNNNNNNNNNNNNNNNNNNNNNNNNNNNNNNNNNNNNNNNNNNNNNNNNNNNNNNNNNNNNNNNNNNNNNNNNNNNNNNNNNNNNNNNNNNNNNNNNNNNNNNNNNNNNNNNNNNNNNNNNNNNNNNNNNNNNNNNNNNNNNNNNNNNNNNNNNNNNNNNNNNNNNNNNNNNNNNNNNNNNNNNNNNNNNNNNNNNNNNNNNNNNNNNNNNNNNNNNNNNNNNNNNNNNNNNNNNNNNNNNNNNNNNNNNNNNNNNNNNNNNNNNNNNNNNNNNNNNNNNNNNNNNNNNNNNNNNNNNNNNNNNNNNNNNNNNNNNNNNNNNNNNNNNNNNNNNNNNNNNNNNNNNNNNNNNNNNNNNNNNNNNNNNNNNNNNNNNNNNNNNNNNNNNNAUGGCACGGUCGGGGCCAGGGACGCCAAGGGCGUCGCGGGCGCCGGGAGGGGCGCAACCCCUAAGGCAGGCAGCCAAGGAGAAACUCGACCCGUGACGCGGGGGGCACCCUCAAAGCCGGGAGGCGGCCCAAGAGAAGCUCGCGAGCGGCCGUCACCGGGAGCGGGCAAAGCCGCAACAUCCGAAGGUACCUGCUGAAACAGAAAAACCAUCUCAUCAAAGUAAACGUGUCGGGAAGUGAUCACCCAAUGUGAGAUAGGAUCAUAGCAGCGGUAGCCUUUGGUGUUGGGGGGAUAGCUGAGAAAAAUGCAUGCCACAGACCUUGGUGCAAGCUUAUGAGGAGUAGUGGAAGCGAUGCUAGGAUAGCACAGGCAACUAAAGAUGCGGAGCUCAGCGUAGGAGGGUGGCGUGCCGAACAAAGGUGAUGAGGUGCAAAAUUCCCGCGAGUGCGACAGGGACGGAUGUUGAGGAGUAGUGAUGCGGUGGCAAGCGCGUCGGGCCAAAAACAUGGUGACACGUUGGCGUGAAAGAGGAGGGUGUGGACGCAGUCAUUAAGAGUGCGAAGCACGCGCUCAGCGCGGCCAUUUUGUUGCGAAGUGUACGGGCAAGUGAGACGAAAAAUCAUGCCGUGUGUGGCGAGAAGGUUGCGGAUCGCAAGAUUAUCAAACUCCUUCCCGUUGUCUGUUUGCAAACUGCGUGGAGACAUAGGAGUAGAACGCGAUGAGUGUGGCAACAAAAUCCGACUUUCGCCGCAACAGGAAGGUCCACACAUAGUGCGAAAAAUCAUCAAGUAUCUAUACCUCUAUAUCUAUAUCUAUACCUACUAAUAAAGCAAGAUGCGUUUCUCCAAUUUUUUCAUCCGUUCACCGUCGAAAAGUUUUUCUUUCUAUCCGAGGUGGUACUAAACUUUCAUGCGUCUAUCCGCUAGAAAAGAAAAAAGAUUAGCACAGAAUUCCGUCAUUGGGCCACUCGCGCUGCGGCCCAACGAGGCCAGCCAAUUUAUUAAUGCUCACAGAGUUAGGAAGGCCUUAUUUGUCGCAUGGAGCGAAGAAUAGUUGUAGAUUCGCAUAGGGCGCCUAUGACUGGGCCGGCCCGUUUCCCCUUCUUCGUUGUUCUAUUUCUAUUUUUAUUUUUCUGUUCCUUUUUAUUUCUCUUUUAAGUUUUUUCUUUUUUCCUUAUUUUUAUUAUUCUCUAUGAAGUAAAAAUUUACAGAAAUAUUCAGAAUUUCAAUUUUUAUUCAAAAAAUAUUCAAAUAAUGGUCAGAAUUCCAAAAUUUGCUUCUGUAUUGAAAAAUGUUUGAAACUUUGAAAAUUUCCCGUUUCAAAAUUUUCCCAAUAUUCAAAAAAUGCUCUCCUUUUUAAAAAUUAUUUUGUCUUUUCCAAAAAUUCUUCAAGAUUCUUUUAUAAAAAUCAUAUUUUAUAAGAUGUUCUAUAUUUUAAACAAUUCUUGUUUUAGUGAAAUGCUCAAAACUCAAAAAGAAAUUACGUCUAAAACAUUUCGUAUUUUUAUGAAUGUUCCCUUAAAAAAAUUCAAAAAUUCAAAAAAAAUAUUUUUUUAAAAUGUAAAUGUUUUCAAAAUAUUUUUUGUGAAUUUAAAAAACUAUUCAUGUUUCUAAUUUUGUUCGUGAUUUUCUUAAGAUAUUGUUAUUUGCAAAAACAAUGUUCGCUUUUUUCUAAAAUUGUCCAGGAUUUACAAAUUGUUAAUGUUUCCAAGAAUAUUCACCAAUUCGUAUUUUUUUAAUGUUCAAAAAAAUCAAAAAUAUUUCUGAUGAGACACUAUAGUAUUUUUUGAAAUAUUUGCGCUGGCCAUUAGUUAGCGGUGCGCAUUCGUUCUUUGCUGGUUGACUAUAAAUGAAAGAAAUUGUGGACACGUGUCAAUAAAUUAUAUUAUUUUGCUUUAGUUUGAGAAAAAUUAUGGGUACUUGAUCUCUAAAAUAAUCGAAGAGAAUAAGCCCUAAAAAGGAAGGGACAUUCAUGCCUGAUUAUGCUCAUGAAAUGGGAUUUAUGCGCUGCAAUUAAUAAUCCACCCAGUUACGCCAUCGUAGCAUAGAGUGGUCGAAGCAACCAUGUCCCGAAGAUCGCCGCGCAGCCAACAAAUGAGUACGCAGGCACAAGCCCGAGAUGAAGGCGAACCCGGAGGAAAAAAGGCAUGAGUUGGGUGCUCGCCACCACACCGACCAACCCUAUCACUAUCAAGAUUUUGCGUGUCAAACAAGUCCAGCGAGAAGACCAUAACUUCUUGCUCUGUCGCCUACCAUUGUGGAGACCCUUUUUUGGAUGACACAUCAAUUAUUUUCCCCGUUGCUUCUUGCAAAAACAUAUCCCUUCCGUUGCAACGCACGGGCAUAUGUGCUAGUACUAAUAAAGCAAGGUGCGUUUCUUCGAUUUUUUCAUCAGUUCACCAUCGAAAAGAUUUUUCCUAUUCGAGGUGGUACUAAAUAUUUGUCCGUUCGUCUAUUAGAAAAGGAAAAACGCGAGAAUUUCGUACAUGGGCCGCCUGCAGUGUGGGCGAGCAAUGCCAGCAAAUUUUUUCGUGCCCACGCAGUUGGAAAAUCCUAUUUCUCGCAUAGAGCGUCAAAUAGUCGCAGCUUCGCACAGGGCGGCCAACCUGGGCUGAACCACUUUCAUUCUUUUUUCUGUGUGCAGUUUUUAUUUUUAUUUUUCUGUUUUAUUCCCUUUUUCUUUAGUGUUAGUUUUGUCUUUUUUACUUUCAGGUUUAUUUUCUUUUUCCCUUUUUGCAUAUAUUCAGAAUUUUUAAAAAUGUUCAUAAUUUCAAAAUAUAUCGAAUUUAGAAAAAAAUUCGAAAUUCCAAGACAUAUCCCAUUUUGAAAAAUGGUCAGAACUUUAAAUCAAUGUUCUCAUACCAAAAUUGGUACAAAUUAUUGAAACAUUAUUCCAUUUUCUCUUUGUGUUUUCCAAAGUUGUUCAAGAUUUUCAAAAAAAAUUCCCUUUGAAUUAUUUUUUCAAAUACCAAAUUAUUUUUGUUUUAGUGAAAUGUUUGAAAAUUCAAAAUAAUUGCCAAAUUUAAAGAAAGACAUUUUCUAAAACUGUUCUGAAUGUUCAAAAUAUGUUUCCUUUUGAAAAAAUUGUUCACAAAUUAAAACAAUGUUCAUAUUUCUAAAAAAGGAUCAUGAUUUUAAAUAAAACUGUGAAUUUUGAAAGUUUCAAUUUUUUCUCUAUAUAUUAAAAUUUAGAAUUAUCAAAAGCUUGUUUGGGAUUUUCAAAAUUAUUCAUGUUUCCAAGAAUAUUCCGCAAUUUAUAUUUUUAAAAAUUAAAAAACAAAAAAAUAUCGUUUCCAAUCAAAUAUUGGAGUAUAUUCGGCAAUUUAUAUUUUUCCAUCUGUUCACCAUUGUGAACAUUUUUUCUAUCCAAGGUGGUACAAAUUUUUCGUUCACAAUUUCAUACGUGGCCCUUGUGCGCUUUGGCCCACCGAAGCCAGUCCAGUGUUUUUUGCUGCCCACGCAGCUCGGAAAACCCUAUUUCUCGGACGCUGCGGCAAAUGUCAGAGCUUCGCACAGGGUGCCGCAGACUGGGCCGGCCCAUUUUUGUUUUUUCUAUUCUGUUUCCAUUUUUCUUUCUCUGUUUCUUUCCUGUUUAUUUUUACCUUUUUACCUUUUUUCAUAAAUUCAAAAAUUACAGAAGGCAUUUAGAAUUUAUUUAUUUUUCUAUUUUUUUGUAAAUAUUUAGAAUUCAAAAAAUUUGUUCCCAUUUUGAUUUUUUUGGACCUUUUAUUUUAUGUUCCCGUACUAAACAAAAUACAAAAUUCAAAAAAUGUUCCCAUUUUUCCAAAACAAUGUUUUUAUUUUUCAAAAUUGUUCUAUAUUUUCUAAAUAAAGUUACAUAAUUUUUUUUCAACUUCAGAAAUUAUUGUUUUGGUAAUUUAAUGCUCAAAAUUCAAAAUAAUGGUAGUGUUAAAAAAGGACAUUUUUCUAAAAUUGUUCUCAAUGUUCAAAAACAUGUUCCUUUUUUAAAUGAUUGUUCAAAGGUGCAAAAAAUGUUCGUGUUUUUAGAAGGUUCAUGUUUUCAUUUUUUUGUGAAUUUCAAAAACACACUUUCCGUCUCAAUUUUUUUUGGCUUUUUGCAAAAUUGAAUGAAACUUUCUACAAACUCUUCAUAUAUUUGAAAAUUGUUUGGGAUUUCAAAAUGUGUUCACAUUUCCAAGUAUAUUAGGUAAUUCUGAAUUAAUUAUAUCAUUUUUUAAUAUUUCAAAAAAAAAUAUAAAAAAGUAAUCUCAAAUCUAACGCCGUAGUAUGUUCUUAAAUAUUCGGGCUGGCCGUUGGUUAGGAAGGCCCAUUUGUUCGAGUGGCCAGCAACAUGUGGUAGUGUUUUUUAGGUCUUCAGUUCCAUGCUUCAUCUCGUCAUUUUUUUAUUUGGAUUUUUACACGUGCCUUACAAACACGGGUCUUUUCGGUGCCUGACAAUUUGCUAGCUGAGACGCGAACUGUGGUACGUCUCAUGCGCUAUUUGACGAUAAAAGAGAAUAAUUUGGUCGGCUAUAAUUGAAAUAAAUUCUGUACACGUAUCAAUAAAAGAGAAUAUGCUGGUUUGGCGCUGCAAUUAGUAAUCCAUCCGGUUAUGCCGUCAUAGGAGAGAGUCAAUCAUGCCCCGAAGGUCGCCGUGAAACCACCAAAUAUGGAGGCAACCACAACCCCGACACGGAGGCGGACCCGGAGGAAGGAAAAAUCAUGAGUUGGGUGGUCGCCGCCAUGCCGCCUCGACCACUAUCAAGAUCUCGCGGGCCGAACCUAACCCGCGAGAAGACCACAUCUCCAAGCUCUGUCGCACCAUCGCCGCUGAGACCGUUUUUAGUAGACUCUUCUGUUGCUUCUCGCCAAAAAAUAUAUCCCCCUUUGCAACGCAUGGGCAUAUGUGCUAGUAACAAGAUAAUAAAGAUAGCCCGUGUUACUUGCAACAGGAGAGGUCCAAACAUCACUAUGAAUUAACUCAAACGGGUAUGAUGCAACGUGCGAGGAAGUGCUAAAAGGAAGACAAACAUGUUUGCCGAGACGACAAGCAUGACAAGUGUGAUCGUCGAUCUUAUUACACGUGAAUGAAAAACUCCGAAGAAUAUGACGAAGGGUGGCGGUGUUGGGAUGACCGAGACGGGCAUGCCAAAGGCCCAUUCCAGCGGAAAGCGCCAUGGGUGCAGCGACGGAGGAGGUGGAUGAGUGGACCAGGUAGAGCCCGUCGGGGCUGUCACAUCGGUGGAGCACCAUCCGGGUACGGGCAUCCUUAACAGAAAAAGCCAAACAUGUCAAAUUCAACGGUGACAUGAUUUUCGCGUGUAAGAGAACGAACGGAAACAAGAUUUUUAAUGAUGUCAGGGGAGACAACUACGUUAGAAAGGUAUAAUGGCAUGGAGUUAGAAGGAAAAGCAACAUGGCCGACAUGAGUAAUAGGCAUGGAGGAACCGUCGCCCACGGUAAUGCGAGCAACGGUGUGAACGGGGUGAGCGGUAAGAAGGUUACUGGGGUUGGCGGCCAUGUGAGCCGUGGCUCCGGUGUCCAUGCAUAUACCAGUCGUCACCGCAUGUGUACUGCUGUGGCGUGGGGGCGGUGUGGAGGGCCGCUAGAAGCGCGGGGUCCCAAGGCGCCGGCGGGAGGGCCGGGGCCGACGGCAGCGGCUGUGGCGGCAGCGCCGCGAACCCACCGGCCGAAGGCAGGCCAUAGGCCGCAGAGGGGCCGUAGAGCGGCGCGGGCGGGUACGGCUGAGGGGCCGCGUAAAGCGCCUGAUGAGAUGCCGGGCGGGCGCAAAAGAAGCCGGGGAUGGGGGCGCGCGGUACAGGCAUGGAGUACGCGUGAACGACCCCCGUCCAGGGGUUCUGGCCGGCCUGCCAGGGCGCCGGCGGGAGCUGCUGCUGCGGCUGGCGCGGCGCCCCGCAGUGGGUAGCCGGCUGUGGCUGCUCCUGUCCGCGGCCACCUCGGCNNNNNNNNNNNNNNNNNNNNNNNNNNNNNNNNNNNNNNNNNNNNNNNNNNNNNNNNNNNNNNNNNNNNNNNNNNNNNNNNNNNNNNNNNNNNNNNNNNNNNNNNNNNNNNNNNNNNNNNNNNNNNNNNNNNNNNNNNNNNNNNNNNNNNNNNNNNNNNNNNNNNNNNNNNNNNNNNNNNNNNNNNNNNNNNNNNNNNNNNNNNNNNNNNNNNNNNNNNNNNNNNNNNNNNNNNNNNNNNNNNNNNNNNNNNNNNNNNNNNNNNNNNNNNNNNNNNNNNNNNNNNNNNNNNNNNNNNNNNNNNNNNNNNNNNNNNNNNNNNNNNNNNNNNNNNNNNNNNNNNNNNNNNNNNNNNNNNNNNNNNNNNNNNNNNNNNNNNNNNNNNNNNCCGCGGCGGGGGAGCCGGGGCGGUGGGCGGCACACCGCCGCGGGUACCGACGGUGAGGGCCGUGUGGGUGGCCCGGGUGCGCGACAUCCGCAUCCUCCUCUUCUCUAGCUUCAGGUACGCGACGAUCUUGGGGAAGGUCGGGUUGGUGAUGAGAGGGAUGUUGGAGGCGGCGUUCCCGAAGUCUUCGUUCAGGCCGGCGAUGAGGGUGCUGAGAAGAAGCUUGUCGGAGACCUUCUCAGCGAGGUCACGGAGCUCGUCAACAAGCUUCUUGAGGCGCAUGCAAUAAUCGUCAACAGAUGAGUCGAGCUGCUGGCACCCAAAAAACUCGCCGUGCAAGAAAACCUUGCGUUGGAGCUCGUUGUCAAUGAAGAGGCCGUUGAGCUUAGUCCAAACGGCGUGAGCGUCAUCGUCGGUGGAGACCACCGUGUGGAAGAGGUCCUUCGAGAUGGUGGUGUAGAACCAACGGAUGAGAGUGACGUCGAUGGACGUCCACUCCUCAUCGUCCUCCAUGAAGCGGGAGUCCACGGAGCCAUCGAUGUGAUCCCGGAGAUUGUACUCACGGAACACAAGGGAGAAGUAUGUCUUCCAGGCAUAGUAGGUGGAGGUGAGGUGAUCGAGGACGACGGGAACCCGAGCGAGGAUGUUGAGAUCGCGGAUGACGACGGGAACCCAAUCGAGGAUGUUGAGAUCGCGGAUGAUGACGUGGUCGGGGCCUUCGAAUGGGUUGGUGCGGCGGCUGCGGGUGGUACCGGAGGAACCGGGGGAGGCCAUUAGUCCAAGAGNNNNNNNNNNNNNNNNNNNNNNNNNNNNNNNNNNNNNNNNNNNNNNNNNNNNNNNNNNNNNNNNNNNNNNNNNNNNNNNNNNNNNNNNNNNNNNNNNNNNNNNNNNNNNNNNNNNNNNNNNNNNNNNNNNNNNNNNNNNNNNNNNNNNNNNNNNNNNNNNNNNNNNNNNNNNNNNNNNNNNNNNNNNNNNNNNNNNNNNNNNNNNNNNNNNNNNNNNNNNNNNNNNNNNNNNNNNNNNNNNNNNNNNNNNNNNNNNNNNNNNNNNNNNNNNNNNNNNNNNNNNNNNNNNNNNNNNNNNNNNNNNNNNNNNNNNNNNNNNNNNNNNNNNNNNNNNNNNNNNNNNNNNNNNNNNNNNNNNNNNNNNNNNNNNNNNNNNNNNNNNNNNNNNNNNNNNNNNNNNNNNNNNNNNNNNNNNNNNNNNNNNNNNNNNNNNNNNNNNNNNNNNNNNNNNNNNNNNNNNNNNNNNNNNNNNNNNNNNNNNNNNNNNNNNNNNNNNNNNNNNNNNNNNNNNNNNNNNNNNNNNNNNNNNNNNNNNNNNNNNNNNNNNNNNNNNNNNNNNNNNNNNNNNNNNNNNNNNNNNNNNNNNNNNNNNNNNNNNNNNNNNNNNNNNNNNNGAUCAUGUGUUCCGAUGUCCAAAGUGAACGGAUAUUCGGCACUUACAGGUUACAGCUGCCACAUUUGACCCGUCUAAGUUAUUGUUGCAAAAUAGUCGCGUUCGUUUUCUCGCCGGUCAGAGUUGUGUUGUAUACAUUUUAUAUCUUGUCCGUGCCAAUUCCCUAACUCUUGCCGCCGCUGACGGACCAGACACUGAAGAUUAUAUAGCGUCGAAUUUCACUGCUAGGAGUAGACAGUCUACUGUUUGCUUUACGUAUCAUCUUUGCAUGGCACAAACUUGGUGAAAGGCGUGUCGGGCGAGGCCCUCCUCGUCGGUGCAAAGCCACAGCAGAUGGCUAGCUCUAUAGGGAUGCCGAGGUGCCUAAUAAAGUGAAGGUUUAUGUCUGGAGAAUGCUUAAGAAUGUAUUGGCACAGUGGGGGAACAUCUGGACCAUAGGACUAUCAAAGAAGGGGUGCUGUGUGUUGCUUGUGGAUGAGGUGACUAUAUUAUUGCACCAUUUCUGGAGGUGUCAUUAUUCCAAAGUACUCUGGAGAUGCCUACAAUCAGAUACGGGUUCUAGUAUUAUGGCGCCACGGCCGAACGUCCACACCCACAAUGACUUGGCUGGGUGGUUGAGGGAUUUGUUGGGUCCGACGAAGGAAAGCGAAAAAGGCACGUAAAUUGCUUGGCUAUAUUCAUGUUGGUACCAGCAAGGCACGUAAAUGAAAUUUUCGGAAUUACGUGAACAGAAUACGCAUGCAUACAUCAUUCAUUUGGGGAAGUUGCUUUCCAUAUAACAAAAAGUGUACAUUUACACACUUCACUACCAACAUAUAUAUGGAACAUAGAUACUUCUACCACAUUACGAACAGUAGUCUAUCGAUUGAGCAAAUUACCAAACUAGAAAAGGAACAUAAAUAUUACCACGAUAAAGGAUGCUGGAGUACCGCCUCCCUGGGGCAUCGCUGGCGACAGAGCUCUCUGUGCCUUCCGCUUCCGGUUGGGGUGCCGCAAGGGCCUCUCGGGGGCUCUAUGCGGCAUCCAAUCUUCCUGGACGGAGUGUUGCCGCGCGACCCGGCUUGGAGGUCCAUGAUGGGUGGACCGUGAGGUGCGCCCGGGGCCAUCGUUAUUUGGCGGCUUCAGGGGCAGACAAAGGACAUAGAUACUUCUACCACAUUACAAAGAGUAGUCUAUCAAUCGAGCCACUUAACAAACCAACAUGUAUAUGGAAAAUAGAUACCUCUACCACAUUACAAAGAUUAGUCUAUCCAUCAAGCCACUUAACAAACUUGACAAAGGACAUACAUAUAAUUUAAAUAUGCUAAACUACUCAUAAUUACCUCAACAAUCUAUGUCAAAUACAAUGGCCAGUAGGAAGUACCGAUGAAACCGGUCGGUGCUUGCACCAACAGGUAAAUUUGUAGCGCAACUCGUCAUCUUCAUUUGUGCAGUGCAAUCAAAAUAAAACUCUGCAUAGAACAAUAACUGGCAUGACAAUCACAUAAGAUAUUCAUCGACCUAUUAUUUCAGAUCAAAUUCAAGCAAACUUUAUGAAAUAAGCAAUUAGUUAACCUUGUACAUGACAUAAGCAGUGGUGUGUUUACAACGGACAACACUCUCGGCGUUUUUCCAGAUGAUGUUCACCUUUUUCUGGAGUAUCACCCUGCCAACUACCGGCAAAAAUGGCUAUUUUUUCUUGUGUGCAGUGCAAUUAAAAUGGAUAUCCGUUUCAACACAAUAGUUGUUAUGUACUUUUUCCCACUUAUAUAGAGAUGCAUAAAAGGCAAAACUGAUUUGUUCAGGAACAGAUAAACCUCAGAUAACAUAAGUAAUCUUAUUAUCCACAUCAAAGACAUUACUCCUUUGAUUUGAAUGAGUUAAAGAAAUUAAGUUAUUCCUCAACACAUAAUAGUCAAAGCAAGCUGUGCCUUAGUUAUGUGUAAAGGUAUCAAGUCUCAUCAUCUGCCUACUAAGAAGUUUGUAGUGCUACACCAUUAGAAAAGUUUCACUAAAUUCUUAACAGAUUUCUACAAAGAAAUGGCUAAUGCUGCCAAAAUAUCUAUAAGUUAAAAUACAUCAAACCCUACAAAAAAUUGGUUGAAAUACAUCAACCCCUAUAGAUUUCUACAACCAAAUACAUGAACUAACCCUAAAAAAUUACAUCCGCAUGAAGGUUAGUCACACAGAAAAGCCUAAAUGUUCUAUAAUGUUAGAAGGAGAGCAGCUCACCACCAUGAUCGCCAUUAUGACUGAAGAGCAAGGCAGGAGUACCGGGUAUACGACCUCAUAUGACGGUGUGGGUGACCUGGUGUGCAACGGCAGGGUGGAUACGGAACCAGAGAUGCCGGACGGAGGCUAUGCACGACAAGAGAGCGCCACUCAGGAAGGCGUUGGAGCGGCUGCGGCCGGACUAGGUUGCCGCAGGGCAGUGGCGGAGCUAGACAAAAAUGUUUUGUGGAGCCAAAAGAGAAAAAAAAUCUGUAGUGAGCAACUGCUACUGAGAGUUCUCGCAAAGAAAACACUGCUACUGAGGGAACAAAUUAUAAUGUAUAUAUAUACUCCAAUUCAAUCAACCACUAACCAACUGAGAGAGAAAAUUGUAGCCCUAUUACACCAAAAAAAACAAUUUUAUAAUGUCGUCGCCACCGUUCCAAACGCAGAGCUUCUUCCUAACCUCGUCGCUGUAUCCUCAACAAAGACCGGACGGCAUCGAGGGCCCGAGGCUGUCCGUUGCGGUGCCAUGGGCUGGUUGAGUGAAGAAUACCACAUGAGUUGAGAAGCAGCCGAGCUGGUGAGUGAGGAGGGCUUGUUCGUUGGUGGAUUUGUGAAAGUAAUACAGAUCAAACAUGAGCAAUACGUGCGUGCGUGUGGUGCUUCCGGCCGACUGGCCGUUGUGUACAUACUUGCGUUUUGGUGUUGCUUGUAGCUGUUUUACUAGAGGAUCGAUCAGGCGCUUUGCUAGAGGAAGCUAGCUUCGUGCUAAGUGGAUUGAUCUAGGUUACAGUGUGUACAUCUCGGUGUAAUAGAACUUCGUCGAGUUCGUUAGCGAGCUUCGUUUGUCAUCGUUGUUCGUCGUCGGUCAUAUCACCGUCGCCGGAAGUACUCGGCGUCGGGACAUGGCCAACAAUUGGUAUCAAAGCAAGGUUGAUCUUCUAGUAACAGGAGAUCAUGUCGGACGACAAGAAGAACAAGCAGCUGGCGGAGUACUCCGGUGCGGCUAAAGUAAUUGCUUCGCCGGUGAGAUAGUUGUAUCCACGAUUCGACCGUGGGAACUUCAUGGUACAGGUGCCCAUGAUGGAGUGCGCGCUCGAGGCCAAUGAGCUCUGGGAAGACGUCGACCCCGGCGGUGAUGACUACAUGAAGGGUGGUGCCUUGUAUUGGAAGGAUUGCCAGGCUAUCACGACCAUCUUCUCGGUGAUGCUGGUGGACGUGCAGCAGCAUCUAAUCUCGAAGACAUCUGUGAAGGAGGCAUGGGACACGCUGAAGACAUUGCAUCUAGGACACUCGCGUGUGCGCGAGGCGAACUUGCAAACUUCGCGGAAAAGUUACGAGAGUAUGAGGAUGGGAGAAGAUGAGACGGUGGAUGCUUUCGCAGCAAGGGUUGCCACGAUGGUAAACGGGAUUCGCAGUCUUGGGGAGAAGCUAGAGGAUAUCACCGUGGUCCGGCGUUUUUUACAUGCCGCUCCACCGCGCUACAUGCCGAUUGUGUCAGAGAUCGAGCAAUGUAUUGAUCUCAAGACUCUCACUUUGGAUGAUCUGGUUUGUAACUUCAGGGCGGAUGACGAGCGGAUGAAACUGAGUUACGGUGACGCAAAGCAGGAUGAUUACCUGAUGCUUACACGUGCUCAGUGGCAGGCGAUGGUUUCCAAGGAGAACAAUUUCGACAAGGCGUCUGGUAGCGGCGGAAAGUACCAUCCCGCAAAGGACAUCGACGAACAGUCGGAAAAGCAAAAGAAGAAAGAGUUCAACAAGAGGAAGAUCCGCUGCCACAACGGUAAUCUGCUCGGCCACUUCAAGUCAGACUGUAAGAAUCCCCCGAAGGAGAAGAUGCUCAUGGCCGAGCAAAAUGAUGCAAGUGACAUGAUGUUGAUGUGCGAGCUCGUGGACGAGGAGGAUCAUUUUCUGCAAGCGUCGGCUAAAGAAAUUGUUGUGCUCAGUGAAGAAAAAGUUCGCUCUCAAAAUCAUGGUUUGAAAAACUCGUGUCGAUGUUACAAACAUGAGCGGUGAUUCUGAAACUCGUGUCGAAGGUACUGACGCGAGACAUAAUUCUGAAAUUUGUGUCGAUCUAAGGACACGAAUGUCACUUCAGCGUACGUGGCGCCUGAAGACCAUGAAUCAAAGUAUGCUGAUACAAAAGUGGGCAUGUGCGCAUCAGCCAUGCCACACUACCCAAUAACAGGUGAACGUGGUGUCCCACUGAGUAGGCCGAAAGCACUGGCCACAUUAACUCAAGCGGGAGGUCUUGCAUGGAGUCGGGGUGCCUUGCACCCAUCAGCGAGCGCUGCAGCUGGAGGUUACAAGGCAGCUGCGUGUGAUGGUGCAGUAUUAAGUCAAAGCCCACGUGAGCCUGAAACUACUCCAGCAGGAGGCAUGGGUGUCUCACGUGGUGAGCAAGGGCCACAUCAAGAUUUACUACUUGGGAACUUUGCCAACGAGUCAGGAAGCCCAACUGGGUGGGCAAGCUGAUCCUGCAUGGUGGCUCAUGCAGUGGAGGUCCAGGAGGGACCGCGUCCACGUGUGGAUAUGGGAACGGCAACGUAACGCCCGUGCCCAUGAAGGAAGAAAGGACAUGUCUACCUACAACCAAUCGUCUACGCCCGGUGAUCGACAUAUGUCCGGAGGAAGCUCUUUGGACAAAAGACCCGGGAAAGGUGAAACGGAGUGGUUGGCAAUGUCUAGCAAACGCUGAGAAACCGAUGGAAUUCGAGGAUGCAAAUACGAAGGAGUAUUGGCGUCAAGCUAUGGAGGAGGAGUUGAGGUCGAUCCACGACAACAACACAUGGGAGCUUGUGGAUCAAGAAAGAUGCCAAAGUGUCCGUAAAGCACGAAGCGAGGCUAGUAGCCAAAGAGUACGUGCAAGAGGAAGGUGUGGACAUUGCAGAAGUGUUCGUUCCCAUUGAAAGGAUGGAAUGGGUGAGACUACUCAUCACUCUCGCGGUUCAGAAAUCAUGGAGGAUACAUCACAUGAAUGUAAAAUCCGCAUUUUUGAAUGGCAAGUUAAAAGGAGAUGUGUAUGUGAAUCAGUCACCGGGAUUCAUCAAAGAGGGAGAGGAACACAAGGUACUGAAGCUACACAAAGUUUUGUAUGGGCUACAGCAAGACCCUCGAAAGUGGAACAUCAAACUUGAUCAGAAGAUGAUUUCUCUUGGAUUAACAAAGCCCCACUAGAGUAUGCAAUGUACAAGCAAGGUGAAGGAAAGGAUCGUCUGCUAGUUGGCAUUUACGACGGCGACCUAAUGAUAACUGGAGCAGAUGAAGAGAUGAUUUUAAAGUUCGAGCUACAAAUGAAUGAGCUUAUCAAGAUGGAUGAUCUAGGGCUAUUGAGUUACUACCUCAGGAUCGAGGUACAUUAAAAGCCAGAGGGGGUCACCGUAUGCCAGGAAUCAUACGCAAGGAAAGUACUGGAAAGUUGUGGCAUGAAAUAUUGCAAUCCAAUUGACGUUCCAUGGAACCUCGUCUUGAGCUGAGCAAGAAGGAGAUGGUGAAACUACUUGGCUACAGUGGUAGUGAUAAGGAAGGAAUUGUCGACGACCGUAAGACUACCUCGGACGUGGCAUAUUCCUUUGGUGGAAAAGCAUAGUAAAUUGAUUAUCACGAAAGCAGAAAGUGAUGACAUCUACUUCAAGUGAAGCAGAGUGUCAAGGUGUGUGGCUCGGGAGGCUACAGGGUGAUCUCAUGUAUCGAGAUCAGGAACAAGUGAUGCUCAAUGUUGACAGUGAGUCUACAACUUUUCUACGCGACUAUCCAGUGCGGCGUGAAAGGGGCAAGCACAUUGAUACGAUGUAUCACUACAUAAAUGACUGCAUGGAAGAAGGUAAGACGGAGGUCAACUACAGUUGCACUGAUGAUCAGCUGACGAACAUCCUGACCAAGGCUUUGAAUCGAGAGAAGUUAUUGGAGAUUCAAAGAAGGAUCGGCAUUGAUGCAGUGUCGUGAUGACGUCGUGUUUACGGGGGUGAUUGUUAGAAGUAAACACGACACAACCUCCCGAAGUAGUACGUGUCCGGGUACGGGCUCGUGUGCAUGUAUGAUCCGAGUAGUAUUGGAGUUAGCAUUCGAUUAGUAUUUCUCUAGUAGCUAGCUAGCCUGAUACUACUUAUAUGUGUGCAAGCAGCCCUGUAACUUGUACCGUGGAUUUGUGAAAGCAAUACAGAUUAAACAGGAGCGAUACGCUCCUGCGGCAAUACCCAGCUUCGCGUGCGUGUGUGUGGUACUUCCGGCCGACGGGCCGUUGUGUACGUACUUGUGUUUUGGUGUUGCUUGCAGCUAUUUUACCAGAGGAUCGAUCAGGCGCUUUGCUAGAGGGAUCUAGCUUCGUGCUGAGUGGAUUGAUCUAGGUUACAGCGUGUACAUCUCGACGUAAUAGAACUUCAUCGAGUUUGUCAGCGAGUUCUGUUUCUCAUCGUUGUUCGUCGUCGGUCGUAUCGUCGUCGGGACUGGGCCAACACGGACAUAGUGCAAUCCCACAGGAGAGGGGCUCACCAACGACGGUGAGAGUUAGGGAAUUGGCACGGACAAGAUAUAAAACGUAUACAACACAUUUUUGACCGGCAAAAAAACAAACGCGACUAUUUUGCAACAAUAACUUAGACGGGUCAAAUGUGACAGCUGUAAGUGCCAAAUAUCCGUUCACUUUGGACACCGGAACACAUGAUCACUGACUGAUCAAUUUCAAACCCGUCUCUAAUAAGCAUGAAGUAUAGCUCAAAAUACCUCAUCACUGAUGCACCAUGGAAGACUCGUCAGUGAUCGUCCUCAUCACUAAUGCGUGGGCAUUCUCGUUGCUCAGCAAUUGAGGGUCAGUGAUUCUGAUCUUUAGUAGUGGAUUGUGCAAGGCUUCUAUCAGUUCUGGCUGGUGAGGAACCAUGUGAGUUACACUAGUAAACUCUAUCUUUCAUGUGGAAGGCACACCAACAGGAAGACAUACAACAGGAAGACAUACAAGUCGUGGCUCAGCAGCAGGAACGAUGGCAUCUGCCAGAGCAUGGGUGGAUCUAAGGCAAUGCUGACGGUGUAUGGGCCAAGAAUCAAGACAGAGGAGGAGGGGCGGUCCUUGUUAGAUAAUAUUUAUACGUAGCUUCAGAAUGCUUUUCUCCAUGGGGUCUUCGAGGAAGAGGUUUACAUACGGCAACCUCCAGGUUUUGUUGAUCCUGCUCAUCCACAUGAUUUGUGUCAUCCUGUUAAGGCACUUCAUGGACUUAGAGCAUCUCCAGCCGUGCCCCCAACAAGCCCCUCCAAGGCCCUUUUUCGUUGCCGGCGCCUAAAAUUCGGCCCAGUCACGUCAUGCCCCCAGAAGCCCAAUUUUCAUCGGUUAGGGCCGAAUUUGGCGUCGGCGGACCCAGGCCGAACCCGACACGCUGGGGGCGCCCGGGGCGCCGGAGGAAACGUUUUUGGCGCGAAAAGAAAUGGGCACACCGAGUCAGCGACUCGCCGCCUUCGUCGUCCUCAUCACCUCGAUCCUGCAGGAAUCAAUGCCAAGGCUGCCACGCUGCCGCGCCGGUCAGUCUUCCAUAGAUGCCUCACGGGCAGCGCAGUGAAGGCGCGGCGACGCGCGUCCCGCCCACUCCCGCCAUGCGGCACACGGCGGCAGCCCUCCCACCGCCCAUAUGUGGCUAUAAAUGCUGCCCUCCCUCGCUGAUGAACACACACGCCCUCACCUCCGACGCCCCUCUCUCCGUCUCUCGCCGUCGAUGCCCCUCUCUCCUACUCUCUCCCCCGCCGACGGCAAUGGUCAAGCGCUUCCCAGGCGACGAUGCGGCGGCGAACGGCUUUGGCCGCCGCCAUCUGCACAAGGAUGAGGUGCGCUUCCUCUACGAGGCCGACUACCCGGCGCCCCCGGACAUGUGGGUUUCGGCCGCCUGGAGGCGUCCCGGUGCCGCCCGCGCCCACCGGAGCCGCUCGGCGCCACGAGGAGCAUAUCGCCUCCACCACCGACGUCGAGCAUCGCGGCCGCCUCAACCCUGAGGGGCGCCGCCAAUGGUGGGGCCCUUGAGAGAGGGUUUUGAGAAGUCGCCGUAAUAUCUUAGCUUGAUGCCGGAUAGGACCCAAAUUUUCACUUCCGUCAUUGCCGGCCAAUUAUAUCGUAACCCGGAUGACCCGGUAGUAACAAUCAUAGAGGUGCUCCCUUUACCGCCUAGCCGAACAAUUGGGAACGUAGGGGUAAGCACAGGAGCCAGGCAACCCAGCCUGGCCAAAAUCUUAAGUCAAAUUGAUGCAUAUGUAUGGCUUUAUAACGAUAAUUACGGAAGGCAGCGCUGGUAUAAUGAAUACAAACGCUGAUGAUAUAUGUUUAUUUUGACUCCGUUGCGACCGUUUAUCAUUUGAAAGUGGCCCAUCGUCGGCUUUUCUACCCCUUUGUAGAUGCUACGUAGGGUGCUUCCGCAGUAACCAGAAAACCCUUAGCCGACGUCUCGGUGCCCGAAGGCGGUUGUGUUGGCGGAAACAAGGCAAUCAGAUAUGUGGGCUUUAUACCUUUCACUUAGUCAUAGGAGCUUAAAGUUUGGGAGGACAGUUAUUAGCCCCCGGUAGUGUUCGGCGUCAGCUGAUGUCCAGCCGUUAACACUUUGGCCAAUGUUAUGAACGGCCCGUCGUUUAACACGGGGUGACCUCCAUCGAUCUUAUAGUUAAACACAUUCAUCGGAUCGCUGACCAGUUUGCGCUUAUUAUGACAGUCAGUUUUCGGCUUUCUCCACUAAGGCGCUUAACCAUUCGAGCUGGAAGCACAAUCGCAGUGGUUCUCCCUUUGCACACCUAGCCGAACAAAGCGGAACGUAGGAGGCAAGCACAGGAGCCGGGCAACCCAACUAUUGACCGAAGACACAAUUCGAAACUAAUGCAUAUAAAGCAAUAUCCGAGAACAUUUUGCCAAGGACUCCUUGGAGUACCUUGGCUUUUGGUGGGUUCGGCUCAAGUCGCAGCCCCCCGUUGAUAUUGUCGAUGCUUAAAAGUGUCCGGCAGUGUACUGCGGGAUUUAUGCUCGAACCCAACACCGAGGUGCAGGUCGGCAGGAAAAAUGCCGAACUAUGGGUCGAAAAAGAUUUCCCAAGCUGGAUUAUUAGGCAGGGUACCUCGGUCAAGAGGAUGUCCCGCCUCAUAAAAGAAAAACACACAAAUAGAUCAAAAGUGCCAUAAGCUUGGAGAAUCAAAAAACUGCAGUAAAAACUUGACGUCCGAACUAGAUCAAGUGUUCGGUGCCGAUCCGAAAAUUGGUCUUAGAAAAAAAAAUGUGCUUCUGUCGUGCUUUAACAUGACACAUCCUAUCUCAAGACUUCAAGCGGGUCAGCCUACGGCUUCAACCUCCUAUCCCGAAGGCGGAGUACUUCUCGUUAGGCCAGUUUAGCAAACUAAACUCUAGCGGCUUUGAGAGAGAAAUUAGGCUCCCCGGCUAUUGACCACACACUCGUGUCGAAAAAGGAGUGAUAGAAAAAGACUUUGCAAUGACUAAGAAGAAGAACACUUAUUAUAAAAUAGCUCAUUUAAAUUUAAGAGCGCCCAGUUAACAUGGGAAAGGAAGUGUUUUUAACAAACAACAUAUGUGAGCAUGGUCGAACCGAACACAAUUUAAAAAUUUAAAACUUUGAGCAUGAAAGCAACUUAGCUGGUUAAUGUGUUCGGCAUCGAUGACGCGGUCCGAGCUUACGGCGGGACGAGGUUCCAGCCCCUAAGCCGGUCCCGAGGUGGCGGAGCAAAGAGCUCGGCACUCCAAAGUGGCGACAUAACACGACCAAUGUGGCGAGGUGGAACCCCCAGUCCGUCCGAGGCGACGGAGCAGGCCGGCAGUAUGACGCCGAAGUUCCCGGCGUGGGUUAAUGAAGUGACGACGAAGCCCCCGGUCCAGCCGAAGUGACGUGGUACGUUAGUACGCCGAGGUGACAGCUCUGUCCAACCCGGAUAAUUUACCUGUGCACAGAAAAUAGUGCAAGAAGGAGAUAUAGUAACAAUAAUAAAUUAAAAAAUGUAGCAUAAUAAAUAAUUUAUGCAAAGUGAAUAAUUAAAGGAAUAUUACCCAAGCGCCGAACAUCCGACGAGGUAGAACCCUCUCGAUGAUGCCGAAGUCAUCGAGGCAACCGAAUAUAUCGGUAUAGCAAUUCGACCAACAAGGUGAUCGUGCGAGCCGAUUUAUACCGAUUGGGACGACGACAUUAGCUUGUUGAAGUGAGCGCAUGAUGCAGUCGAAGUCGAUUAUCUACACACAUAAAAUAGUGUGGUCCAAAAAAUAAUAAUAUAAAUAUAUAUAUAAUCCUUGCAUAAUUGCUUUAUGCAAAAAUAAUUUAUUUAAAGAGAUGUGGCCUGGCGCCGAAGCCAAUGUCGGUGCAGGGCGUCGGCGUGACGCAGUGAAGGCGUGACAAAGCCUAAAUUUGCAGGGCGGUCCGGGCUCUAGGUGCGGCGUUCGCCGAACUGCGGACGGGAAACUGGCCGAACCAUCACGCAACCAUCGUUAAUGCGGCCAUCAUUUGAAAGACCUGUGUACAGAUGAUGGAACAAACCAGAGUAAUAAUUUCUCAGAAAAAUAAACCCAAGCAAGAAAAAAAUUACUAGGAUUAAUAGCACCUGGUUUAUCUGUUGUAGCAAUCUGAAAAAAGGUUACUCCCAAAAUUGGGACUUGAUCCGCACACCCAUUGCCUGAUGAUCGAUGAAGUGGCGGCAUGGCGAUGCUGGCAAAGGUUGGCCUGCCGAGGCAAAGCCCCCAGUCCAGCUAAUGUGACGAAGCUGGUCGGCGGGUGACGCCGAAGUCUCCGGAGUAGGUUGACGAAGAGAUGGUGAAGCCCCCGAUCUAGCCGAGGUGACGGAGCGGGUCGGAAAGGAGACGUUGCAGUUGCCAUGUCAGCCGAAGUGUUGAAGCAGUUCGGCGUGAUGAAUAUCGGCUUGAAGAAGCAACAGUGCGGUCAUGCCGACGCUGGUCAUAACUUGUGAAGCGGUCAAAGCCGGAUUGAUGAAGUGACCGAAUGGUGAUGCCGGUGUGCUCGUUCCGUGUAAUCUGUGGGGCGGCGUUGUUGGUGAUGAUUUAUCCUUCAUGAUGUCGAACUCUUUUUCGGCUCGUCGAGAUGAUGAUCCGAAGAAGAUGAGCUCGGCUCAAUAAAGCGACGACGUGUCUAGCGCAGGUCGGCAGCCGUGGAGCAAUGUUACCGGACUGGUUUGACACCAGCGUGAUGGUGAAGAGUAUCUCAGAGAAGGCUUAAAAUUUGAUGGGCCCGUGUUAAGAACAACGCACAAUACCCUAGAAGAAAAUUCCUUUAAAAAGGUUGUCCAACAUCACGUUGAUAAAGAAACAUGAAUUCGGGUCGGAUCCGUAUUCGCGUAGAAAACAGAUCAGAAAAUUGGUCCACUUAUCGGAAGGAUCCCGGAGUUUGAACCGUCGGAUCGAGCUGAAAUUUUGAGGGGUGGUAGAUAUGGGAAUUCCACAGCAGAUGAACGGUUGGAUCUUCCAAAGGACCUCCGAGCUUGUCUCUGGAGACCACGCCUUAACUUGUCCAGAUUCCCGUCUAGAUUUGACAGGGCUCCGGUAUAUCAUACAUUGCCGGAGAUUACUCCAUCGGAACUCGACGAAAUUUUGCAUGGUUGUUGUAGACUUAAUUCAGCACAAUUCCACCGAAGCAAUCGUUAAAAUGACACUCGAGGAGGCGGCGGCGGCGGAUACAAGUUCGUUGUCCAGAAAAACAGCACGGUCGCUCAAGGGCAAUAUUGACGUUAAGCCCCCAGGCCCCAUGAAUGAUUCCUCCAUGAUCUUGAGAGAGAUCGGAGUUUAUGUUGAUGUAGGUCAUCGUCCGAACAUGACGAUCUGACGUGGAGUGCAGUCCUCGGUCGAGCCAAGGUGACCAGUCCAGCCGGUGACGAAGAAGUCGACUUCGCAGUUAAUCUGCAGACGAGCCAUCGAUCCUUCGUUGAUCUCAUAGCGGAACUCUCAAUGAAAGCACCAUUGUCGGUGUCAAAACCGGCAGAUCUCGGGUAGGGAAUCCCGAGUUGUGUGUCAUGGAUCGAUGGGUAACAGGAGACAUGGGACACGAUGUUUACCCAGGUUUGGGCCCUAUUAAUGGAGGUAAUACCCUACUUCCUGUUUGAUUGAUCUUGAUGAAUAUAGAGAUUACAAGAGUUGAUCUACCCUGAGAUCAUAUGUUGUGGUCUAAACCCUAGGGGUAUGAUGAUUAAUGUCAUAAUAAUCUAUCGACUAACCUGGCCUUGGCUUAUAUAAUGUACCAGAGGCCUAGGAUAACAAGAGUCCUAGCCGAAUACGUUGGUGGGGAGGAGUCCUUGUCUUGAUCACAAAGUCUUGUGGAAUACUCCUUGUAUGCGGGAUGGGCUGGCCGAAGUGGCCCAUGAGUGAACCGCCAUGGGGGUCCUCGGCCCGAUCCACCUGGUCGGGAGACGAUGUGGUGAGUACCCCCUAGUCCAGGACAUCGUCAACCGCCCUCAAGUGGGCGAGGGCGGACUGCGUCCGCGAGCAGAUGGGCGAGGGUCGUUCUUAAGUUACUUUAAUUUGUGUUUUUAAGUUUUUGUACAAAUAUCAAUGAAAUCGCCUAGUUUGUAUGAUUUUGUGUCGUGUUUGGACGAUUUUCUUUUUCAAAAAAUGGCGUCAUGGGGGCGACCUGGGGGUGGUGGCUAGGAACCCGAUCGCCACCACGCCGAAAUAAUUGCCGGUUCACCCCCAGUCGGAGCUAUUUCAAGCCCCUAGGGGGCGAACGGCUGGAAGUGGACUCCUCGUGCAUGGCAUGCCCGACUUGGCUCGUUUCUUGGACGUCUUGGAUUUGCUCCGUCCAGUGCUGACACGUCUCUAUUUAUGUUCCAACGUCCAGGGGUUACUUGAAGGAAAUAUGCCCUAGAGGCAAUAAUAAAGUUGUUAUUUAUAUUUCCUUAUAUCAUGAUAAAUGUUUAUUAUUCAUGCUAGAAUUGUAUUAACCGGAAACUUAGUACAUGUGUGAAUACAUAGACAAAUAGAGUGUCCCUAGUAUGCCUCUACCUGACUAUCUCGUUAAUCAAAGAUGGUUAAGUUUCCUGACCAUAGACAUGUGUUAUCAUUUGAUGAACGGGAUCACAUCAUUAGAGAAUGAUGUGAUGGACAAGACCCAUCCGUUAGCUUCGCAUAAUGAUCGUUUAGUUUUAUUGCUAUUGCUUUCUUCAUGACUUAUACAUAUUCCUCUGACUAUGAGAUUAUGCAACUCCCGAAUACUGAAGGAACACUUUGUGUGCUAUCAAACGUCACAACGUAACUGGGUGAUUAUAAAGAUGCUCUACAGGUGUCUCCGAUGGUGUUUGUUGAGUUGGCAUAGCUCGAGAUUAGGAUUUGUCACUCCAUGUAUCGGACAGGUAUCUCUAGUCCCUCUCGGUAAUGCACAUCACUAUAAGCCUUGCAAGCAAUGUGACUAAUGAGUUAGUUAUGGGAUGAUGCACUACGGAACGAGUAAAGAGACUUGCCGAUAACGAGAUUGAACUAGGUAUGAUGAUACCGACGAUCGAAUCUCGGGCAAGUAACAUACCGAUGACAAAGGGAAUAACGUAUGUUGUUAUGCGGUUUGACCGAUAAAGAUCUUCGUAGAAUAUGUAGGAGCCAAUAUGAGCAUCCAGGUUCCGCUAUUGGUAAUUGACCGGACAUGUGUCUCGGUCAUGUCUGCAUAGUUCUCGAACCCGUAGGGUCCACACGCUUAACGUUCGAUGAUGAUUUGUAUUAUGAGUUAUGUGAUUUGAUGACCGAAGUUUGUUCCGAGUCCUGGAUGAGAUCACGGACAUGAUGAGGAGUCUCGAAAUGGUCGAGAGGUAAAGAUUGAUAUAUUGGACGAAGGUAUUCGGACACCGGUAAGGUUUCGGGACGUUUCGGAUAUUUAUCGAGAACCGAGGGGUUACCGGAACCCCCCGGGGAAGUUAUGGGCCUUGAUGGGACAUAAGGGAGUAGGAGAGGGAAGGCCACAAGGUGGCGCACGCCCCUCCCCAUGGCAGUCUGAAUUGGACUAGGGGGAUGGGGCGCGGCCCCAUCUUUCCUUCCCCUCUCCCUCUCCUUCCCUCCUUCCCCAUCUUGGAAUAGGAAAAGAGGGGUCGAAUCCUACUAGGUUUGGUGUCCUAGUAGGACUCCCCCUUGGCACGCCUCCCCCUUGGCCGGCCUCCUCCUCCCCCUCCUUUAUAUACGUGGGCAGGGGGCACCCCAUAGCAGAACAGACAAUCUCUUAGCCGUGUGCGGUGCCCCGCUCCACAGUUUAACACCUCGGUCAUAUCGUCGUGGUGUUUAGGCGAAGCCAUGCGCCAGGAACUUCAUCAUCAAUGUCGCCACGCCGUCAUGCUGACGGAACUCUCCCUCGUCCUCAACUGGAUCAAGAGCUUGAGGGACGUCAUCCUGCUGAACGUGUGCUGAACACAGAGGUGCCGUACGUUCGGUACUUGGGUCAGUUGGAUCGUGAAGACGUUCGACUACAUCAACCGCGUUACUAAAUGCUUCCACUUUCGGUCUACGAGGGUACGUUGCUACCUCUUGAGCAUGCGUUGGAUUUCCCAUGAAGAGGAAAGGGUGAUGCAGCAACGUAGCGUAAGUAUUUCCCUCAGUUUUUGAGAACCAAGGUAUCAAUCCAGUAGGAGGCCACACGCAAGUCCCUCAUACCUACACAAACAAAUAAGAACCUUGCAACCAACGCGAUAAAGGGGUUGUCAAUCCCUUCACGCAAGUCCCUCGUACCUAUACAAACAGAAAUAGCUAGUUGACGGGAGAUUAAUAUGAUGGAAAAUAGACCCGGGGGACAUAGGUUUCACUAGUGGCUUCUCUCAAGAUAGCAUAAGUAUUACGGUGGGUGAACAAAUUACUGUCGAGUAACUGAUAGAAAAGUGCAUAAUUAUGAGAAUAUCUAGGCAUGAUCAUGUAUAUAGGCAUCAUGUCCGCGACAAGUAGACGACUCCUGCCUGCAUCUACUACUAUUACUCACACAUCGACCGCUAUCCAGCAUGCAUCUAGAGUAUUAAGUUCAUAAGAACAGAGUAACGCAUUAGGCAAGAUGACAUGAUGUAGAGGGAUAAACUCAAGCAAUAUGAUAUAAACCCCAUCUUUUUAUCCUCGAUGGCAACAAUACAAUACGUGUCGUUUCCCCUUCUGUCACUGGGAUCGAGCAACGCAAGAUUGAACCCAAAGCUAAGCACUUCUCCCAUUGCAAGAAAGAUCAAUCUAGUAGGCCAAACCAAACUGAUAAUUCGAAGAGACUUGCAAAGAUAACCAAUCAUACAUAAAAGAAUUCAGAGAAGAUUCAAAUAUUGUUCAUAGAUAAUCACUAGUAGAAAAAGGGCCUUUAGUCCCGGUUCAUAAGGGCCUUUAGUCCCGGUUCUGGAACCGGGACUAAAGGGUCGUUACUAAAGCCUCCCCCUUUAGUCCCGGUUCUUACACGAACCGGGACUAAAGGCCCUCCACGUGGCCGCUGCCUGGAGGUCCACCUUUAGUCCCGGUUGGUAACACCAACCGGUACUAAAGGAAAUUUUAUGAUUUUGUUUUUUGGAAAAAAAAAUUGAUUUUUUUUAUUUUCAAAUUUCUGAAUUAUUUUAACCUCUAAUCUCUAAUCACCCCUCAUCACUGCUCAAUUUAACCUCUAAUCUCUAAUCACCCCUCAUCAUUCCAAAUCAUCUAACUUCCCGGACGGUCACCCAUACUCUCACUACUCCAGCCUGAGCACGCUUAACUUCCGAGUUCUAUUCUCCCUCGUUUCCAAGUCUGCACUUGUUGUUUUCCUGACAAUAGUAAGAUGUCAAUCCUAUUAACCCUCAGUAAUUUAGCUUGAGCAUGAAGUCACACAUUUCACUGUUUGAGUUUGAAACUAUUGUUCUAAAAAACAAUAAUUAUUUAGUAAAACUAAUUUUUCUUGAAUAAGUAGUUUGACCAUAGUUUGACCACAGUUCGACCACAGUUUGACCAGAUUCGACCAAAAUUCAAAAAAACUGAAAUAAUUAUUUAGUAACACUAAUAUUUCUUGAAUAAUUAGUUUGACCAUUGUUUGACCACAGUUUGACCAGAUUUGACCAAAAUUCAAAAAAACUGAAAUAAUUAUUUAGUAACACUAAUAUUCUUGAAUAAUUAUUUAGUAACACUAAUACUUCUUGAAUAAGUAGUUUGACCAUAGUUUGACCAGAUUUAACAAAAAUUCAAAAAAAACUGAAAUUUGAGCAUAACUUUUUUUCCUUUUAGAAUUUGAGGAUUCUAAAAAUUUGCAAACGGGCCAUGGGCCGUCAAAAUCGGAUGCGGAUUUUCGUGCUGAACAUUUUGAUAUAUUAUACGUUUUUUCUGACAUCGUAUGCAAAAGUUAUAGCCGUUUUACAUUUUCCCUACACUUUUUGCAAAACAUGUCCAAAUUUAAGUUUUUAAAUUUUGGUAACUAGUACAUCUAGUAACAUAACUACAUCUGGAAGGAUUUUAAUUUUUGAAGUUUUUAUCAUUUUCUUUUGCUUUUUACAAAACUGAAAAGGCGAUCCACUUGGGGGGGUAGAGUUUGAAAAUGGGACCUUUAGUACCGGUUCGUGCCAUGAACCGGUACUAAUGCCUCAAACCCCAUUAGUACCGGUUGGUGGCUCGAACCGGGACUAAAGGUCUAACCUUUAGUACCGUUGGUGCCACGAACCGGUACUAAUGGGCAUCGCACCCUUUAGUCCCGGUUCGUGGCACCAACCGGGACUAAAGGUCCCAUUUGAACAGGGACUAAUGCCUGUACGGUGCCCUAGCCGCUCGAACCGGGACUAAUGCUCACAUUAGUCCCGGUUCGUAAUGCAACCGGGAUUAAUGCUUUUUUCUGGCCGAACCAAAGCCCUGUUUUCUACUAGUGAAUCUUGAUCAUAAACCCACAAUUCAUCGGAUCUCGACAAACACACCGCAAAAAAGAGUUACAUCGAAUAGAUCUCCAAGAAGAUCGAGGAGAACUUUUUAUUGAGAUCCAAAGAGAGAGAAGAAGCCAUCUAGCUAAUAACUAUGGACCCGAAGGUCUGUGGUAAACUACUCACACAUCAUCGGAGAGGCUAUGGUGUUGAUGUAGAAGCCCUCUGUGAUCGAUUCCCCCUCCGGCGGAGCACCGGAAAAGGCCCCAAGGUGGGAUCUCACGGGUACAUAAGGUUGCGGUGGUGGAAAUAGGGUUUCGUGGUGCUCCUGGAUGGUUUUGGGAUACGUAGGUAUAUAUAGGAGGAAGAAGUAGGUCGGUGGAGCCACGAGGGGCCCACGAGGGUGGGGGCGCGCCCAGGGGGGCAGGCGCGCCUCCCUGCCUCGUGGCUUCCUCGUUGAUUUCUUGACGUCCAGUCCAAGUCCUCUAGAUCACGUUUGUUCCAAAAAUCACGCUCCCGAAGGUUUCAUUCUGUUUGGACUCUGUUUGAUAUUCCUUUUCUGUGAAACACUAAAAUAGGCAAAAAAACAGCAAUUUGCACUGGGCCUUGGGUUAAUAGGUUAGUCCCAAAAAUAAUAUAGAAGUGUAUAAUAAAGCCCAUUAAACAUCGAAAACAGAAUAUAUAAUAGCAUGGAGCAAUCAAAAAUUAUAGAUACGUUGGAGACGUAUCAUACGUGGACACGCUCUCCCAUCUCGUUGCUAUGCUUCUCCUAGAUAGAUCUUGCGUGAUCGUAGGAAAUUUUUUGAAUUACUACGUUCCCCAACAUUACUAUGUACCUGUUGGUUUAUGUUGAUGACAUUAUUUUUACCAGCUCCUCAGUGACUAUCACUGAUCGUCUGCUGUCUGCUCUGAGUGGUCAUUUUGCUGUCAAUGAUCUGGGUGCUCUCCAUUAAUUCCUUGGUCUGGAAGUUUCACGGUCCCCUACUGGCCUGUCUCUCACUCAGCAUAAGUAUUCCUUGGACUUGUUGCGACGUGCUGGUAUGUUGCAAUGCAAGCAUGCUACCACCCCUACGUCUACGACUGAUCGGUUAUCAGCCUUGGAUGGUGCCUUCCUUCCUUCAGAUGAUGCUACAGAGUACCGCAGUAUUGUUGGUGGCUUGCAGUACUUGACUAUCACACGGCCGGAUAUCUCCUAUGCGGUCAACCGUGUGUGCCAGUAUCUUCAUGCUCCUCGGAGUUCACACUUGUCAGUUGUGAAGCGUAUACUGCGUUAUCUCUCUCAUACCAUCUCCUAUGGCUUGCAUCUUCGGUCUACCUCCUCGAGUGCUGUCUCGGCGUUCUCUGAUGUAGAUUGGGCUGGGAGCCUAGAUGACCGGCGAUCAACAGGGGGCUAUGUUGUCUUCUUUGGUCGCAACUUGAUCCCCUGGAGUGAGCGCAAGCAGGUUACAGUAUCUCGGAGUAGCAAUGAAGCAGAGUACAAGGCGGUUGUCAAUGCCACGGCUGAGCUUAUUUGGGUACAGUCUCUGUUGAGAGAGUUGGGAGUCUCUCAAGAGCAACCACGGGUUCUUUGGUGUGAUAAUAUUGGUGUGACGUAUCUUUCAUCUAAUCCAGUUUUUCAUGCUCGUACCAAGCACAUCAAAGUUGAGUAUCACUUUGUGAGGGAACGUGUUGCAUAGAAGGUUCUUCAUAUCAAGUUCAUCUCCUCCAAAGAUCAACUUGCCAGCAUCUUCACGAAGCCACUUCCACAACCUCAGUUUGAAGGUUGUAGGCGCAGUCUUAACUUGCUUUGUACUUCAGGCCACAGUUAAGCACUAGUGGAAAAAAGCCAAGCUAUGGCGUGGCAAAUAGUGCCUUGCUGGCGUAGACACCCAACGCCACCAAUAUGGCGACAUUGUUAAGAAAUACUGGUGGCGCGGGUUGACACAUUAGCAGUAUCAUACAUUGUGCUGGCGUGUAACCAGUCCAGCACCAGCACUAAGUUCAUCAUAACUCUGUCGUCCCUACUUGUCCAACGCCAGCAAAUGGUUUUUUUGGUAAUAAAUUUUUUUGCUCAUCAACACUAGCUACUUAGUUAAUAGAUAAUAUUGAACAGAAUAUACUCAUCAACACUAGGUACUUACUUAAUAUAUAGUCAUUACAGAAGAGGCUCAUCAACUCAACAAGUUGAUAUGAAUUAAACUUCACAAAAGUUGCUCACUCAAGUACUCUAGUUACUCCAUCAUCAACAAAUAAUAAGAUGAACUAGUUUUCAUCAAGGAGUAUGCCCAGCUAGAGAAGCUUCUUUCUAUCCCCCUCUCCUUCUCUACUGAAAUGGUCUAUGUCCAUCUUCAGGUCAAUCCUCUGAGCCCUGAGGUGUCUCCUCUCCUCCUUCAGUUUAUCCCGAUCCUCGACGAGCUUAUCCCUCUCGUCCCUAAGAUGAUUAGUCUCCUUGUGUAGCUAUUUAAUCUCCCCCUUUAGCUCAACAUUUUCCCCUUGCACGCUCUUGAUGACGUACUCAUAAGUGUUUAAGAAUUCAUUGUUGGCCAUGUCCACAUCACACACCGACUCAUUGUUACCUCCAAAAUUGGCCAUGACCUACAAACACAACGCGUAUACGAUCAAGAUAAUAUGCAAUUUCAUUUCACUCAAUAAAUAUUGGAAUGUAUAGAACUAAUUAAACUAGAUAGCAUGUAUAGAACUAAUUAAACUAGAUAGCAAUGUAAUGUAUAGAACUAUUGGAUUGUGACUAUAUUUGCCACACCUAACUUUGAGCAUUACUUUCGAGUGGAAAUUUUCUUUGGACACUCAACUAUUUUGCCACACCUAACUUGGAGCAUUACUUUCAAGUGGAAAUUUUCUUUGGUGAAAAAGUAGUACACAAUAGAUUUUCCCCAAGGUAUUUAUGGAUUACAACAGCAACUCAAACACUUUGUUUCAGAAUUUAAAAUGCUUCCAAAGAUGAUGACUUAAAAAAUAUAUCUACCUUAAUUUGAUUGACAGAUUGGACUUCUAGUUUCUACAAACAUUGAAAAAUAUAUCUACCUUAAUUCUAGACAAGUACAACACAUUGUCACUGCCUAGGAGUGAUGAACCCCAACGGUGCAAAUAAAAAAUUACAGUGGCAGUGACCUACAACAAAAGAGGGAGGGAUGAUAUGCUCACCUGGGUUGGAGCCGAGGGUCGCCUACAGUCUACUCCGUCGCUGUCGCCUGCUACCGUCGCCGAAACCCUAGCAGAUGAGAGUGGGAGGCUCAGAUGUGAAACACACCUCUAAUUAAAAAAAUCCAAAUGGACCAUAUGAGAGUGGGAGGCUCAUAUGUGUACCUCAGGACCGGAGAAGGACGACAAUCGCCGGAAUCGGCCGAAAUCGAAGCGGCACGAUGAGCGGCGAGAGACGGAGAGAAAAUGGAACGGAACAGAGCAGCAGGGCAGAGAGAGGGAGUGGGUCGAGGGGGCCUUUGCCCCCGUUGGUUUUGACCCCCACGGGAUUCUAAUACUAUUUGGGCUUGCCCAAUAAGAAAAAAGAUCAUCACCUAAAAAAUGUCAUCUCAAAACUAUAUAUUUCAAGUCUAAAACUAAAAAGGAAAAAAAAGUAAAUUAAACAAAAGUAAACAAUAAUAUACUAUUAAAAAUAUCACCACAUAAAAAACUAAAAAGAAAAAAAUUGGAAGUGUCAAACUACAUAUUUGAAGNNNNNNNNNNNNNNNNNNNNNNNNNNNNNNNNNNNNNNNNNNNNNNNNNNNNNNNNNNNNNNNNNNNNNNNNNNNNNNNNNNNNNNNNNNNNNNNNNNNNNNNNNNNNNNNNNNNNNNNNNNNNNNNNNNNNNNNNNNNNNNNNNNNNNNNNNNNNNNNNNNNNNNNNNNNNNNNNNNNNNNNNNNNNNNNNNNNNNNNNNNNNNNNNNNNNNNNNNNNNNNNNNNNNNNNNNNNNNNNNNNNNNNNNNNNNNNNNAGGAAAAAAAAAAUAUAAAGUCCCAAAUUACAUAUUUUUAAAAUGUCAUUAUUUCCAUUUAAAAUAAUAGAAAUUUAAUAAAAGUAAACUAUAAUAUACUAAAAAAAGAACACCACAUAAAUGACUAAAAAGAAAAAAUUGGAAGUGUGCAACUACAUAUUUGAAGGCUCAAAAACUAUAUAUUUCAAGUCUUAAACUAAAAAGGAAAAAAAUAAAUUGAAAGUCUCAAAGUACAUAUUUUAAAAAAUGUCAUUAUUUCUAUUUCAAAUAAUAGAAAUUUAAUAAAAGUAAACUAUAAUAUACUAUAAAAAAGAAUAUACCAAAAAAUAGUAAUAUAAGAAUGUUGGCAUUGACAAAAUAACAAUACUGGCGUCGGUUACAACAGCACGUCACAACUAAAUAUAAUAGUGCUGGCGUUCCAUACUAUUCCACGACAGCAAUAUAUUACGCCUGAUACAAAUUGUUGAUCCCAUAUAUUUUUGAUGCUACCCUGUUUCCAACGCCACCACUAUGCCCCUACUAAUGUCGUUCCAAAUAAGCCAAUGCCAUCACUAUUUGAAAAAAAAUAGUGGUGUCGUUGGUUGUAAAUGGCGCGCCACCAAGGAAAGUUGUGGCUAGCCCUUUUUCCACUAGUGAAGAUUGAUGGAGACUGUUAGAUAAUCUUUAUACGUAGCUUCUGUGUAGACUCUGUAUAUUGUAUUUGUACACUUCGUAUACCCUUACAUAUAUGAGAUAGCCACACCCGUAUUUGGUGUUGUGCAGUUUCCCACAAACAUAACGUUUUACAAUCCUGAGAGGCCAUCCAAGGGAGUCUGUUGUAGGCUCUGUUGGGGAACGUAGUAAUUUCAAAAAUUUCCUACGCACACGCAAGAUCAUGGUGAUGCAUAGCAACGAGAGGGGAGAGUGUGUCCACGUACCCUCAUAGACCGAAAGCGGAAGCGUUAGCACAACGCGGUUGAUGUAGUCGUACGUCUUCACGAUCCGACCGAUCAAGUACCAAACGCACGGCACCUCCGAGUUCAGCACACGUUCAACUCGAUGACGUCCCUCGAACUCUGAUCCAGCCGAGCUUUGAGGGAGAGUUCCAUCAGCACAACGGCGUGGUGACGAUGAUGAUGUUCUACCGACGCAGGGCUUCGCCGAAGCACUGUUACGAUAUUAUCGAGGUGGAUUACAGUGGAGGGGGGCACCGCACACGGCUAAGAGAUCCAAGGGAUCAAUUGUUGUGUCUAUGAGGUGCCUCCCUGCCCCCGUAUAUAAAGGAGCAAGGGGGAGGCGGCCGGCCAAGGAGGAGGGCGCGCCAAGGGGGGAGUCCUACUCCCACCGGGAGUAGGACUCCUCCUUUCCUUGUUGGAGUAGGAGAGAAGGAAAGAGGGGGAGAGGGAGAAGGAAAAGGGGGCUGCACCCCUUGUCCAAUUCGGACCAGAGGGGGGUUGCGCGCCUCCUUCCUUUUGGCCUCUCUUCUCUAUUCCCGUAUGGCCCAAUAAGGCCCAAAAUUUCUCCCCGGCGAAUUCCCGUAACUCUCCGGUACUCCAAUAAAUACCCGAAUCACUCGGAACCUUUCCGAAGUCCGAAUAUAGUCGUCCAAUAUAUCGAUCUUUACGUCUCGGCCAUUUCGAGACUCCUCGUCAUGUCCCCGAUCUCAUCCGGGACUCCGAACUACCUUCGGUACAUCAAAACACAUAAACUCAUAAUAUAACCGUCAUCGAACAUUAAGCGUGCGGACCCUACGGGUUCGAGAACUAUGUAGACAUGACCGAGACACGUCUCCGGUCAAUAACCAAUAGCGGAACCUAGAUGCUCAUAUUGGCUCCCACAUAUUCUACGAAGAUCUUUAUCGGUCAGACCGCAUAACAACAUACGUUGUUCCCUUUGUCAUCGGUAUGUUACUUGCCCGAGAUUCGAUCGUCGGUAUCUCAAUACCUAGUUCAAUCUUGUUACCGACAAGUCUCUUUACUCGUUCCGUAAUACAUCAUCCCGCAACUAGCUCAUUAGUUGCAAUGCUUGCAAGGCUUAUAGUGAUGUGCAUUAUCGAGUGGGCCCAGAGAUACCUCUCCGACAAUCGGAGUGACAAAUCCUAAUCUCGAAAUACGCCAACCCAACAAGUACCUUUGGAGACACCUGUGGAGCACCUUUAUAAUCACCUAGUUACGUUGUGACAUUUGGUAGCACACAAAGUGUUCCUCCGGUAAACGGGAGUUGCAUAAUCUCAUAGUCAUAGGAACAUGUAUAAGUCAUGAAGAAAGCAAUAGCAACAUACUCAACGAUCGAGUGCUAAGCUAACGGAAUGGGUCAAGUCAAUCACAUCAUUCUCCUAAUGAUGUGAUCCCAUUAAUCAAAUGAAAACUCAUGUCUAUGGCUAGGAAACAUAACCAUCUUUGAUCAACGAGCUAGUCAAGUAGAGGCAUACUAGUGACACUCUGUUUGUCUAUGUAUUCACACAAGUAUUAUGUUUCCGGUUAAUACAAUUCUAGCAUGAAUAAUAAACAUUUAUCAUGAUAUAAGGAAAUAAAUAAUAACUUUAUUAUUGCCUCUAGGGCAUAUUUCCUUCAGUCUCCCACUUGCACUAGAGUCAAUAAUCUAGUUCACAUCGCCAUGUGAUUUAACACCAAUAGGUCACAUCACCAUGUGAUUAACACCCAUAGUUCACAUCGUCAUGUGACCAAUACCCAAAGGGUUUACUAGAGUCAAUAAUCUAGUUCACGUCGCUAUGUGAUUAACACCCAAAGAGUACUAAGGUGUGAUCAUGUUUUGCUUGUGAGAGAAGUUUAGUCUAUGGGUCUGUCACAUUCAGAUCUGUAUGUAUUUUGCAAAUUUCUAUGUCAACAAUGCUCUGCACGGAGCUACUCUAGCUAAUUGCUCCCACUUUCAAUAUGUAUCCAGAUUGAGACUUAGAGUCAUCUGGAUCAGUGUCAAAACUUGCAUCGAUGUAACCCUUUACGACGAACCUUUUUGUCACCUCCAUAAUCGAGAAACAUAUCCUUAUUACAUUAAGGAUAAUUUUGACCGAUGUCCAGUGAUCUACUCCUAGAUCACUAUUGUACUCCCUUGCAAAAAUCAGUGUAGGGUAUACAAUAGAUCUGGUACACAGCAUGACAUACUUUAUAGAACCUAUGGCUGAGGCAUAGGGAAUGACUUUCAUUCUCUUUCUAUCUUCUGCCGUGGUCGGGCUUUGAGUCUUACUCAAUUUCACACCUUGUAACACAAGCAAGAAACUCUUUCUUUGACUGUUCCAUUUUGAACCACUUCAAAAUCUUGUUAAGGUAUGUACUCAUUGAAAAAACUUAUCAAGCGUCUUGAUCUAUCUCUAUAGAUCUUGAUGCUCAAUAUGUAAGCAGCUUCACCGAGGUCUUUCUUUGAAAAACUCUUUUCAAACACUCCUUUAUGCUUUGCAGAAUAAUUCUACAUUAUUUCCGAUCAACAAUAUGUCAUUCACAUAUACUUAUCAGAAAUGUUGUAGUGCUCCCACUCACUUUCUUGUAAAUACAGGCUGCACCGCAAGUCUGUAUAAAACUAUAUGCUUUGAUCAACUUAUCAAAGCGUAUAUUCCAACUCUGAGAUGCUUGCACCAGUCCAUAGAUGGAUCGCUGGAGCUUGCAUAUUUUGUUAGCACCUUUAGGAUUGACAAAACCUUCUGGUUGCAUCAUAUACAACUCGUUUUUUUAAUAAAUCCAUUAAGGAAUGCAGUUUUGUUUAUCCAUUUGCCAGAUUUCAUAAAAUGCGGCAAUUGCUAACAUGAUUCGGACAGACUUAAGCAUAGAGACGAGUGAGAAACUCUCAUCACAGUCAACACCUUGAACUUGUCGAAAACCUUUUGCGACAAUUCUAGCUCUGUAGAUAGUAACACUACUAUCAGCGCCCGUCUUCCUCUUGAAGAUCCAUUUAAUCUCAAUGGCUCGCCGAUCAUUGGGCAAGUCAAUCAAAGUCCAUACUUUGUUCUCAUACAUGGAUCCCAUCUCAGAUUUCAUGGCCUCAAGCCAUUUUGCGGAAUCUGGGCUCAUCAUCACUUCCUCAUAGUUCGUAGGUUCGUCAUGGUCAAGUAACAUGACCUCCAGAACAGGAUUACCGUACCACUCUGGUGCGGAUCUCAUUCUGGUUGACCUACGAGGUUCGGUAGUAACUUGAUCCGAAGCUUCAUGAUCAUCAUCAUUAACUUCCUCACUAAUUGGUGUAAGCAUCACUGGAACUGAUUUUAGUGAUGAACUACUUUCCAAUUUGGGAGAAGGUACAGUUACCUCAUCAAGUUCUACUUUCCUCCCACUCACUUCUUUCGAGAGAAACUCCUUCUCUAGAAAGGAUCCAUUCUUAGCAACGAAUUUGCCUUUGGAUCUGUGAUAGAAGAUAUACCCAAUAGUCACCUUUGGGUAUCCUAUGAAGACGCAUUUCUCCGAUUUGGGUUCAAGCUUAUCAUGUUGAAACUUUUUCACAUAAGCAUCGCAACCCCAAACUUUAAGAAACGGCAACUUUGGUUUCUUGCCAAACCACAGUUCAUAUGGUGUCGUCUCAAACGGAUUUAGAUGGUGCCCCUUUUUUUACGUGAAUGCAGCUGUCUCUAAUGCAUAACCCCAAAACUAUAGUGGUAAAUCGGUAAGAAACAUCAUAGAUUGCACUAUAUCCAAUAAAGUACGGUUAUGACGUUCGGACACACCAUUAGGCUGUGGUGUUCCAGGUGGCACGAAUUUGUGAAACUAUUCCACAUUGUUUUAAUUGAAGACCAAACUCGUAACUCAAAUAUUUGUCUCCGCGAUCAGAUCAUAGAAACCUUAUUUUCUUGUCACGAUGAUUUUCCACUUCACUCUGAAAUUCUUUGAACCUUUCAAAUGUUUCAGACUUAUGUUUCAUCAUGUAGAUAUACCCAUAUCUGCUCAAAUCAUCUGUGAAGGUCAGAAAAUAACGAUACCCGCCGCGAGCCUCAACACUCAUCGGAUCGCAUACAUCAGUAUGUAUUAUUUCCAAUAAGUCAGUUGCUCGCUCCAUUGUUCCGGAGAAUGGAGUCUUAGUCAUCUUGCCCAUAAGGCAUGGUUCACAAGCAUCAAGUGAUUCAUAAUCAAGUGAUUCCAAAGCCCAUCAGCAUGGAGUUUCUUCAUGCGCUUUACACCAAUAUGACCUAAACGGCAGUGCCACAAAUAAGUUGCACUAUCAUUAUUAACUUUGCAUCUUUUGGCUUCAAUAUUAUGAAUAUGUGUAUCACUACGAUCGAGAUCCAACGAACCAUUUUCAUUGGGUGUGUAACCAUAUAAGGUUUUAUUCAUGUAAACAGAACAACAAUUAUUCUCUAACUUAAAUGAAUAACCUUAUUGCAAUAAACAUGAUCAAAUCAUAUUCAAGCUCAACGCAAACACCAAAUAACACUUAUUUAGGUUCAACACUAAUCCCGAAAGUAUAGGGAGUGUGCGAUGAUGAUCAUAUCAAUAUUGGAACCACUUCCAAUACACAUCGUCACUUCAUCCUCAACUAGUUUCUGUUCAUUAUGCAACUCCCGUUUCGAGUUACUACUCUUUAGCAACUGAGCCAGUAUCAAAUACCGAGGGGUUGCUAUAAACACUAGUAAAGUACACAUCAAUAACAUGUAUAUCCAAUAUACCUUUGUUCACUUUGCCAUCCUUCUUAUCCACCAAAUACUUGGGGUAGUUCCGCUUCCAGUGACCAGUCCCUUUGCAGUAGAAGCACUUAGUCUCAGGCUUAGGACCAGACUUAGGCUUCUUCACUUGAGCAGCAACUUGCUUGCCGUUCUUCUUGAAGUUCCCCUUCUUCCCUUUGCCCUUUUCUUGAAACUAGUGGUCUCGUCAACCAUCAACACUUGAUGUUUUUCUUGAUUUCUACCUUCGUCGAUUUCAGCAUCACGAAGAGCUCGGGAAUUACUUUGGUCAUCCCUUGCAUACUAUAGUUCAUCACGAAGUUCUACUAACUUGGUGAUGGUGACUAGAGAAUUCUGUCAAUCACUAUUUUAUAUGGAAGAUUAACUCCCACUUGAUUCAAGCGAUUGUAGUACCCAGACAAUCUGAGCACAUGCUCACUGCUUGAGCUAUUCUCCUCCAUCUUUUAGCUAUAGAACUUGUUGGAGACUUCAUAUCUCUCAACUCGGGUAUUUGCUUGAAAUAUUAACUUCAACUCCUGGAACAUCUCAUAUGGUCCAUGACAUUCAAAACGUCUUUGAAGUCCCAAUUCUAAGCCGUUAAGCAUGGUGCACUAAACUAUCAAGUAGUCAUCAUAUUGAGCUAGCCAAACGUUCAUAACGUCUGCAUCUGCUCCUGCAAUAGGUCUGUCACCUAGCGGUGCAUCAAGGACAUAAUUCUUCUGUGCAGCAACGAGGAUAAUCCUCAGAUCACGGAUCCAAUCCGCAUCUUUGCUACUAACAUCUUUCAACAUAAUUUUUCUCUAGGAACACAUCAAAGAUAAACAAAGGGAAGCAACAACGCGAGCUAUUGAUCUACAACACAAUUUGCAAAAUACUAUCAGGACUAAGUUCAUGAUAAAUUUAAGUUCAAUUAAUCAUAUUACUUAAGAACUCCCACUUAGAUAGACAUCCCUCUAAUCCUCUAAGUGAUCACGUGAUCCAUAUCAACUAAACCAUGUCCGAUCAUCAUGUGAGAUGGAGUAGUUUCAACAGUGAACAUCACUAUGUUGAUCAUAUCUACUAUAUGAUUCACGCUCGACCUUUCGGUAUCCGUGUUCCGAGGCCAUAUCUGUUAUAUGCUAGGCUCGUCAAGCUUAACCUGAGUAUUCCGCAUGUGCAACUGUUUUGCUCCUGUUGUAUUUGAACGUAGAGCCUAUCACACCCGAUCAUCACGUGGUGUCUCAGCACGAAGAACUUUCGCAACGGUGCAUACUUAGGGAGAACACUUAUACUUUGACAAUUUAGUGAGGGAUCAUCUUAUAAUGCUACCGUCAAUCAAAGCAAGAUAAGAUGCAUAAAAGAUAAACAUCACAUGCAAUCAAUAUAAGUGAUAUGAUAUGGCCAUCAUCAUCUUGUGCUUGUGAUCUCCAUCUCCGAAGCACCGUCACGAUCACCAUCGUCACCGGCGCGACACCUUGAUCUCCAUCGUAGCAUCGUUGUCGUCUCGCCAAUCUUAUGCUUCUACGACUAUCGCUACCGCUUAGUGAUAAAGUAAAGCAUUAUAGGGCGACUGCAUUGCAUACAAUAAAGCGACAACCAUAUGGCUCCUGCCAGUUGCCGAUAACUCGAUUACAAAACAUGAUCAUCUCAUACAAUAAAAUUUAGCAUCAUGUCUUGACCAUAUCACAUCACAACAUGCCCUGCAAAAACAAGUUAGACGUCCUCUACUUUGUUGUUGCAAGUUUUACGUGGCUCCUACUGGGCUUAGUAAGAACCGUUCUUACCUACGCAUCAAAACCACAACGAUAGUUUGUCAAGUUGGUGCUGUUUUAACCUUCGCAAGGACCGGGCGUAGCCACACUCGGUUCAACUAAAGUUGGAGAAACUGACACCCGCGAGCCACCUCUGUGCAAAGCACGUCGGAAGAACCAGUCUCGCGUAAGCAUACGCGUAAUGUCGGUCCGGGCCGCUUCAUCCAACAAUACCGCCGAACCAAAGUAUGACAUGCUGGUAAGCAGUAUGACUUAUAUCGCCCACAACUCACUUGUGUUCUACUCGUGCAUAUAACAUCAACGCAUAAAACCAGGCUCGGAUGCCACUGUUGGGGAACGUAGUAAUUUCAAAAAUUUCCUACGCACACGCAAGAUCAUGGUGAUGCAUAGCAACGAGAGGGGAGAGUGUGUCCACGUACCCUCGUAGACCGAAAGUGGAAGCGUUAGCACAACGCGGUUGAUGUAGUCGUACGUCUUCACGAUCCGACCGAUCAAGUACCGAACGCACGGCACCUCCGAGUUCAGCACACGUCCAACUCGAUGACGUCCCUCGAACUCCGAUCCAGCCGAGCUUUGAGGGAGAGUUCCGUCAGCACGACGGCGUGGUGACGAUGAUGAUGUUCUAUCGACGCAGGGCUUCGCCUAAGCACUGCUACGAUAUUAUCGAGGUGGAUUAUGGUGGAGGGGGGCACCGCACACGGCUAAGAGAUCCAAGGGAUCAAUUGUUGUGUCUAUGGGGUGCCCCCCUGCCCCCGUAUAUAAAGGAGCAAGGGGGAGGCGGCCGGCCAAGGAGGAGGGCGCGCCAAGGGGGAGUCCUACUCCCACCGGGAGUAGGACUCCUCCUUUCCUUGUUGGAGUAGGAGAGAAGGAAAGAGGGGGAGAGGGAGAAGGAAAAGGGGGCUGCACCCCUUGUCCAAUUCGGACCAGAGGGGGGUUGCACGCCUCCUUCCUUUUGGCCUCUCUUCUCUAUUCCCGUAUGGCCCAAUAAGGCCCAAUAUUUCUCCCCGGCGAAUUCCCGUAACUCUCCGGUACUCCAAUAAAUACCCGAAUCACUCGGAACCUUUCCGAAGUCCGAAUAUAGUCGUCCAAUAUAUCGAUCUUUACGUCUCGGCCAUUUCGAGACUCCUCGUCAUAUCCCCGAUCUCAUCCGGGACUCCGAACUACCUUCGGUACAUCAAAACACAUAAACUCAUAAUAUAACCGUCAUCGAACUUUAAGCGUGCGGACCCUACGGGUUCGAGAACUAUGUAGACAUGAACGAGACACGUCUCUGGUCAAUAACCAAUAGCGGAACCUAGAUGCUCAUAUUGGGUCCCACAUAUUCUACGAAGAUCUUUAUCGGUCAGACCGCAUAACAACAUACGUUGUUCCCUUUGUCAUCGGUAUGUUACUUGCCCGAGAUUCCAUCGUCGGUAUCUCAAUACCUAGUUCAAUCUCGUUACCGGCAAGUCUCUUUACUCGUUCCGUAAUACAUCAUCCCACAACUAGCUCAUUAGUUGCAAUGCUUAUAGUGAUGUGCAUUAUCGAGUGGGCCCAGAGAUACCUCUCCGACAAUCGGAGUGACAAAUCCUAAUCUCGAAAUACGCCAACCCAACAAGUACCUUCCGAGACACCUGUAGAGCACCUUUAUAAUCACCCAGUUACGUUGUGACGUUUGGUAGCACACAAAGUGUUCCUCCGGUAAACGGGAGUUGCAUAAUCUCAUAGUCAUAGGAACAUGUAUAAGUCAUGAAGAAAGCAAUAGCAACAUACUAAACGAUCGAGUGCUAAGUUAACGGAAUGGGUCAAGUCAAUCACAUCAUUCUCCUAAUGAUGUGAUCCCGUUAAUCAAAUGACAACUCAUGUCUAUGGCUAGGAAACAUAACCAUCUUUGAUCAACGAGCUAGUCAAGUAGAGGCAUACUAGUGACACUCUGUUUGUCUAUGUAUUCACACAAGUAUUAUGUUUCCGGUUAAUACAAUUCUAGCAUGAAUAAUAAACAUUUAUCAUGAUAUAAGGAAAUAAAUAAUAACUUUAUUAUUGCCUCUAGGGCAUAUUUCCUUCAGGCUCAUGCCAUUUUUACCCUGUCUAACUAGACCUAAAGUGGCGAAGUUACUAGCAUGUCGCCAUGUCCUUGCACUAGAGAAGGAAGUUGGAGUCUAGAUGAUCGUCUUGGAGAUGGACUGCAAGAUGGUUGUGUGCAAGUUGAACUCUGAAGGGAAGGACGGCCCACCCCAUGGUCCGGCGGUUGAAGAUGUGAAGGGCAUUCUCCAAAAUUUUAUUGAGUCCAAGAUCACUUGGGUUCAUAGAGAGGUGAAUUGUAUUACCUACAUCUUAGAUAAUCAACAUUGUCGGAAUGAGUUGUGAAAAACAUGGCUUAGUGUGCCUCCGAAUUGUACUAGCGCCGUUUGAACUCUGGCACUGCCGAGAACUCUGAAUACAAUGGCAACCAUUCUAUCUAAAAAAAUGAUUCUUUACAGGUAUCUUUUGCCUUAUCAAUAAAUCGAGUAUAAAGAAUUCGGUUUAAAUUAGAAGCAAGGUGAUUACCAACAUACUUAUUUUAUUCCUUAUCUAUAUCUUAAUGCAUGGCUAUAAUAAGAUGAUAUAUCUUUCAUCAAAAAGUUGCUAGUAUUACUUUUAUUUGACUAGGGAACUAAAUCAUGACUACUACUACCUCUGUCCUGAUUUAUUUGGGCUCCUUGUAGUUUGGGUCAAACUUUGACAUUUGAUUUAACUAUUAAAAAAUAAGUUAUAUACUCUAAGAAUAGUAUCAUCGAAAUCCUCUUUCAAAUAUAAACCAAACAAUAUAAGUUUUGUGACAUACAACUUAUAAUUUGUUAGUCAAAUAUACGGUCAAAGUUGGACACAAAAUACGAAAGGGACUAAUAAACACGGACGGAGGUAGUAAUAGUACUCCCUCCGGAACAAAUAAAUGCGCUACCAAAUAGUAAGUAUAUAUUUGUUUCUAAAUAUAAGAAUAUUACUAUUAAAUACUACUAUACCAAAGAUAUAAGAAUAGUAAAUACUAGUAUACCAAAGAUAUACCUAAAUAUAAUAAUANNNNNNNNNNNNNNNNNNNNNNNNNNNNNNNNNNNNNNNNNNNUUAAAUACUAUUAACUCCGUUCCAAAAUAUAAGAAUAUUACUAUAAAGUACUAUUAGCUAUGUUCUAAUAUUUAGUAAUAGAGAUAAUAUUAUUUAGUAGUGAUAUAUCUUUAUUCCUCAUUAAAUAUAAGAAUAUUACUAUUAAAUACUAGAAUCCCAAAGAUAUAUCUAAUAGUAUACCAAAGAUAUACAACAAUUAAAUAAUAUUACCUCUGUUCCAAAAUAUAAGAAUGUUACUAUUAAAUACUGUCACAUCUAUUCUUAUAUUUAGUAACAUCGAUAAUAAUAUUUAAUAGUAGUAUAUCAUUGUUCCUAAAUAUAAGAAUAUUACUAUUAAAUACCAGUAUACCAAAUAUAUAUCUAAUAGUAUACCAAAGAUAUACCAAAAUAUAAGAAUAUUUAAUAGAAAUAUACCAAAGAUAUGCUACUAUUAAAUGCUGGUAUUAAAUAAAUAAAUCUGUAGUUCAACACGCGGUCCCCACCUUGGCCCGUGCCUUCCGUUUCAGUUCAUAAAGGGCAACACAUGCUUCUGCUCCUCGCUCACAUUCUUCUCAUCCCAAUCUCCUCGACCCACUCCGCGCGUGUGCUCGACCGAUCCACCGCUAUGUCUAGCUCCGGCAUCAACACCAUACCCACAGCCAACCACGAGGAGCAGAGCCUGGCGGCGCCCGCCCCGCCCCCUACGGCCGCCGUCGCCGAGGGGAAAGGGAAGGUGCUUGCGCAACAGGCGCCUGCGCCGGUGGUUCGCAAGCGCAAGUCCGGCAGAGACCCGCAGAAAAGCCCGCCCCCAGCGGCCACCAGAGAGGAGCUGGAAUCCCGGGAGUCCCGGGAAGGCCCCUUGAAGGUCCUUGCGCUCCCGGCCCCAGGGGCCCCGCGUACUCACGCUGUCUCCGGCGACAAGAUGAUGAGACGCGCUCGCGCCCGCACCCUGCAUGCAAAUGCUGUCUCCAACGACAAGAUGGUGAGCCGCGCUCGCGCCCCCACCCUUCAUGCAAACCCUGUCUCCGAUGACAAGAUGGUGAGCCGCACUCGCUUCCCCCUCUCCUACUAGUGAUUUGAAGUUAACCGGUGCCUAAUGAUUUGAAGUUACUGACAAUCUUUGAUCUAGUCAUGUGAAUUAGUACUAGUGCUUACUGAAUUACCUGAUGUGUAUGUGCAAGAGCUACGUGGUGUGUAUAUGUCCUUGGACUUUCUAAUCGCUGGGUUCUCUUGUGGCAGAUGGACGGGAAAAAUGAGAUGGCGCAGGUCCAGGGGGUGCCGCCCAUGCGGGGAAGCAUCGCGGCUUCAAGCUCGAUUGGUAAGUACUCCAUACUGGUUUUUCUGUCAGUAUCACGGCUGUUUUUUGUCAUCAUUAGUAUAAUGAUAUUGGACUGAAGCUCGUCAACUCUUUCGAUGCUGUAUUUCUGGCAUCAUUAGUAUACUGAUAUUGGACUAAAGUUGGUUAGCUCUUUCCAUGCUGGACUUUUGGCAUCAUUAGUAUACUGAUAUUGGACUGAAGCUUGUUAGCUCUGUCCAUGCUCGGUUUUUUGUCAUCAUUAGUAUAGUGAUAUAUUGGACUGAAGCUGCACAUGUUUUGUUUCCAUUAACGUUGGUCUAGCAGUGCUACGCGUCAGUCGGCCGAUCGUAGCCGCCAUACAAGCCUUAUUUUAAUCAAGUUCCACCCGUCACUGCAUAUAUUAACGUUGGUUUUGGCACUAGCUACGUAUACAAACGCGAGCACCGGCACUGUGUGGCAGCAUGGAAGACAUAUGAACUGUGAUAAGAAACAUGCAAUGGCUAGAAACAUCUCCGUACAAAAAAAAUUGGCAUGUUAUAGGUGUCAACAAAAUUAGUCGGCUUGCCAGCCGUCGGAUCUGACACGUGAAGCAUUGGAUCACACCACGCAGCAGCAGAGAGAGUGGAACCCGUCUUCCUCCAUAGCCUCCACAAAACUUGUUUAUCCCCCACCCCUCCCCCAUCGUUGCAACAGACUAUUAUGUUGUUGCCGCGGCCUUCCUCUUCCUCUCGCUCAGCAGCACCUCCCUCUCGUCCUUUCUAACACAGCAAAGAAGAAGGAGGAGGAAGAAGAAGGACGCAAGGACACAAGUGGUUUUGCCGGAGCACGAACUCCGCCCGCCGCACGAACGGCGUCCUUUUCUUUCCCUGAGCCCGAACUCAGUACAAUCCGCAAGCUACAACAGAGGAGAGAGCUGGCCUUAUACCCGCGCGCACGCACGCGCUACGCCACGCUCUGCAUGCAUGCACACCCCACGUCCCGCGCUUCCAGACCCACUCACCCGACGCGCACGUACGCAGUCGCCGUAGGCCGAUUCCAGCGCCCCGACGUGGUCGCCACUCCGUUUCUGUCGCCUACACACAACGGCCCACGCGCUCGAACGCGAGGACACACACGCACGCACAGACACACACACACGCACGGCCACGGACCCGGCGCGUCCUGGCUCGCACCCGACGCGUCCUGCGGUGGCUUAUGCCCAACACUCACUCUCCUAAGCCACGAACUAGAGCAGGUGAGUCCAUCGUCGUCGAUGUCGCCAUGGCCGUCGCACCGCACCGCUGCGGCCUCCGCCGUGCCGUCGACGUUGUUGUAGCCGCCGCCGCCCUAACGUCGCUGCCACACCUGCCACCGUGCCGCCGUGCCCUUCGCGUGCACUCCCCACAUCCCCGCGCUCCCGGCCCGCGCUCCCGCCGCGCACGUACGCGGUCUGCGCAACCAGGUCCAGCGCCUCGACGCGGUCCACUCCCGCGGUCCCGACGCGCCCGACGCGUUGGGUGCGCACCCAUAACGUGCACCGGUCACGCCCGGCUCACCGCCGCGCUUAUUGCCCUGCACCGCUGCGCCGUCAACCGCAGCGCAGCGCCUCCACGGUUGUCGCGCCGAGCUGCCGCGGCCUCUGCGACACCACGCAGGUCCUCCACGACCUCCUCGUCUCCGCGACCGCCGCUGCUCGCCGCGCGCACGGCAUCGCGCCACACCGCCGUGGACUCGCCGCGCGUUGCUGACGCCACGCGCUCGCCGCGCGCCCGGCAUCACGCCACACCGCCGUGGACUCGCCGCGCGUUACUGAGACCUUCAUGUCCGCCGCGCGCCACGCGCGCCCCGAACCUGUGGCUCUGAAUACCAAUUGUUGUUGCCGCGGCCUUCCUCUUCCUCUCGCUCAGCAGCACCUCCCUCUCGUCCUUUCUAACACAGCAAAGAAGAAGAAGGAGGAAGAAGAAGGACGCAAGGACACAAGUGGCUUUGCCGGAGCACGAACUCCGCCCGCCGCACGAACGGCGUCCUUUUCUUUCCCUGAACCCGAACUCAGUACAAUCCACAAGCUACAACAGAGGAGAGAGCUGGCCUUAUACCCGCGCGCACGCACGCGCUACGCCACGCUCUGCACGCAUGCACACCCCACGUCCCGCGCUUCCAGACCCACUCACCCGACGCGCACGUACGCAGUCGCCGUAGGUCGAUUCCAGCACCCCGACGUGGUCGCCACUCCGUUUCUGUCGCCUACACACAACGGCCCACGCGCUUGAACGCGAGGACACACACGCACGCACAGACACACACACACGCAUGGCCACGGACCCGGCGCGUCCUGGCUCGCACCCGACGCGUCCUGCGGUGGCUUAUGCCCAACAAUUACGUCAGCCCCUCGCAGCACCUCACGUCCAUGCUCUGGCGCAUCCCUGAUGUCGCCUGGUAUCAUGCAAGCACUAUUACAGACGGCGCGCCGGCGAGGAACAUUGUCUUACAACCAAGGUAGUUGCAUUGAUGCGACCACAAGCCUCACCCCCUUGUUGCAUGGGUCGUGGCUUGUGGCACUGGUCGUCGGCUAAAACACCCCCCAUGAGAACCUGCAGUUGCACCACUGCGACAACCCCGUGGGUCUAUGCAUGGUGGAAAUAGAGCGAAUGGAUAUGGUGAAGAGAGAGGAAUACAAGUGAGGGGCAUCUGGCGCUAGAGCGAGCUGACUCAUUUCCUCCUAAACUAGUCUGUUGAAUAUUUCCAUUUUCUUUUGAGAAACCUCGUAAAAACGUUGCAACAUGCGAGCAUGUCUAUACAAAAAAAAGUAGAUAUAGAACACAUACUCAUUAACUGCAAGAAAUCAGUGAAAAACCACAAUGUAUACACGCCUGAACCAAUGGAUCAUUGGCAUGCAUCUUCCAACUCUUCCUAGGUUACGCCCACCCGCGAACCGUUCAAUUCUGUCACAGAUCAUUGCCAAAUCAACCACCAACUUGGUUCCUGCUCUCGUCUCCUCUCCCCAUCCUUUGCAACAUACACCCAUGUUUCUCAGCAAUAGACUCACUUGGAGGCCACAAUGGUGGCCAUGGUAGGCUAGUGAAAAGCACAAUGGUGGUCGGCCUUACAACACUAAACAUGACAUUAAUUGCAACACGUGAUAACCCCAAAUUUGUAGCACCGGUGCACCGUUUUGCGGCAAAGUAAAAAAUGCCAAUGACCUGCCAUUCUGCAUCGAUACCUUGGUCUUGCAACAUUGUCAACCACCUUGUAGCAAUGAAAACUUCACUGACCACUAGCUUUGCAGCAUCACGUGACCAGCUUCUAGCACUGAACGCCCGGGCUAGCAGCACUGCGAUGAGUGAUGGUCGGCCUUGCAACAGUAUUGGUUGACAUUGCACACCUCAUCUCCAUUUUUAUGUAUAUACACAUGAGUGAACUUGGAACAUCAGUAACGUAUCAACAUUAGCAAUAUUGAUGAUGAUGAAAUUUGUUUCCCCAAGUAUCAACAUUACUGAAUAAGCGAGCAACUGCACAUCCACCCCAUGAGCCAUACUUUUUGAGCCCUACCACAACCGAUUAUAGUUGGAAAAGAGCUGACAACGAUAGUUAAAAAUGUACAUGAUCACAAUAGAUUAAAUGGCAGGGAGGGUGGACUGCAUGCGUGGAAUCAGGCUUGUCACGUGGUCACAAGUGCCUUAUCUGACUAGCCAACAAGACAGAAGGAGGCCGCAUGGGCUCUCACUCCUGAAGCUAAGCAUAACUCCAACUCCAGACACACUCGGGGGCUACUGAAGGUGCAAUACACUAGGGGUGUCCUCUAAGUGGGAAGCCUGGUAGCAGGCCUAUCUCAAGGCCCAAGAGGCCGAGUGGAGGAUCAGCGCACGAGGGCAGCUCAUGAGCCCGGAUAAGGACCGGGAGAGCAUCUGGGCGUGCAAGCUAACAUGGCGACGGUAUGAGAUCUAGUGGAUUCCUUGUAAUCCCUAGCCCUCGUCACCUAUAUAAGGCAGGGCAAGGGGUUAUCAUUCACAUAUACUCUCAUAGACUAUACUCUCGGUGGCCUUAUUCUUCAUCUCCGUUGUAAAUCCUAUUAUGGGUACUAACAGUUUUACAUACUGUCGCAUAGUUUAGUUCCGACACAUUUUCUCUAGGAGUUGAAAGCAACUCAUGGUGUAAGUAUGUGUUGCUGGAAGCACUGAUUUUACUAGCACCGCCUUUCCCGCCUUCGAGAUACCUUGUCCUUCCUAUCCAAUCACUUUGCCAUUUGAGUUUUCUCUAACGUAUUUAAAAUUUGCUUCCGUUGACCUACCCACCACGGCUGCGAGCCCCAAAUAAUGCUCGCUCAAUGCCUUGGGAUCAAUGCAAAAAUAUUUAAAAAAACUUUGUCCUCCUAUUUGCUUCCCUUUCCACAGAAAGUUGAGGCUUUUUGAAGAUUUACCAUUUGUCAUGUGGCCAACUCGUAGUCAAAUAGGGUCUAUUUUAAGGUCACAACGUUGAUAUUUGAUGCUUGAAGAAAUACUACACUAUCAUCUACAAACAUAAAAUGGGCUACAUGGGGGCCAGUGCUCCCAAAAUGUACACCAUUGAUCUCCUUAUCUUUGAGAAUUCAUGAGCAAUGCCAAAAAAUAAACAAAUGGGGGGAUUGUGGGUCUCCUUGUCAGAUCCCUCUUGAUAGUGUAAAAAUGACAGAGCAACCUCCAUUCAAUUUGACAGGAAUCCUGGUCGAGGUAACAGAUGUCAUAGUCAUCAAGAUCCACCUAUUUGAGAAACCAAGUGCCCUCAUCAUGAGAUUGUGGAAAAUCCAAACCACCCUCUUGUAGGCCUGCAUCAUGUCUAGUUUAAUAGCUAACAUUGGAUUUUUCUAUUUGUUGGCCUGAUUGCAUGCACACACUCAUACGUGACCAACACAUUGUCUGUGAUAAGCCUACCCGGAAUAAAUAUGCUUUGCUCCUCCCAGAUCAUUAUGGACAGGAGAACAUUCAAACCAUUCACUAGGCCUUUGAAGCAAUAUGACUGAGUGUGUUCUAUAAGCUGAUUGAUCCAAUUUGAGGAAGUAUAUCCAGUGAGUUAAUUUUUAGGAUCAGGACUAGAACCAUAUCACUAAAGUUUGCCGAUACAUCAUUUUUUAGCAACGACUAGUGAAAUUGGUAAACAUAGUCGAGAGGUUGUGUGGCCCAACGCUUUUGUCAGUCUAAUUUUGAAUGGUGCAUUCUCAAUUUCUUCAUCCAUCACAUCCGCGUCCACCCUCAAGAAAACAACCAAGCAUAGAAAUCGGCCGACAUCUUCCCCAUCUCAUUGUCAGUAGUACAUCUCAUGCCAUCCGCGCUCAUGUUUUGUUCGUCUUCCUCGAGCAAUUCCAGUCGAGCAUGUUGCAUAUACAUUAUUUAUUCCCAUGCAUGAGCCAGAUGAAGCUAUGCUUCAAUCUCGUGGAUCUCCACCAAGGAUCUGGAUCCCAAUGCUCUCUCCUUUCCAUCGAAGCUGACCUUGUGCCUAGUGAUGUCUAAACAUACGAAACAAAACACUGAGCCACUCCAAUGUUGCAUAUCAUUGGUGACAUUGUUAAGCUUCCUGUAUAACGUACUCUGGCCGAAAUUGUUGUCACAUGCACACUCCCACGCAUCCAUGGGGCAUCCGCCUCUCCUCAAAUGUUAACGCCCUCUUCUUCCUUGUGGUAAUGACCAAUUGGUCUAGCGCUCUAAUAAUGAGUGAAUCAUGGCCUGGUUCUCCGUGAGAACAUGUUCAAUGGAUGUAUCCUAGAAUGAGUGUAUGAAAUCAUCAUUGCAUGGACCCCUUCCCAGAUGUACCUAAAUGUUCUCAUCAUCAUCCCUUUUGUUGUCCCGUGUGUACUGGUAGCUACUAAAACAGAGGUUUGAAAAGUUGUUAUUGGCUACGCUUCCAUUUGUGUGAAACUCCUCAAGUAAUCUCCUGGUUGUUGUGAUUGAAAGAAUACUUUGUUGAGGUAUCACUGUCACAGAGAAAUUUAUUAUCAGGAUCUAGUCUCUUGAAACCUCCCUUAGCUACACAAGUUUGCUUCAAUCUCUCUUCCUAUCCAGUAGCUUUAGCUGAUAAUCCUUGUGAUGCCUUUGGUGAUCACCACCACCCUUCCUCGUCUUGUGAACAAAAGUGCCUCGUGUGUGCUGCCUGGAGGUAGAUGGGUCCUCUUUGCCCAGUCGCCUUGCACCCUUUCUUCCCAUAUAGAAUUUUUUAUGUCCUCCUUCCUUUCAUGCUCCUUCCUCAGCUUCCACAUCCUUUUCAGUUGCAAAUCAUCCCUUAGUUCAUGUCACCGAUCUUGCUUGCAUUGGUCCUUCCUGGGUGUAUAAGCAUUGUAGCACUUGUGCCUAAAUGGGAGGUGGCGCAACGCUGCUUACCCCCUGUGAACAUAGAUGCACCUUCUUGACCUAGUGCUCCCAAAACUAAAGUUCCCACUUUCUAUCACCGACUUCUACUAUGUUUCUGUGUGUGAGGAGCUAUGUUCGAGUGGUGCCCUCAACCAUUCACCCAACUAGGGUGAGGAAUCAACAUGUGGUUCAAAUCUUUCAUCAGCAUGUGUUGGUCUAACGCAGUCAAUCCAGAAGUGAUGUAUCUUCUCAAAUUGAAAAUCAAGACAGUCCCCUCAUCUUUCGCUGAAGAGUGGAGGAAGAAGGCUCGAACCAAUGAAACGAAUAUGAAAAUUCUAGCUCUAACUAUGAGAUGGUUCCCCCCAUAAAUCCAUCCUUCUCGAUAUCAAAUUUUACCACGUCACCAAGCCAAUUCCCGAGAGCAUUCCCAAAAGUAGACAAUGGUUUAUAUAGGGGAAGAUCCUUAAUUAUCACCCAUGGCUCCGUCAUCCAAAACAUUAUCUUCGAUGGCCUAGUUUUACCAUCACAAUUCUUCAAAACCAUCACACUAAAACCAAAUUUCCACGGUCCAUUAUAUAGAGCGUGAUUCUAAACUCCGUUUUGUCGAAUCUCAAGACGAAGAUAUUAUUGCCAAUGGCUUCCUAGUAGAGUCCCCAUGCCUGUUGCAUAGCCUUAGCAAACACGUUGAUGUUGAUUUGCGGAAGUGAGCACGCCUUUCCAACGGCUGACAACUUAGUAGGCCUCCGUCGGUCUAGAAUCCACCUCAAACAUGAGACCUAUUAGUUCCUUUUGUGUCAAGUUCAAGGCUCCUUGUUUGUUUGAGAGAUUCGCUACCUCCUGGAAGCAUUUUCGUCUGUCAGGGACUUUGAAGAUUCUCGGCUUAUCGAUCGUUGGUCACCCGCUUCACUGGAGUUGCCUGUCCAUGCCAUGCCUGCUCUUCCGUCAUCGACCAAUAGAUGAAUAAAACCCUAGCACUACCUGUCGGUCCCCUAUAGUCUCCCUUAGCAUUUCCUUUCAUGGUGGGCCCGCCACCAACUAUUCCUCUCCGUCCUUCCAUUGGUACUUUUUCUGCGGUGGAGCCUUUAUGCUUCAUUUGGCUUUCUACAAUGGUGGUUGUAUCCAGCUCAUAAGUCUCCUCUAUAUGUCGGAAGCCAAGAUGUUAGCUCUUCUUUUUUUAAGGAAAAUACGUUAGCUAAUGUACAAGUUCCGCUUUGAAAGAAGUCUUGUCGCAUGUAAAGACAUCACUGUCGGUUCAAUAUCCGGCGUAUCUCGUAGUAGGGGUCCUAAGCUAGGCGUCUUGGAGCGAUGGUAACAUGGACACGGGGUUUUACCCAGCUUCGGGCUCUCUUGAUGAGAUAAUACCCUAGAUGCUGCUUUUGAUUGUAUUCAUAUGGGGUGUAGUACAGAGUACAUGUGUCUACCACGAGACUGUGGUAAUGAAUAUGAGAUUGUCUAUUGACUAGCCUGGCCUCGGUUUAUAUAACAGACCGGAGGCCUAGGGUUUUAGGAGAGUCCUCGCCUGUCACGACCGGUUUUUCAAUAAAAUAAUUAUUGAGAGACCAAUCCCUUUUACGGACCAGCGAGGAAGAAUUCCUUCUCACUGGUAGACAAUAUCUUGGUCACAGAAGAAAAAUACCAGGAGUACUAAUCAUAAUACAAGGUUGAGCAGAGGCGGCCCAACAAUUUAUUACAUGCACGCCGAUAAAACAACACGGUGGAUAGGGUGGCAAACUAUUAACUCACGAUAAUAACGGUGGUGGAAAUAUCACCGCGGAGCGAGUGAUCUGAUUCCAGAAGACUACAGCUCAUCGAGCGUCGGAGUGAGGCUCGAGAAGACUUAUUGCGGGUGGCGGAAGCGUAAACAAAACAAGUGACCAAUAUCCGGGAUCGCGCAGGACUGACUGGGACUCCUCUAGGCAUCGGACGCGCUAUCAAACUCUUCAUCCAAGAGAUCGCCUUCGUCAACAUCUGGCCAAAUCAACAAGCCAGGUGAGUACUAUGAAAGUACUCGCAAGACAGUUCGGACAUAAGGUAUAACAAAUGUAAACAUGAAGUACAUGAACAAGUUAACCAGUGCGAUCAGACAUAGAGGUAAUAAAUACUGGGUGCCAAGCGAGGGUCUGAAUGACGCCUCGAGCGGAAACUGCGGAAUAGUAAUACUGGUGCCAAGCGAGUGUCUGAAAGACUCCUCGAGCGGAAAAUGCAGAACAAUACUGCUGGUGCCAAACGAGUGUCUGAAAGACUCCUCGAGCGGAAAAUGCAGAAUAAUACUGCUGGUGCCAAACGAGUGUCUGAAAGACUCCUCGAGCGGAAAAUGCGGAAUAAUAAUGCCACAGUCGGGCGUCGGGGUGACACCACAUAAAGGGCUUAUAACAGAAAAUAAAGACAGUGCAUGCCACAGUCGGACGCCUGAGCGACAUCACAUAAAGGGCUUAUAUUUAAAGUAAGAAACAAACACACGCCACAGUCGGACGUCUGUGCGACGUCACAUAAAGGGCUUAUAUUUAAAGUAAGAAACAAACACACGCCACAGUCGGACGUCUGCGCGACGUCACAUAAAGGGCUUAUAUCACAGCUUAAUAAUACAAUAGUUCGGGAACAUAAAUUAUCACAAGCAUGAGACAAACAUAAAGUUAGUCCAUCCACAGGAAUAAUAAUAAAUCUGGAUUUUUCCACUUGAGCUUGUUCACCGGGGACAAGUCUUCCACGCGGAUAGAUAUGGAUAUAACGUUAUCAUUACUUGAUCAUGGAUACGAUGAUUUGGAAAGAAUUGACUCUGCAGAGUUUGUACUUAACCACAGCCAACGGAUUUCAGUAGUCGCGGGGACUAGUUCCGUCUACGGUGUUUUGGGAGAAACACGUCUAACCAGUACACACCCAAUUCAACCAUCCGAAGCCAGGGAUCACCCUCAGCAUCGUUCAAGAAAAACCUUGAGACGGGGAGGCUACAACCUCGCGUAGCAUGGGAUCAAAUUUCUAUACGCGCGCUUUAAGGGGGUGCCCCCCCUCUCGGUCCCAACCGGAAACACCCAUGCCCCCUGACCGGAUGACUGGCUUUAAUCCUGGGCCAAGGUACCCUCAUCCCGGCCUCUCUAUUUGGUGUGUACACGGAAAGAGGUUACCAACUUACUAAACCGUAUCCUGGCAAUGAGACAUGUGGUAGCACGGAAGGGGGAAAGAACGGUAACGCGGCUCCAACCACGUUAACGUCGGAGAAAGUCGGAUGACGCCAGGCUGGUAUGCUACAACAGUACCACCUUGCUGCCCUUCAUGUCACCACAUGAUUAGGCCAUCUCUCAUCAGAGAUCAUCACAACUUUGGAACAUGCGGGAAAAGGACGAUAACGUGGCUCCAACCACGUUAACGUCGGAGAAAGUCGGAUGGCGCAAGGCUGGUAUGCUACAACAGUACCACCUUGCUGCCCUUCAUGUCACCACAUGAUUAGGCCAUCUCUCAUCAGAGAUCAUCACGACUUUGGAACAACCGGGUAGUUGCCUUACAAGCAAGGAGGUAUUUACCGAUACUCAUAUGCCACGCACAAACUUUCACGUAAACAUGCAAAACAUCUGUCCUAUCAAAUGUUCAAAACAUGCUUGCCUGGUUCGGAGAACUCGGAGUCUAGCUCGGCGAAGUUCGCGGCUCCUUCACCUCUCCCGGAACCUUCGGCAAUCACGAAACGGGUACUAAAGUGAAAACCAACACAUGCACAGAAACUUUUCCAAAUAUUUUUCAAAUAAAUCCCAUAAAAAACUAGACAAAAUUUGAAGAUUGUCAGAAAAAGAAUCACUCAAAAAUACCUUUUUAUUAAAAAGUUAUAAAGGUUUCUGUCCAGGGACCUUUCUGUAAUGAAACAGAAAAGUUCCAGGGUUUUAACUGAGAAAACAGAAAACGCUUCGGUUGGGAAUGCGCAAGCGCAAAGAGGAAAACGUAUUUGCCGAAGGCGCCAACAGAAAACGGUUCGCGAAUAAAAGAACAGAGGCUGACACGCGGGGUCCACAUGUCAGGUUUAAAAAGCUCGCCGGCGCCCGAAGACGGCGGUGGACGCCGGCGUCGAACCACGGCGAGUUAGGAGAAACGGAGGGUACCAAGAGCUUCAGCGUCUUCUUCCGCGUCGGUGGGUGGUGGACUCGUCCAACGGGGAGCACCACGUCGACGGCGACACUAUCUCCGGCGGACGGCGGCUCGGUUGAGGAUGGGGGACUCCGGUGGAGGGCUGCAAACUACGAAUUGAGGCGCGGGUCAGAACGAGGGAUGCAAGGUGAAGCUACUGGCAAGAGAAUGGAGGCGGAGGGGCACACACGGGGGCGAAUCAGGCUGGAUCCCGUGGCGGGUCGCGGCGGCCGGAGUCGAGGAAGGAGGCCUCCUCGGGGCUCUUCCAGUGGCUAGGCGUGCUCUAGGGGGAGUGCAGGGAUGGUGGGUGCUCGAGUUGAAGCUCGGGGCCUCUAUUUAUAGGCAGAUCGACGGGGUGGCCGUGAACGGAGAAUCUCCGGCGAGCGAUUACGGCGGAGCAGUGGAUUGGCAGGUGGUUUGAGCGGCUAGGCAGCAUCAGUGGAGGUUACUGGAGUCGUUUCACAGCUAAACGGAGCUGGUCUUGGCGUAAUGGCGUCGGUCCACGGUGAGGUGACCGCACGGGCUCAACGGCGGCAGAGAGCGUGCUCCGCGCCCUGCGGUUCACGACGAGAGCGGCAGCGCAUUCGGGGGAGUGGAAGGCCACGCGGCGAGCUCCGGUGGUUUGGGCAGCGCUGGGUGGCGUCGUCGGCGCCGUGUCUCCCGCUGGCGCCCGCAAAGCCGCCGCCGGCGUCGGUCACGGGGCGGCGCACCUUCUGCUGCUCGUCGCCGACGCCCGCAAGGCGCCAGGAGUUCGUGCGGUGCAGGAACAAGGGGGAGGGGACGAGGAGCAAGGCGACGCGGUGGCACUGGCGAGAUCGACGUCCAUCUCUGAAGAAAACGACAGCAAGCCACUGCAGUGUUCUCUGAAAUUUUCUGAACUUGACAUAGACAGUGCACUGCAGGUGCUCGACAGAAGGUUUUGGCAAUGAGAUGAAUUUUUCUGGGGCUGUAACUUGGUGAGAUGAUCACUCACUGCACCCAGAGGCUGCCUGAUUUUACUUGGAAUUUUUGGAGAAGGUUUUGAAUGAAUUUCACCAAAUUUGACAAAUCUGGUCCAAACUUGCAGCAGAUGUAGUUUGAAGAUUUUGAACUGAAGACCAAUGGAUCUUCAUGGUUCUAGGUUGAGGGUUCAAAGGACUAGGAAGGAGAGUUGGUUUGGGGGCAAAGAUCAAAACAGAAAAUGGAGUUCCUUUGUAAAUCUCCAAGUGCUAGAAAAGAAGACAGAAAUUUAUUUGAAUAGAAUUUAAAUGGAAAUAAUCACAUGGGGAGGUUCAACUAGCUGGAUCUGAUGCAAAUCAUGACCCAAAGGUGAGGGGAGGGUUAGGAGAGAGGAUUUGCACUAAGGCCAUGGCAAGAAGGAAUUGUUGAAAGUGGCAAAGGAGUUUUCCAAAAGCCAUAGUGCAUUUUCAAAAAGAUUUUCAAAAGGUAUUUCCCCCAAUGAAAAACAUUUUGUCUUGAGUCCAAGUGAAAAGCAAGAACCUCCAAGACCAAAGGCAGAUCUUGGGUGAAUCCAAAUAAAACUUUUGCCAUAAAGAAAAAUGAUUAGAGGGGGAGAGUUCUCUUGAAGAAAAUUUUAAAUCACUCCCCUCAAGUCAAAUAAAAUCUUUUGAAAAAUCCAAAUAAAAACUUGGGUGUCACAUCGCCUUGGGCGCCAAGUCUUGUGGAGUCUUCCUUAUAUGCGGCAGGGGUUGUCCGAACUGGCCCAUGAGUAUACGGUCGGCCCAAUCCAACUGAUCGGGAGACGACGUGGUGAGUACCCCCUAGUCCAGGACACCGUCAGUCACUAAGAGUGCGAUACAUAUAGGUGCAUACUUUGCGGAUGAUGCAAAUUUCAGCAGAUAUGAACAGCUCCAGGUGGACCGAGCACACAAAGAAAUCAUGGACCAUAAACGAAUAAUUUCCAAAGAAACAAAGUCGCAAAAAGAGAGACGACAUUAUCUUCAUUAUGGAAAACCCUUAUAUUUUUAAACAUUGCUUUGCUCUUUGAUUAUUAACAGGAAUCUUUUUACUAAUAUAAUAAGUGUUAAUCUUUAUAGAUAUGGAAUGUAUUUUGUUCAGUAGGUUUUAAUGAAUCAUAUCAGUUUUUGGUAUGUUAAAAUUAGAAGAAGUUCAUGCGCCUUCAAGGCAUGUCACGGUGUGUUGUUCCACCUCAAACAGGGACAUACUACAUGGUUAUUAUCCCUGCAUAUAGCCCUCUUCGCAUGCUCUUCCUCUCUCUCUCUCUCUCCAUUGUAUAUUCCAGAACUGCUGACACUACUCCAUAAUGCCUAACUGGUGAAGGUCCAGAAACACCUAGCAGUGAUGGGUUCAACAUGCUCAGUAGUCUGUACUUAGUGGAGAAGUAACAAACCACUUAGAUGAACAUGUCUGCCAGUGAUGGUCAAAUCAAAAAAGAAAAUCGGGCCAUGGCUAGUCCAAAGCUAACACCUGCCAAUAAUGUGAAGUCUCCACUACUCGAACCUUCUUCUCCUCAAUAUAUUGCACCGUCUGAUGUUUGGAGAAGCCAUAGAUUUGGGGAUCCGAAUAGAGGAAACAAUGGUGGGGAGUGUCUUGAAGAAUAGGUAACGAGAAGCCGGACGGAGAAGGCCUCGACCAUGCUGCACCAUCAGCCCAUGAGCACUGACCUGUAUAUAUGGUGCAAGGACCGAGGCAGAAAUGAACACCAUCAUCGCCUGGGUGGCAGAGGGAGUUGGACCUGGGUGUUCCUCCUCUCGGACAAACUCAAUGAAUUCUUGGAGGCAGCACCCAUGCUAGAUUCUGCAGAGAUGACAACAUUUAGAGGAGGUGGAGGGCCAGCGCUAGGUUUGUUCCUCAUAGGGUUUAUUUUCGGGGAAGAAGGGGAAGGGUAUGACAUGAUGAGUGAUUAACAAGGGAAGUGUGUGUUUCUGUGGAGGACAAAUCAUGAAGAUAAGUGUGCUAGUAGCUAGAGAAGGGACUAAUGAUAGCAGGAACGAAUAAUGAGCUUAAUGUGUGGGGCUACUAGUUUUAAGUUGUGAUCUAAAUGACAGGGUAAGUAUUUAGUCACUAUCGUGUUGUGACUUGGGCUUGUAAGUGGUGGCUUGUAUAUGAGUAACAAGUAGCAUGUUUAGCCUCAAUAUUGUUCUCUGUCACUGGUAACAAUGUAUCAUUGAUGGACCACAUAUUGGGCCCGUCACUACUAACUUUUUUCAACAAAAAUAGAUUUUUAGUUAUCGUCAGAUUCAUGGCAAACCCGCCGUCCAUUACUUCUAAGUAGCACUACUGAUGGGUUGUGUGACCCACCACUAUUGAUCAAUAACUAGAGGAUAACUCAAGCAUAGUGCACAUCCGUUUCUUUGAGAUUUUGUUAGUGUUUUCUUGUUCAUGGAGACAUAUCAAUUGACCCUAACAAGUGUUCUAUUUAGGUGGGGUUGUGAGUGAAAACGCGGGGAGCUUGGCAGCAGGGAAAAUGGCACCUAGAGGGGCUCAUGUCUCCAUGAUGAACAACCACAACUUUGAUUUGAAUGAGCUACCGACUGAACAUGAGCAGCUCCAGCAGGAGCAGCCGCCCAAAGAGCAGGAUUAGCCGCCUGUGGCACAACAUGAGCUUUAAUAUUCACAAUGGCUGGAGCCUGCUCAAAUCCGCAUCUAUGAGCAAAAUAACUCUUCGCCAGAAGCAUAGCCCUGUUGGAAAUUAUCAAAAAUAUCUCUAUCCCGAGGAUAAUGGGAAGGCUUGUAUGGAACUUUUGAAUUUCUCUCUUCCUACUUUUUGCNNNNNNNNNNNNNNNNNNNNNNNNNNNNNNNNNNNNNNNNNNNNNNNNNNNNNNNNNNNNNNNNNNNNNNNNNNNNNNNNNNNNNNNNNNNNNNNNNNNNNNNNNNNNNNNNNNNNNNNNNNNNNNNNNNNNNNNNNNNNNNNNNNNNNNNNNNNNNNNNNNNNNNNNNNNNNNNNNNNNNNNNNNNNNNNNNNNNNNNNNNNNNNNNNNNNNNNNNNNNNNNNNNNNNNNNNNNNNNNNNNNNNNNNNNNNNNNNNNNNNNNNNNNNNNNNNNNNNNNNNNNNNNNNNNNNNNNNNNNNNNNNNNNNNNNNNNNNNNNNNNNNNNNNNNNNNNNNNNNNNNNNNNNNNNNNNNNNNNNNNNNNNNNNNNNNNNNNNNNNGGGGGGAUUUGGUAUACUGCCUCAUGAUCACCCUAUCCACUUGAAAUGGAUUUUCUAUUCAUUUCCCAUGAUGGUUUUGAUAUCUCGAUUGUUUCAACAAGAAUAUAUUCAUUCGGUAAAGCUUUGUGAAACAUUAGCGAUGGAGCUAGGUCUCGGGUCAUGUGAAAAGACAGUAGGUCAAGAAGUGUGUUAGCUCAUGAGAUAAUAUAUUUUUGAAGUUGUUCAUCAUGUGUGUUGACACAAUGGGUCGUACGAGAGAAGGUUGGCAUGAAUCUUUGGGUUUGAAAUGAGCUGUCUAAUUGGACCUUCAUGACUGAAAAAAGGGAGAAAACAUGGCUAAUAGGAGGCGCAAAUGAUAUGGAAGCUACUUUUUGGAUGGAAGUUAACUAUGGCUAUGCGACCACACAAGAUGUCGAUGGAACCGCGUCCUUACAUAUCGAGGUUGACUUCAUGUGCAAGCUGUAUUGUGACUAAAUUAUGGUAUAUGUAUGUAAUAACUUGGCAUCUGACCAAACACAAACCCCAAAAAAUACUAUUUACUUCUCUUCGAUGCAUAUUCUAGUGGAAGGGUAGUCAUAACCAUAUGGGGAUAUUUUUCCACAGUAGAAUCUAUAAUGGUCUAGUGAGGAAAGGUGUAAAUGGAGAGGAUAAUAGGCGAACAUGGAAACAUCCAACAUUGUGUUGUACUUGUAUCUAGUUGUAUAGUGAGAUAAUAUGGAAACGGAGGAGGCUCAUAGGGCAACACGAGAACACCCAACAUGUUGCUCUACUUCCUUCCUAUUGGUACCAAGAGACUGAGACUAGAGAAAGGUUAAUCAUAACACAUGGACAAGAUCUCUCAUACAAGUUGAAAAUGGACCGAAUCUUGUAUGAAAAUGCUAACCAAGUAUGAGUGUGCAUAAAAUACCAUUUCCUCCCUUUCUUUGUUGUAUUUUCCUUCACCAACCCCAUAGUACCCUAAUCUACACUAUUAAUUCGAUAUGCUUCUCAUCUGAGUUAGGUAGACUUAUUCAAGGGGAAAUAAUGGAGGUGUCUUAUCUAAAAUAGCCACAUUCCGGAUAGGAAUAAAAAAAGUAGACAUAACCUAAUGAUUUGUUGAGAUUUGAAUCGAGAAUUCAACAUACAUCAACUAUCCUACAUGUAAAUCAAAUCCUCAUCCUACAUCGUCAUUGGGCUUUAGUUGGACUACCACUUUAUGGACAAGCCGUAUGGUCCAUGUGGUCUACGUCGCAAAGGCCGGAGAACAAGGAGCAAAUAGUUGUGGAUGUUUGGUAAUUGAAGUUAUUUGUCAAGAAAUUUGUUUCCCGUCAUGGUUUUUUUAAUUCAUUAUUUAGUAUUUGGUAUCGGUUCUAUGCUCUAAUGUGUAACCUUCUUCUGAUGGUUUGGGUUUAGCUGUCGGUGGUCAUGAGUUCAUUACUUAUGUUAACUACUAUUGUUGUGUCCACUUGUUCGCCAAGAGACUAUAAAGUUAACUUAUAUCCUCCCGUAUCUCUAUUAAUAUAGUUGGCGGUGAGGUAAUCAUUAACCCUGAAUAUUACUCACCUUUGUCAAAUAGUAGGCCAAGCUGGAACUGUCCGGUGCAUCAUCUAUGGUCACAUAUGGUGUAUUGCCUAUUCUAAACUCAAUGAGUAUUACAUAAUGGCAUGUGCCUGCAGGCAGGAAUGAGUCACUCUUUUGUGUCAAGGGGAGACGGCAUGCGUGAUAAUUGACAAUGAAAAAUUAACAACCUACAUCAAAAGUCUAACCCAAGACAAUGAAUAUGUGCCAUUGUAAUUUUACCACACUAAGUCAUCGGUAUUUCAUAAUCGAAUGUUCCCGAUGUCGUGACUUUUGGCGGUGAUAAGCCCAAAUAAUCGCCAUUGUGAAAUUAAAUUCUUCCGUUCACUUGAACCCACAUCCGUAAAGAUGUGCCAUUACAAUCCACGUCAUGGCUAUCUUGGAGUCCUUAAUAUAAUCAAGUGUGCCAAAUAUGGUGACUUGAUAAUCACGUAUACUAAUGGGGAGGAGCGAGGUCACAUUUUUUGCCAUGGAGACAUGAUAUUCCGUACUAAUUGACCCUAGGAAGCUAAUCGCCUCCAUCAAGUAGACCCCUUCCUGGUUCUCCUAUAACUGGAUUCCCCGAAACCACGAAAAUCCUUAGAAUUGGAUUACAACUUAGCACCUUGUGUUUUCACAUAGUAAGAAGAGUUGCUCCUUGGAGAGCACGGUAUGAUGAAAGUUGUAACCUGUGUUUCCGAGGGAGUUAUUGUCUCGCAACUUUGUUAUCAACUAUUCCGAUUCCAGCAAACGGAGGCCAUUGGGUCAAAGCCAUAGCGCACGCCUUGUAGUUUUGAAGUGGGGCGAGACAACUUUAGCUAGGAACCUAUUUUCCUUCUGACCAACUCCCUAAAAACAAUGUUCGACUUCAUGUGUAGUCGGUGUAGAUGUGUCAUUGCAAUUCCACCACUAGGAUAUCACCAUGUCCUAUGUAUUACAUGCCAACAUAUGCCACCAUAUGGUGACUUGAUAAAUUAAAUGCAUUUCACCAAGCUUUUCUGUUCCAAUUAUGGUGAAGAUAGUGACUCACAUGUCAGCCUCCCUAACGGGAAGCAAAAUCACUCUGACUUUGGCAACCUAAAUUUUUUAUGGAUUCAAGCAAGCAUGUUGGAUUUGUGUAUUGUUUAUUUCCACAUAUAUGAUUCAAAAUAAAGGAAUCAAUACAGAAUAGGAGUCCUGGAGACACCCAUGUCAAUAAUGUGAAAUUACGGGAAAUCUUAUUAUGUGCAUCAAAAUAAGCCAAAACUCGUGGCUUAAGAGAUACGUGUACAAUCAUACAAUGGUUAUGACCCCUACUAAAUUCAUGAUGUUAACCAGUUCCCAGAAGUUUAAGUUGAGAAACAAGUUUGGGCAACAUAUUUCCAGACACCUGUCAUGUCUAGGAUUGUCUGAAGCCUAGGUAAGAUUAGUUAUGGGAUCAAUGCAGGCUAUUAGUACAUUGACUCGGUUCUUAACUCAAGUCCUCCUUGCUUGAUACCAUAUUGAAUGGCAAGUACAUCAUCAAUUUACUUAAGUGGGUGAACAAUGUUGGCUAGUAUAUUCCAACACUCACCUCACAUGCAUUUUUUAGGGGCAUAUAAUGCAUCGUGAUGGAUACAUUCUUUCUAAAGACUAAAUUCCAAUGGAAAAUUCAAAUUAAUUUAGUAGCAAUCUCGUAUGGCAAGGGUAUAUGGUAAAUGAAAAGGAGGGCUCAAAUGCUACUUGUUGGCACACACAAGUCAAGUUGUCUUUUAGCUCCCAUGUUGAUCCUCCAUGGUUCGACAUUGGGCAUUACACAGAGAACGAGUUAUCUUUACGCACUAACUAGAGCUACCAGACCAUGGAUGUUCCACCGUGAAUGUCCAUAUGGUGCAAUGAGUGAUAGCGGGGUAUAUUAGAACAUACAGUAUACACCGUUAAAGUAAUUAAAUGUGCUAUUUUGCCUACUAUGACAAAAUAGUAUUUUUAAGAGAAAACUACGCAAGAGUUUGUGAUCUUUGUAUGUAAAAGCAUUAUUUGCCUUUGCUUGGUGUUCACGCAGUUUGAUUUAUGGCAAAAAUGGAAAAUCAUGGGACAAUAAUUGUUGAUAUUCUUUGUGGGAAAGCUAUAAGUUUUCACUUUUCAGAUCAUGCAAAGUAUUGUUUUCUUAUAGGGGUGAUAUACAGGGUUCUAAAUCUGCAUUUGUGAUUUGUUGUCCAUUUAAAUUUUGUUUCUUCCAUAGAUUAUGUUGGUUUGUUGCUGUAUUUAUCUCAGCACUGAAGUAUACUGAUGUUAGCUAAGUCCAAUCAAAGGCCGAUGUUUCUAUCAUGUUAUACAAAUUAGUAAGCUAAGUACUGACCAAACUCAAGUUACAGAAGCCCAGACUACGUGAAAUGCACAUCAUGCAGUACACAUGUUCAUCUUAGUGUUAUGUUAUACUUGGCUCCCAGAUAACAAAUGGUAUCAGUUACUACUAUCUUUUGCAGCUUGUUUCUACCUGUUCAUCGUAGAAUUAUCUUAUGUAGUCUCCCAAGGUUCAUGCAACUUGGAUUUUCAUACUUUGGUAGCAUUAGUGUUCACUAGGACUAGAUGCCACUCUGUAGAAGCUGGAGAUACAGAUGGAGAAAGUAGUCAUGGUUUUUUUUUCAAAAAGUUUGUUCAUAUCUAUAACAGGUUUAUUAAUUUUUAGCGUACAGUGUUGUGAAACCUAGAGUGUUUUAUCUCAUUAAACAUUGAACUACGCUUGCAAGGGAAAAACCUUCAUUUGACAUCGAACUAUGCAUGCAGGGCAAACACUCCGUGCAUCGGUGCCACCGCGCCGUGAACCUUGGGAGCUUGAACCUGGAUGGGUGUGAACUUAUGUUGUCAAGGUUUGGGGUCAGUCUUGGAUAGAGAAUAAAGGGGACUUUGCGAAACUGUUAUUAAUAAUAUGUAUGAAACAUUGCCUUGGGGAGAGAAUAAGAGAUUUCGAGAGAUAUUUAUAAAUGGAUGCAUGCUUGCAAUAGCAGUACAAAAUAUGAUGCUAACAUUUUAUUUUCAUUGUUCUUCCCAUUAAACUUCUCGUGGUGGCUCCAUUAUUCACAGCCUCGCACAUGAAAAUGUUAUUUCGUUCGGGUAAAUGUUGCGUGUCGCUGCUCCUGUAGUUUUGCGGUUUGCAUCUGCUUGAAACUUGUGAGUUGGAUUUUGCGAAGUUGCAAUGCAAAUUUGGGAUGCAGGGAAG
rnacentral:lncRNA from 1 species